GAGACAAUAAUUUUAAAAUUUAAACCGAUAAAUAAAAUAAAUAAACAAAGUGAAAUUAUUAUAGCGAUUCCAAAUGUGUAUUUAAAUAAAUCUUUAAAGAUAAAUAUUAAAUGAAAUUUUCUAAAAAAAAUAAAUAAAGAACUACACAUAUUGAAAUGAAAAGAAAACUUAAUUGAAUAGAAUUAAACUAACAAAGAUAAUUAAUAAAUAAAAAUAAAUUAAUGAAACUGACAUAAGGACCAAAACGCAAUGCGCAUGAAUGCACGAGGGCUAAAAAUGCCAAUGUUCCCAACCCCCAAAAAAAGCACUCAAGCGCGGACUAAAUUGGAGUGGCGCGCAAAGUUUAGGGCAAAAAUGAAAGAAAUGGAAUAGGCUUAAAUUAAAGGUGGUGCAAAUUGCCCUUUUAAGAUGGAAAUGCGCAAUUCCAGCCUAAUGGGCAGGUCAACAUGCCGGUUUCCACCCUCUUAAUUGCACCACUCUAAAUUUAAUAUAGCUUUUAUAAUACAUUUAUUUUAAAAGCUUGCAAAACCAUUUUUCUAAGCAAAAAACCCCCCAAAUUCCUAACCCUCUCAACUAAGGUUUCAAUCAAUAAACCUGUAGCAGCCGAAGCACCACCAGAUCCGGUGGCUGACAGUGCAGACGAUGGCCUAAACCUAUCAACGAUGGAGAACUUUCAGCCUUGAGAUCUCUGCAAGAUAAGGCUCUCCUCUCUCUUUUUCUUUAAACAAAUUUGAUUUCUUUCCUUUUAUUUGUUUUAUUUUUUGCAGUAGACAAAUCAAAGAAAACAGAAGCUAAAUCGAAAGAAAAACGGGAUUAAAAUCACCUUGUGGAGACUUUUUCUUUUCAAUGCUUUUUUUGUAUUGAUUUUUUUUGUUGUGUGUGUCUGUUUUCGUGUCCAACGAUUACAAAGAACAUAGGGCUUUUAUAUAGCCGAGAAUAAAAAUGAAAAUACAAAGAGUUUCUUUUUUUCUCUUUUUUUUUCUUGCUGCUGUCUUUGCUGUGCUGUUCUUGUCCUUUGUUUGUCUUCUUUUGCAGGUACGGAGGAGAACGUGGAGCACGUACAGAGGCUAUGCGCUGGCGUACGGAGGUAGCUGGCGAUCGGGGGCUGCUGGUGGCUCAGCUGCUGCGGCGCAAGGCGAACCUUAGGGUUCCUGAGGAUUGCUUGACCUUUGGGCCAAUCGGGCUGUAUUUUUGGGUCUAGGUUAAUGGGCCAUUGUAUUUGGUUUUGGGCCUAAACAAUGGGUUUGGGCUAUUGGAUUUUAAUUGGGUCUUGGGUUAUGCUGCUGGGUUUGGGGUUGUUUAAUAUUGUAAGUGGACUUGUGGACAUUGUAAUGAUUUGAACUGUAAAUGGACAUUAGAUGGCCGUUAAUUAUUUUUGUUUUUUCUUGGUUUAUUCUUGUGGUCUGGGCCCGGGCAUAAUUUGGGCCUUACACACUUCUCUUCUCUCUUCCAUAAAGCUAUGCAACAACAAAUAAAAAGGACUGUACAAAGCUUUUAAAGCUCAAAUUUUCAAUCUUUAUAAUUUAAUCCUUAGUUUUACUAAUCACUAAAUUAUCACUUUAUAAUUUCUUACUUUACUAACAUACAUUUAUUUACAUAUUCACUACAUUUAUUUUCUCUUCACUUUCUUAUGCUUUCUUUCACUUUCUCUCCUUCAACUGAUUGAUUUCUAUGGUAGAAAAUGAUCUAAUAACACUCUAACAUAUGAAAUUAAGCUAUGGUUUUAAAGUAGAACUCAAGGAAAAUUACUUUCUUUUUCUUUUCUUUUCUCUCUUUCCUUCUCCUUGCUGCCGUCCCGUGCUAAAAUAAUAUAAGAAAAUUCUACAAUUUUCUUUUCUUUCAAUUUCAUCCUUAUUUUCCACCCAUCAAUCAAAUUUCAACAAAUUUCAUCCUUAAUUACCAUAUUUCCCCCUCAACUUUACACUUCACUAGGUAAUCUCAUUAUUAUGUCUAAAAAUAUCAAUUAAAAUAGUAGCAUUGCAUUUAGGUCCUUUUCUCACAAUAUACUUUCCACUACUAUUCAAUUUAGCCCAUACUUAGAUUUUCCAACUCCACACAUCAAUACAUAUCCAUGUAACAUUCAAUAAAAUAUUUAUUCAAUUUCAACUCCUUUAAAAAAUGGUGAAUUUUCACUUUUAGUCCUUCAACUUUUACAAUUUUUUAAUUUACUACAUACUAAAUUUUCACUAUUGAUACUUUCUCUCCAAAUACUUAUUUCACUUUUAAAUUACUUAAUCCUUUCUGGAAUACUAAAAUUUUGGGUAUUACACCAUCAUAAAACCAUUUAGUCUCGAAAUAGCUCGUCAUGCAUCAUGAAAGAAUGCAUAUCCGAUAAAAUCAUAGUUCUUCCCCGAUCUACUCUUUCUCGACAGUAUGAAAACGUCCACCACUCUCCCAUGGUAUUGGAACAGUUUCCAUAACCAUAUCCAAUGCAUCCUAGCCGAAAGGUUAUUGACGAACACGGUCACUAUACCACGAACACAAUACAUGGUUGAGAUCACUGGCACUACUGAAUAUUUUGCAGGUGAAACGCAAGAGAAGCCAUACGAUAGAGGUAUGUCGGUGACCACGAUGAAAGUCCAGAGGAUGAUUCAGUCACGGUGGCUGCAGGUGGUGGGACAACCGAAGGAAAGCAAUGGUGAUGUUGGUCGGCAGCUGCAGGACGCACGGCGCUAGUGAGUGGUGGUGGCUAAAGGUUCCAAGUUGAGUGCUUUAAGUUCAUGUUAGAUUAAUUGCUUAAUGAAUUAUCUCGCUUGAUAAUAACUAUAAAAUUGCAAAGAUUUAUAAAAUAUGUAUAACUAUUUUGCUGGUUGUUUUGUUGUACAUUCAAUUUAAUUUGUGUUAGGAAUUGAAUUUUCAUUACUGAAUUUUAUGGAAUUGAAUUUUGUGUUUAGUGUGCAUAUCACAGGUAGCUUUUUGUUUUUAAUAGUUAUGGGUACCUAUUUUUCUUAUGUUGUUUAUUGGCAUCUUCGUACCUAAGUUUUUGAUCCAAUCCUUACUCCUUAAUUUUCCUUUUGGAGUAAUUGGUUGCCAUGUUACAGCAUGUUCUCAUGGAUUGAACUUCUUUAAUUUAUUGAAGCUUCCUAGGAUUGAGGUUGAUGGUGGGAGCACUGACAUGUGACAACUUCUUGUGGGAAACAGAUGAGAAACGAGGUUUUUUUUUUUUUUCUAGCUUAAGUCAACCAAUAUAUAUACUAUUUACUCGCAUGGGAAUGUUUUAAGGUGCUAACUAUUGAUUAUAUGUGAAAAGAAAAAAACUAUAGAUUAUGUAUUGUGAAUUUGCCAUUGUGUUUAGUAAUUUUAUUUUGUGUCUUACUAACAGGAAAUAUUCGAGUUUUUAUACAUAUUAUUACUGUUUAUAGUAUGACUUUACGGUUCAUGACUUGACUUUACUACUUUUAGGACUGACAUUUUGAGCGGACUGACAUUCUGAGUUGACUUUAGGCAUGUUGAACACGUGUUUUAUUUUAGAUAGGCUGUCAAACCACGUGGUCUCCCUUCUAUGAGCUUCCUGGAUACAUGCGAACUGAGAUUGCGACCUCCCCUCAGUUCGUGCGAACUAUCCUUGUGAGCUAGACUUGCAAACUCCCCUUAUUGUCCUCUGUUCGGGUCAUACUCAAUUUUCUGGUGGAACCUAUCUGCAUCGCGGGUAGGUGACGUGGAUCCUACUUGAUAUUCGGAUUAGUGAUCACCGAUGUAUAAUACAUAGUAUAUUUUAUCAUGGGAAAGUGGUCUGAUCUUUUUUAUCUUCUUAACGUGGGAUUGGAUCAAAUCAAAUGAAUAUCUUCAACCACAAUAUAAAAGAAAAUCGAAACCAACAUCUUCAGUUCAUCAACAGAAUCCAAAAUUUUCCCAGUAUCUUUAUAUAUCAUAACCAGAAAGAACACUUCCAACUCAUUCAAGAAGUUCUCUAUAUCGUCUAACAUAUUGGAUUUUGGCUUGUUAAAAUGUUGAAGCACUUCUCAAUGUCUAUGUUUCUUCCAUUGAUUGCCAUUCUCAUCUUUGAUCGUGUGAAUGAUAUUCCUAAUUCUUCGUUUGUUGGCAGUGAGAUGAAAGUAUCUGGUGUUCCUCUUACCAUCCAUAAUCCAAUCCAAUUUGUAAUGAAAAUUCAUGCAAAAUGUAUAUUAAUUAAAAACUUCUGCUAAAAUCAGAUGAAGCUUUGAAAGAGUAAAAUUGAAGUUCAAAUCUCAUAAAAUAUAAACCUUUUUUCUUUUGUCUUGAGGCUUUUCAUCUACUGCCUUAACCCUUCUCCAUUGUGGCCAUUGGCAAGGACAGCUGCAUGGGUUAACUUGUGAUAUUAGCUUAGUAAAAGUUUUAUGUAUUAUAUAUAUUAAUUUUUUUUAUAAUUCAUAAAAUUAACUCAAUCAAAUAUUUUAGAUAUAACAUAGUAUACUAUAGUACAUAUAUAUCAAUUUUUUGUAUAAAAAAAACCAAACAUCACACAAAAAAAAUUUGCAAAUAUUAAGAUACAAUUUCUUUUAUACGUUGGAUGUCGCCUCUUAAGAGUGAUUAUAUGAACCAACUAAAUUAAUUAUCGGACUCUAUAUAUAUAAAUAUCAAUUUUGUUUCUUCAUUUUCUUCUUGUUUUCCUUUUCACCAACUUUGCCCACCACACUCCCAAAAAAAGGCUUAAUUCGAUCCCAGUUUUUUGCCACCAGCAUAGGAAAUGUUGUACCCAUCAUAACACCUGCAAUAAUGCAACAUCAACAACCAAACAAAAAUUCUAACAUUUUGAAUUCAUUAACAAUAUAUAUUUAUAUACUUCAAUGAAGUAAGAAAAAUUCUAGUCAUUUCAUGUUUAAGAUCAAAAUCAUUUUGAAGUUAAACCAAUUUAAGUUGGAAUCAAACCAGGUUGGGCAUAUAUUUACCUCUACAAUGCGUUGGCAGAUCAAAGAAGGUUCCGGUAUAGGAGAAAAGCAAAAGAAAGGCAACCGUUUGUGGAAAUACAGACCAACAAUUCCCCUCAACAUCAGUCACAUAAAGUACCCAUCUUAUCACUUUAUCAGUCACUUCCCAACAAGCAUUUGCAGUUUCCAUGGCAACCUGUUCUCGCAGUUUUUCCAAUCUCAAUUUGGUUGCUUCUUCCCUAAUUAAAUCAAAGUAGUGAUGAUGAAGAGGAGGAUGAAACAAAAUUGGGAUUUAAUUAAUUGAAACUUUAGAAAUAUUGGAGAUUACUUACCGAUCAAGAAACCGAUUCACAUAUCUCCAAAUGAACAAUGCAGUGAUAGCAAAAAUGGCUACCCAUGAAACAAUAGUGAGGAAGUUGUAUUCGUAAACUUGUUGUAAUAGCCAUGUUGCAGCUGAGCUUGCAAAAAGUGAUCCACUUAUCUUCUUUCUCUUCCAUAAAGCUAUGUCGUUUACAAGCUCUGCAACAACAACAACAAAAAGAAAAGGUCGUAGAAAGCUUUCAAAGGUCAAUUUUGAUUUUGGUAAGCUAACAUAUGAAAUUUAAUUCUAACAAUAACUUAACAUAAUUUAAUCCUCUAAUUUUUGGUCGACAACCAUGUUUGUGGUGUGUGAACUGAUAGUGAUUUGCUCCUCCUAAUACAAAUACCAAAAUCAGAACCAAAAGGAGUAUAUCAGGAACUGACCUGCAGGCUGGGAAUUAACAAUUUUCUCAAAUGAAGCUUUGGAUCGAAUCAAAUCAAGAAAAAUGCCACCAGUAUUUUUAGCACCCGAAUGAAGAUCUUCAACCGCAAUAGAAAAGAAAAUCAUAACCAACAUCUUCAAUUCAUCCAUUGAAUCCAGAAUUUUCCUAGUAUCUUCAUAUAUCAUAACCGGAAAAAAUACAUCUAACAUCGUCCGAAUCGAAUUAUCCACUUCAAUCAGCUCUUUGGCAAACUUAUACUUCUUGGCGUAGCUCCAUGAACUCACCCUAUUUGAUUUAUCAACUAUUUCCUUAGCUCGAGUCAAAUGAUUCAACAGCCUCUCGAUCUCAUGCGAAUCAGUGGACCGACUUAUCUCCAUCACCCUCGGCGUAACCCAAUUCACCGUGUCGUUGAGAUGAUCGAGGAGUGGCUUGAAUCUUUUUUCCGUCCUCUUUGCUCUCUUUAUGGAAUCUAGUAAUAAGUUUAUUAUGUUUGAUAGAGCAACUCCUGGGACAACGUUCAUCAGUUGAGGAAACAUCAUGAACUAGUAUUGUUUUUGUUUUUUUUUUUUUAAAAUUGACGUGAACGUAAAAGGUGUACAAUAUAUAUAUUCAUGAACUCCAUUUUAUGAACUUUGUUUCUUGGAAUCUGCUUUGUUCAUCACUAGAAACUGAUGAUUUUAUGUAUAAUUUGACCGGGUUCUGAUAAAAUUAUUUCAUUUUGUAUCUGCUAGGAAACCUUCUCCUUUAUAUUUAAUUCCAACUUUCAGAUAGUUUAGCUUCAACAAAUCUUAUGAAAAUGGCAGAAAGCAACCUCUGUAUAUAUAUAUUGUAGCAAUAUAUGUGAACAAAAUGAUUAGUCAACUAAGCAUGAGUCAUCCUCCUCUUUUAUUAAAAUUUUCUGAAACUAAUGAAACUUUUCCUGGUUUGAUAUGUUUUGGUUUAUUUGUAUUCUUAGAAACUUUGAUUUCCUUCGCUUCGAUUUAUUUUUCUGAAUUAAUUAAUAUAUAAUUUUGUUAACAAAGCUUGUAUGGAAUAUGGUUUCUGUUUGAAACACUUGCUUUAUUAAGAAAAAUAAUAAUUUUUUUAUUAUUUAAUUGGAAUUUGGACUGACUUGACAAUAAACUAUUGCAAGUUGAUAUUGAAGGUAGUAAAAUCAUUUAAUUAAUUUAAAAUUUAGAAAUCGGUUGAGUUUUAAUUUGAUUAGUAUUAGUAUUGUUGUCAGUGUAAAGAGGAGGUGCUGAAGUUUAUUAUCCUCCUAUUUAAGAAUUUGGAGAGAGAUUAUAGAUCAUUUUAGACAUUGUAUAAAAAAACAGAUAUAAUAAGAACUUAUAACGACGAGAUAACAAUAUUUCAAAUUUUCUAUAAAAUUUUAAAAAAAAUUCAUCACUUGUGUAUUAAAUAAUAAUGUAUAUAAAUAAAGAAGAUUAUAUACAGAAAGAGCCAAAGUAAUAUAAAAUUUCAAGUCAAACUCCUAACUAACAACAACUUGAAAUUAAAGGACCAUUAAUAUAAUUUAUGUUUUUUUUUGGGUAUACUAUUAUGGCAAUUAUCAAAGCUGUAUCAAUAUCGUCAAACUAAUAAAAAAAACUAUAUAUAUAUAUAUAUAUAUAUAUUCGUACAUCAAAAACCAUAUUAAAUCUUAUUAAAAUGAUAAAAAUUAAAUUAUGACAGUGCAUGAUGUGGGCAGUGGCAGGGUGUAGUGUAGACGCAUGGUCCUCAUUGUAAAAUUUUAAUUUACAUCUUUUAUAAUUUAUACAAUUAUAAAUUAAUGGUAAAAUUGUAUUUUAGUCCCCUCAAAAUUAUAAAAAUUUUGAUUUAUCCCUUUAAAAAUUAUAAAGAUAUAAAUUAUUAAAGUGAUAAAAUUACUUUUUUAUUAUCAUAAAAAUUCAGGCUCCGUCAAUGAAUGUGGGUAAAAAAGUUAUGCCUAAAAGCAAAUGAGAUUUUGGUUGAAAUGAUGAAAUCUAUAAUGUCUUAGAUUUAAAUUUGUGGAUAAUUCUUAAGUUUAAAUUGGGGGAGAAUGUCUAAAAUUAUACAUGAACUUUGGUGCAAUAUGUAAUUAGACCUAUUUAUGGGCCGGACUACCUACCCAAAGUUUGGGAGGGUUUGAAUAAAAAUAUUAGGCCUAAAAAAUAGGUUUGGGUAAAAAAAUUAGGCCCCUUUUAAAAUAUGGAUCAGGCUCGAGCUUGAACAUUUAAGGCUUGAGCCCAACCUGACCCGACUCAACCUGUUUUUAAAUUUAUAAUACUUUAUAUUAUGUUAUUUUUAUAUAUUAUGUAAUUUGUAACACAUUAAAAAAAUAAACCUGUACUAAAGAUAUAAUUCUAUUCUAAUGUACAUAUUAAAAUAAUGUUAAGAAGACUAUAUAACAAUUUUCAAUUAAUAAAAAAAUAAAAUUAUGUAUAUUAAAAUAAAAUAAAUCUUUUUAAAAAAUAUUUAAAAUAUAAUAUGGGCAGGCCUAAAAUGACUUGGGUUAGUCUUUUGCAAAUAUGAGUGAGUUUGCGCAAAAUUUUAAACCAAUAUUUUGGGUCGGGCUGGGCUAAACAAACAUAAAGUAUGUUAAUAUCAUGUUUAGAUCUGGCCCAUGAGCACCUCUAUAUGAAAUGCUAUACACAAACUAUAAUUUUAUGCAAUUUUAUAUAUUAACUUAAUGUUAACUUAAUUCAAUUUUCACAAAUCACCAACAUAAUUAUCAAUAUAACAUCUUUUACAUUAACCUACCACAUUCACAAAUAAUUAUAUUUAUUCAAUAUAAAAAUAAGUUAACGUAUUUAUUUCUUCAAAUGUGUACAAUAAAGUCAAAAUCAAAUUUCCAUACCUACAUUUGAAUAGCAAUUAAAGUUUCAUUAAUAUAAUUGCAUCAAAGUUUUUAUAUUUAUCCUUUAAAUUGAUUUUUAUAAAUUUUAUAUAUAAUAUAAAAAGGCAAAAACACUUUGUGACUAUUGAGAGAGGUAUCCAUAGACCUCAAAAAGAUUCAUUUUCAUGGACCUUAGAACGAACAUGAAGGACACAUUGACCAUGGAAAAAAAUAUCAAAUCACUUUUUUUUUAUGAGUUACUAUAAUGACUCUACAAUGCUUAGAACAAGUUUUCAAUUAAAAUUAUGUGAGAGAAUAUUGCUAAUGAAACCUUAUUAAUGAAAUAUUUUUUAAUUUUUCAUGCUUCAAAUAUGUCAUUAAAGAACCAGGUAUUAAAUAAAUAAAUAAUUAUUAGAUUUAUUUCAUUCCCUGAAACGAAUAUAGUAUAUUUAACAUAAAUAUAAUAAGUAAUUAUAUAAUAAUCGUAAAAGGAAUAAUCAUAUUAAUAGAUAAAUAAGAGAAGAAUGAUAAUUCUAAAAACAACCUUUUAAAUGCGUGAUUGAGAACAAUAACAUGCUUGAAAGUGAUAAGCUUAUGGUGUUCAACGACCUAUCAUCUUUGCUAGGAUGGGAAGCUGAUUGCACACAUCUUUUGUAAUCGAUCAUGUUAACUAUGGUUAUUACCUUUCUGAUGAACCCAAUUUCUCUAUUUUAAUUUAGCAUAAUUAAUUAGUUGUUUUAUUUUUAUAAUAUUAUUUGUAUAUUUAAAUUGAUAACACCAAAUGAUUGGUGUGAUUUAUUUUUGCACAGUAAUUAUUAAUAAUAUUAUUAAUUUUAACCUACUUAUAGCAUUAUAAAAAUAGAAGGAUGAAGUUCCACCAAAAUAAAAUAAAGGAAUUGAAUUUUGCAUUUCAACAUAAUUGAAGAACUAAAAAACUAUCAAAAAAUAAAUGAGAUGAGUGAAAUUUAAAAAUUUCAUCUUGAAUUUAUCAAAUAAUAAUCCAUAUGUUUGUUAUUUAGUCUAUUUUUAAUUUUUAGCACGAUGGAAUGUGAUAAAAACACAUCAUAGGUUUAUAUCGAAGCAACAAUAUGAUUUUAGUUAUUAUCGAUCCAACUAAAUUAAUACUUGAUUAAUUCAACCAAUGCUUUAAUAUAUAAAAUAGUAUAGAAAUAUGUCUUGAUAACCCACUGUAACAUUUUUUAAGAAGAAAAUAAUGUAAGUGUAGCUAAUUAAGGGUUCGUUUAACAUUACUUUUGAAAAAUAUUUUUAAAAAUUACUUUUUAAAAGUACUUUUGAGAAUUUUUUUGAAAAGUUUGGUCUAGAUAUAAGUGUUUAGUAUUACUAUCAAAAAGUACUUUUAAGAAAUAAAAUAUCCAUUUUAGACAUGGUAUUAUAAAGUAACAAAUAUGCAUUUAGAUAAUGUUUAAAUUAGUUAAUAUCAUGAUAUUUUAGUAAUAAUAUAAAAAUAAUUUAUUAUAACUUGUUAAUAUUUUAAUAUAUGAAAAUAUAAAUUUUAAAUAUUUUUAAACAAUUAAUAUUAAUUAUUUAUAAAAUUUAAUUCGAACAUAUAAACUAUAUUUUAAAUAUUUAAGUAUAACCAUUAAAUAUUUGUAAUUAGAUAUUAACACAUUUGCAUUAUUUUAAAAAAAUACUUUUUUAUUUUUAAUUAAUGAUUUUAAUACAUUUUUAUUAUUUUAUUUUAAAAUGUAAUUUGAAUAUAUAAUCCAUAUUAGAUAUUAACAUAACAAAGAAAAUAUAAACCUAACAAAUUAAAAUAGGCUUAAGGGUGUAAAAAGGCCUCAAACUUUUCAAAAAAAAAAAACAAUUAAGCCCCUCCUUUUUUUUUUUUGCACUCAAUUGAAUACUGGAACUUUCAAAAUGCAUCAAAAAGCCCUCAAACUUCUUCCAAAAAAGUAAUUAAGCCCCAGCUCUUUUUUUUCCCACUCAAUUGGAUACUUGAACUUUCAAAAUGCAUCAAAAAGACCCUUAAAUUUUUUCAAAAAUUCAAUUAAGCCCCUGCUCUUAUUAAAAAUUAGAAAAAAAGUAUAAAAAUAAUAAAUAAUAAAUUUUAGAAAAAAUUUAUUAAAUUUUAAUAAAAAUAUAAAAAAUUAGAAAUUUGUUAAAAAUUAGGAUUUUUUUAUAAAAAUAUUAAAAAAUAAAAAAAAUGUAAAAUUUUAUAAAUAUCAUAAAAAAUUAAAAACCCCUAGUUCUUUUUCAAUUAAAGUCACCAUGUGUCGCAACAUAAUGUGUUAUGUGGUGAAAAAUGAUAAAAAAAAUCAAUAAAAGUUAUAAAAAAUUAUAAAAUACUUCUUUUAGUACGAUAUUUUUAUAAAAUGUUUUUACAAAAUUUAUAUUUCUUUAUAUUUUGUAUAAUUUUCUUACGACAUUAUAAAAUUUUAUAACUUUUUUUAUAUUUCUAUAUAUUUUAUAAUUUUUUACGAUUUUUAUAAAAUUUUAUAUUUUUUAUGAUUUUUAUAUAAAAUUUUCUAAUUUUUAAUAAAUUUUAAAUUUUUAUAUUUUUGUUAAAAUUUAUUAAUUUUUUCUAGUUUUUAACAAAAGCAGUGGCUUGAUUACUUUUUUUGAAAAAGAAUUGAGAGUCUUUUUGAUGCAUUUUGAAAGUUCAAAUAUCCAAAUGAGUGUAAAAAAAAAAGCAAGAAUUUAAUUACUUUUUCUAAAAAAGUUGAAGGGUUUUUUACGCCCUUAAGCCAAUUAAAAUAUUAUAUGUAUUUGAAUUAAAGUUUAAAAAAUAGGUAAUAUUUAUAUACUAAAUAUAAAUAUUAAAAAUUUUACAUUAACAUUUACAAGUACUCUUCCACUGCUACUUCACAAAUCAAAUUCUAUUCAAAGAAAGUGCUAUUACUUUAUUGUAUUUCAAUCUAUCCUAAAAUCAAAUCCAAAUUAGGAUGUCAUUAUACAAAUAUUCUCCACAAAAGUAGAUUGAAAAUGGUCCUAAAAUUGCAGGCAAUUUGUACAUAAAUCUACAUCACAAAAAUUAAAUCUACAAUCCAACAACAGAAUCAAUAUCAUUAAGAUGUUUCUUAGCAACUAAACAGAAAACCCAAAAAAAUCAAAGGAGAAAAAGAAGGCAGGCAAAAAGAGAUUAACCUGAAAUAGGGAAAAAAACGAGAGAAAGUUAAAUGGAGAGAUGAAAUGAUAGAUGGGAUUAGGGGAGUAGAAAGGGAUAGUGUGAGAGAGAGAGAGCAACAAAAACCCUUGGAGAAAAUGAAAGAAGGGAGAACCAGAGAAAAAAAAGGGAAAGUAUCGUUGGAUUAGAGAUGAAAAAGUAAUUAAGCACUAAAAAGUGUUUUGGGAGAAGAAAAACUAAAAAUUUUAGCAUCUCCAUUUGGUCAAAAGUAGUUUUAAAAAGCCAAAAAUCUCACAAAAAAGUUACAUUUUUAGCGAACUUUUCUCCCAAAAGUGAUUUUCAAGGCAAAAAUGCUUAUUCACGUCAAUACAAAACAAGUCCUUAGCCUUAGCAUGAUUAGUAUCGACAUUGCUGUCAGUGUAAGAAGACGUGGGUUUGAAUGUAUUAAACAGUAUUAUCCUCCUAUCUAAGGGUUGAUGAGAAACUAUAGGUAAUUUUACACAUUAUAUCAAAAAAAUAUUAAUAUUAAGAAAAAAUUCUUGUAAAUGUGAACACAUACCUACCUUUAAUUCUCUCAUUUCUACCCUCAUUUUCAUUCCAUUCUCUUACAUGAAUGCAUAUACAACACUCUUUUACCACACAUAAAACAAAUUACCACAUCUUUAAAUAAUCAAAUGCCAAUUCUCUCUUUUCAUACUUCUUUUUCAAGCUUUUGCCUCUCACCUAUGUUUUAAACCUGGAGAGAUUCCUUGAAUACAGAGUAGUAAAUUAACAGCUGUCAUAUUUUGAAGCUAGCAGAUCCCCUUUUAUCUAUAUAUAUAUAUGUCGUUGAAUAGAAGAAGGGGAAGAAUUUUGGGUUGGGAAGAAAGAGCUGAAACAAUGGGCAGAAAACCAUGUUGUCUCAAAGAGGGAGUUAAUAGAGGAGCAUGGUCUUUCAAGGAAGAUCAACUUUUAAGCAACUACAUUAAUCUCCAUGGUGAAGGACAAUGGAGAACUCUCCCUCAAAAAGCCGGUAUAUAUGUAAUAGCAAUCACUUUUUUAUUUCACUUCAUAACCUAUCUUCUUACUCUUGAAUGUGCUGGUUUUUAUGGCUGAAAAACCAGGUUUGAAUCGAUGUGGGAAGAGCUGUAGGCUACGAUGGAUGAAUUACUUGAAACCUGGUAUUAAGAGAGGUAACAUUUCUCCUGAUGAAGAAGACCUUAUCAUUAGACUUCAUCGUCUUCUUGGUAACAGGUAACUACUUUUUCAUUCUUUUUUUUUUUUAAUUUUAUAUUCUAGUCUAUUUCUGAUUUAAGUCCCUCUAUUAUCUUGAAAUUUAAGGCCCCUCCAGAAAUGGUUUUUAAUUUGUCUGCACUAGAAAUGGUAAAAUUUUAAAUUAAUUAAUAUAGUGAUAAAAUUACAUUUUAACACCUUCAAAAGUUUAUAACUUAAUAUUUCCCCCUCAAAAAAAAUUUUGAACGUCGCCUCUUAUCAUUAUCAAUUAACCAUUAAUUUACACUUUAAAGAUAGCAAUUAACAAUGUGUUAUCAAUUUGGAGCUACUAAUAACAUUAUAAAAGUAGAGGCAGAGGUGAAGGUAAAAAAUAAUUUUUUCUGGGGAGGUAUCAAGUUGUAAAUUUUGAUAAGAGUGAAAAUCAGGGGUGAAGUCAGAAAAUUUUUUUAGGGGCGAAUGAAAUUUUAAUUUUUAGUAGUCUAUAUGUUUAUAAUUUUUGAAGGAUUAAAUCAAAUUUUUAUAAUUUUAGGGGAGCCAAAGUAUAAUUUAACCUUUACUAAUUUAAAAUUCUAAAAAAUUUAAAGGGCCUAAAUAGUAAUUUUCCAUUUUAAGGGGGUCGGGGCCCCCUGCCAGCCCUUAGAUUCGCCUCUAGUUAAAAUUUAAUUUCGCCAUUGUAUUAGCUAAUAUCCUAGAUUCGCCUCUAGUUAAAAUGUAAUUUCACCAUUGUAUUAGGUAAUAUCUUUAUAAUUUUUUAAAAGACUAAAUUGAAUUCUUAUCACUUUUGGGGGUAAAGUGUAGUUUUAUUAUUACUAAUUUAUAGUUUUAUACAUUGUAAAGGGUAAAAAUGCAAUUUUCUAAUUUUUGGGGGUUAAGCCCUGCCUCUCCUCCCGCCACCUGAUGGAAUUAUAUCAAACAAAAUUAGAGAUUAAAUCUUAAAUUUUUCAACAUAGUAGAGGCACUAUAACUACAAUUAGACCUUUUAAUUUCUUGAAUUUUUUUUUUUAUAUAUUGGAAUUUUGCAGGUGGUCUUUGAUAGCCGGACGGCUCCCAGGACGAACAGACAACGAGAUCAAGAACUACUGGAACACCAUACUAUCAAAAAAGUUGAAUGCCGAUGUUUCAAAGAAAACAUCUGAAAGUGAAGACAUGAAAUCUAUCGAAAAAUAUUUAUCGGCCGGCAUUAUUACUCCGGUUGUACCAAAGGCCACUCGUUGCACUAGGAUUUUCUUCUCAUCUGACGAAGUUCAACACUUGAAGAACAACCAAUGCCCUCCUUUGUCAACCCCGACGGAUACCGAUGAUGGGUUAACGUUGGAAUCUUCCAAGGAUAACGAUGUUCCCGACAUGGAUAACGCUUUGGAUGACGUUGGUUUCUCACAAAAUGGGAUAGCGGACGUGUUUGAGAACAGUAACAUGCUCGAAAGAGAUGAGCUUGCACCAAUGUUUGAAACGAAGUUCAAUAAUGACUUAUCAUCUUUGCUUGAAUUCGAAGAUGAUUGGACAAAUUUUUUGUAGUCGAUUAAACUCUCCCUUACUCAUUCUAAAUGCUUACAAUUUCUAUUUUUGUCACUCCAAAAAAUUAAAUUUAUUAAAUUAGCCACUCCACUAUUAAAUAGUGGCGGAAGUCUAAUGAUGCAUUUUUAUAUUAGUUACUAAGUAAUAAACUAAGGUAUCUUUUAUAUAUAUAAAUACAAGUAAAAGUAUUAUGGAGAUGCUUGAUUUAAGAGUUGGAUUAUAUUUGUGUCUCCCUUACUAAAAAAAGACAAAUUAAAUUUUAUACAUUAAAUCAAAGAGUAAACUGAUUCUUCUGUUAAAAAUUUUAUCUAUUUCUACAAUUAAAAAUUGCCCUGUAUGUCAGCAUGAGGUACAUGUGGCAUGCGACGUGUAACUAUUUGGUUAUUUUGUUAGUCAAACUAGUUUAUAAUAGUAGAAACGGAUGAAUUUUUUGUGGACAUGAGUCUAAAGAGGUCCUACACGUUCUUAGAGAUUGCCCUGCUGCUAGAAGCAUUUGGGACAAAAUCGUUCUAGAUGGAACACUCUCAAGCUUUUACACCAAAUCUCUUUAGGAAUGGAUAACGGGCAACUUUCAGAUGCAUCAACAUUUUUCUUUGGUCAGGAUUGAUUAGCUGUCUUUUUUGGGAUCAUCUCUUGCCUCUUGGUGUAUUUAGAAAAACUGCAACCUGUUUUCCUUUCAAGGUAUUUCAUGGAGCACUGACAAAGUUCUUAAAGUUUCUCUUAGCUAGGCAAGACAAUAUACCUUCGCUUUUAAGUCAUUAACACAUAGAAUCCAAAGGUCUUUUGAUAGUUCACCUAUGGAAAAAAAAUUGGGUGUGCUUAAAUAUGGAUGGUUCAAUGAGAUAGGAUGAAGGAUUUGUUGCAGCAGGAAGCUUAGUGCAGGAUCAAAAUGGUAGAUGGAUCAUUGGGUUUAACAGAUACUUGGGAAAUUGUACAGUGACGGAGGCUAAACUUGGGUAUCUUGGAUGGGUUAAAACUUAUUUUAGAUAGAAUAUUUGAAAGAGUCUUAAUUCAAACAAACAGUCUAGAAGGCUACUACUACCAUUCAGGAACGUGCCUUUAGAAUCUCAAACUCAACACUCCUUAGAAGAAUUCAUCAUAUCCUGAAAAAGAUAAAGUAGUGGAAGAUUCAACAUAUCCCCUGGGAGGAAAACACAAUUACAGAUAGACUUAUCAAGAUGAUUCGUGAUAGAAAGUCAGGUUUAAGAUUGUUUGAGGAUCCUCCAUUGAAUGUCUAGUUUUUUUAGUCUAUAUCUUGUAUUUUUCACCAAUUUUUUUAUUAAAAUACCCUCUCAUUUACAAAUUAAAUUAUAUUUUAUGAAGGCAUUUUUAUCUUUUUUAUAUAAUAAAUCAAUAAAAAUUUGGUCAUAAUUUGAACCCAAAUCCCCAUGCUUGGUAAACAAUUAAUUUUACUAUUGUAACCAAAUCAUCAAUUAACUUUUAUAUAAAUUUUUAAUAAAUAUAUUUGUUACAUAUUUUUUACUUAUAUCGUGAGUGUAUCAUAAAUCUAAGAAUAAUAAUAAUAAUAAUAAAUUUUAAAAAUUAUUGUGUAUAAAUAAAAAUAAUAUAAAAUUAAUCCAUAAUAUAUUAAUAUUUUAAAAAUUAAUUUUUUAAAUAUGAAUUCAAGCUAGUUAGGUAAGAAUUUGCAGAAUCUUUAUCCAGAAUCUAGCUAUGCCGAGUGGGCUAAUUUUUAAAAUUAAUUAAUAAUAAUAGCUGCUACAAUUUUUACAUGCUAGACAUUUAUGGUCCACCUCAACCUAAAUAAAAUAAUAGAAAUACGUUGCAUGUACAUUAUAUAUUGGUUGACUUUUUGUAUGGUUUUGGUCUUCUUUGAUCUGUCACAUUAAUUCACCAAAUUAAUGUAAAAUAAAAUAAAAAUUUGAAAUUAUUUAAUAACAAAAAUAUUUUAAAAAAAUGACUUAAUUCACUUUCUCGGGGGAGACUUACUUCACUUAGGGCAUGGCUUUUCCCCUUACACAAAAUAUUGUUUUCUAUGCAAUCAAAUUUAGUAUUAAUGUAUUUUAAAUAAAAAUAUUUAAAUAAUAAUUUUAAAAUAUUAAAAUCUUAUGUCAACUGGUACGAGUUUAUAUGCACUAGUAUGAAUUAAUAUUAAUUGGAAUGGAUUAAAACACAUUGGUACAAUCUGUACUAACCAAAAUUUACAGUAGAAUGAAAAAUAUAAUUUUUUUUUCAGUUUACAACUGGAAUAAAAUGUUCCAACCGAUAUAAGCAAUGUCGGUACAAAUUUGAUUUCCUUAGUAUUGUAUAUAAUAGUUUCAAAAUAUAUAAAAUAUUAUACCAAUAAGUGUUGAGUAUUCCGAAUGGAAAAAAACAUAUUUAAAAUUUGGAGAUAACUUUGUUGGGAGUGGCCAUAAUGAACCUUAAACAUAGACUGUAAAAUCGGAUAUUAUGAGUACUAAUAAAUAUGUAUAUAUAAUAUUUUAAUGACAUAAUUUGAUACUUGAGUUUGACACUUUUUUUAUCUAAUGUGAUACAUGUGUUAUUUUUUUGUCUAACAUGAUACUUGUAUUUGACAAAAGUUAUAAAUUUUGGUACUUGAAAAUAACAAUGUUAACCUUUUAGUGUUUAAUUCGAGUUUUAAAGUUGAUUUGAUGAAAUUCAUAAUUAGCUAAUAAUAUUAGCAAUUAACUUUCAUAAAUCUCAUCCAUCGAUCGGGUUGUGUUUGACAAAGUAACUAUUAAAAAAUUAACAUCGCUAUUUUUAAGUACCAAAAUAUAUAACUUUUGUCAAAUACAGAUAUUUAAUUGAAUAAACUCGAAUAUUACAUAAUGUAUUAAACCUAUUUUAAAAUUAAUUUUUAUAUUGUAACAUGUCUAAAUAAGAGUUUUGGAUAAAGAAAUUGAAAUUUUCCUUGUAUAUGUGACAUCCUAUGAAUGUGAAAAGUGAAUCCAGUCAUCAAUUAGGAGACACCGAGACAGCAUAAUAAGUCCACAGCUUUAAUGCUUCCAAUAGAAUUAUAGAAAGCAUACAAUUGUGGACAAAAUUCAAAGGUCCAACACAGAAAAUAAAUUAUGCUUUAAUUUUAUGAUUUUUUUAAUUAGGCCCAAACUUUUUCUUAUCAAUUUCCCAAUUUGGAAAAUUUGGACAAGGCCUAAGAGUAUAGACUCAACAACAGCUGGAAAUUAGGGAUCUCAUUGUAUUUUUAAAGGUAAAAUCAUGGUUUUAGCCCUUUAGGGUUUUCAUUAUUUCGAAAUAUGAAUAGACGUGAUGUCAAAUUUUUUGUGUUAGACGUUGAAACUAGAUUAAAAAAAUUUAGCGAUUUUUUUUAAUAAUUUCGUUAUAGGUUUUAAUCAUAUUUGUUCUUUUUGACAUAAUUCCUAGAACUACUCAUAACUCCCCCUUAACCCAUAAAUAGGAGGAUAAUACACUUCAAAGCACUCGAACUGACGUCCUCCUGCAUUAGUAAUAAUGUUCAUGUCAAUCAAACUACGACUCAAUUGACAAUUUUAGCAAUUUAAUUUUAGCGAUUUAAAAGCAUAAAUUUUAUACAAACAACUUUCCCUAUAACAACCAUGCAUUAUAAUAGUAUUUCAUUAGAAUAACAUGUUUAUUGUAGAACCGGUUGUUUUUAUAAUUUUUAGGUUUAAAUGAUAAAUUUGGCUAUUAACGUUUUCAUGUUCUAUCAAAAUGACUCUAAUUGUAUUUUUUGAACAUUUUUUGGCCGUCAACCUUUUUUCCAAUCUACUUUUUAUAACAGAUUUAAUGAAAGUACCUUUAAAAAAGUUAAAGAAGAUGAUGUGGAAUUUCAUAUAUGGAAUUUUUUUAAUGAGAUGUAAUUUAUUACUUAGAUAACUCAAUAAAAUAAUUACAUGAGGAAAACAAUAAAAUAAAUAAAUAAUACAUUAAAUUAAAAAAAUCUUAAUUUAAAGAAAAUAAACGUAAUUAUCUAAAAAAACUAACUGAGUAGAAAAACUUCUCAGUAUACAAACGUAUGAGAGAUUGAAACCUUUUGAAAAAAAAAAGAAAAAGAAAAAUUGUAACUUUAAAUUUAUUCAUUAAAUCGGUUGAAAAAACAUAUUGAAAAAAAAAAAGGUUGAUGGCCAAAAAAGACUAAAAAAUACAAUUAGAGCCAUUUUGACAAACCAUGCAAACGAUAGUGACCAUAUCUAUUAUUAAGCCUAAUUUUUACAACUUUUUAACUAUAACAAUAACAAUCCUAAAGUAUGGAUUAUACCCUUUACAAAAUAAGUUCUCUAUUACAACCUUAGCCACUUACCUUAAAUUUUAGUAAAAUUAAUUUUAUUUUUAAGUGAAAUAAAAAUAAUAAUUUUUACAUGAUCUAUUACUUCAAUAAAAUGUUUAAAUUUUAUAUAAAAAUUUAUUAAUCAUAUAUCAUUAAAUGAUAAUAAUCUUUAAUAAUUAGAAUUACAUUUAUAAGUUUUAUUAAUGAUGCGAUUUAAAUCUCACUAAUAAAUAUUAAUAAUAUAUUAUGAUUUUAAAUUUUAAAUUUAAAAAAAUUAAAUAUGAUCUAAUUCUUAAAUGUUGUUAGAAGUGUCUCGAAUGUUGUUAUAAGUGUAUAACAACCGUCUCUCUAACUUUCAAAAUUUGGAUACAUAAAUGGAUUAUUAUAAAGAUAAUUGAUUGUAUCUAAAAAAAAUAAAUUCAACUAUAAAUCUUUGGAAAUUGCUAAAAGAAAAUUAUAACAAUUUCAACUAAGGGAGGUAAAACCCAUGGUUGCCACCCUUGAAUCUGCCCCUAAAUAUAAGAUUUUUUAUACUUAAUAUAAUUUGAUGUCUUCAAUUUUAUUGGUAGAAGGUAAGGGGGAAUGGGUUAUCCAAGGCAUCAACCUAAGAUUAGAUGUUAAUGCAAUACUUAAACCAAUAAGUUUUGUGGUUGAUGGUCAUGUCAAAAUACAUUUUUAGGGAGGCAAAAGCAGUUGGUGAGACUAUCUAUCAACAAUGAAUCAUAGUUACAAAUCUUCAACAAAGCUCCUAUAUUAGUGGAGAAUGCAGUGUUAGGAGACAUGUUUGGUGUAACCCAUGACCCUAAUUGUGUUAUGUGAUUUUUGUUAGCUUUAGGAUAGCAUCUUUUUUUAAUUCCAAAUUAAACUUGAUUAUAGGCUGGAUCGCGAAGAUUCGUUCGAAAAAUGAAAAGAUUUUUAUAAAAAUAUAGGUUUGAAAAAUAAACUUGGGUAAAAAAAUGAGGCCUAUUUUUUAUACAGGUCGGGUAAGCUUUUUUAACUCAACCCAAAUUUGCAAGAAAAAAAUCCUGCUACUUUUUGUUGUUGGUUUGAUAUUAUUUCGCUAUUAUAUUGUUACUGUUUUGUUGUUAUUGUUUAGAUAUUGUACAACUCUUGUUUUAUUGUUAAUUUUGCUACUAUUUUAGCAGUAUUUACUUACUAAGUUGCAUCUAUUUUAAUGUUAUUUAAGUUUAAAUAAUGUUUUUAGUAUACUUUAUGUACUAUAUUUUUUAAAUUUAUUUUUAUAUAAAAAUAAUAAUAUAAAAAAAUUAAUAGGAGCGGGCCGACUCGAGUUUGGGUUUUAUUAUUUUUAUGCAAACCGGACUUGAGUAAAAUUUUAAGCCCAUUUUUCAAGUCGGACCUUGACAUAAAAAAAUAGGUCUAAAAUUUUAUUGAGAUCCAACUUGACUCGACCCAUAAUUAUCUCUACACCAAAUGAAACCAAUGCAAUGCAAACUUUUUAACUAUUAUUUGGUAACAUGGUGAGAGUGACAUGGAAAUUUAGUAAAAAUUAUUUAAUUAAUAAUACAGAAAAUAAAAUUAUGGAUUUAAACUUAUAUAAAAACAUUACAAAAAUUGACAUCUCAAAUUUCAUUAAUAAAACCAUUUUUGAAUAACAUCAUUAGCAUGAUCUAUUUGAUGCACUAUUUAUGUUGAGGCUAUUGAACCUACAUUAUCCAUCUACUCAAUCUCUGAGUGGAUGCAAUAUUCAAUGAGACCACCUAUCGUAAUUAAUAGGUAAACUUUUAUUGUUGGUUCUAUAAAUUUUCUUUCCAUUAUUGUUCAUCCAAGAGUAAUCCAAUUCUUAAUCUCAUAUAAUUCACAAUUUUAGCUACUAUAGUCUUGGCAUUAGUCCCCUACAUAUCACCAUUCCAAAUCCCUUUACUCUAUAAACUAUAUAUACAAGGACGUGUGAAGUUAGCUCUCAUUUCACAUUAUAAAAAUCACAAUAUUUCAAUUUUGAUCCUUCUUUAUGCCUAGAUUUGAGAUUUAAUUUUUAAUUGAAUUUAAUUCUUAUAUUUUUAUAAUUUUAUUAGUUAGUUCAAAUAAUUAAUAUUGUUAACUAUUCGAAGAAAAAAAAAUCUAUUCUGACAUUAUGAGAUGAAAUAAUGAUUAAGGAUACUAAUUAAUGAGGUUAUAAUAAUAAAGGCAGCAAAUUAGAUCAAAUAAAAAGUAUACAAAUUAAAUCAUAAAUUUAAGUAUAAUAGAGUGAUGAAUACCACGAUAUGGCUUAAGACCACCUAUACCUAAUACAAUUGUUUCUUAUAUAUAUAUAGUAAUUGAAUGUAUAAUAGAAAAUAAAAUAUUCAACAAUUUUUAAUAUCUUUUUACAGAUUUAUAUAUAUUACAUAUUUGAAUAUUAAAUUUAUUAUGAAAGAACAAAGACAAUAAUUGCAAGCAGAAGCAAUGCUUAAUAAUAAUGCCAAAAACUAAGGUACUAGUGAAGAAUAAAGUAGAAAAACAAACAACAUUCAAAAUGUUUAUGCAAUUCGGUUUUUCGAUAUCUGUAGGGUUGUCGAGGUUUUAUUCAGAGAGAUAAUUUACUAUCUUAACACCUCAUACAACAAGUGAUUACGAGAACUGGCACUCACUAGAUUAGCAAUCUCACAUUUGCACCUAAGAUCUAGAUCACUCUCCUCUAAGUUUUCCCCUUGAAAACUUAGGAUAAAAACCAAGUGAUUCACUUGGUUUCUUACAAAAUGAACUCUAAAAAAACAAGUUCUAAAUAACAAAAAAUGUGUUAAACUUCUCCACACCUUUUACCUACACAAACCAUUAAUAUAUAAGAGUUUAAGGCUGAUUAACAUAAAAAUUAAUUACCAUCAAUCGUCCCAUCAAAAUAAUAAGAUAAUAAGCAUAUAAAAUAUCUUCAAUAAGUUCAAGAUAAUUCUUCAAAUUUUCAAGAAACGUUAUCAAGUUACCCAAACCAAUUCAAUCUUCUCAAAAUAGGAAAGCCGAUUUGCUUGAUCCAAUCUAAACCAAUAUUCAAGUUAUGUUCCUAUAAUAGAUUUAGAUAUCAUAUAUGAGCUUACAUAUGUCCACAUAAUUAACAAAGAGCACAUCCUAAAGAUUUUGUUAACAAAAAUUGUCAACUCCAUAUGAGACAAGUUAUAAGGCUGAGCAAUGCUAUAUAGUAGAAUGCACUAGUCUAGAAACUAUUCAUAAUUGUCUCAACAAUAAAACCCAUAUUAAGGUUGGACAAGCCUUCCAUAUUUGGAGCAUGAAUCCAACUUCACUAAGCAAACUUCGAUCCAUCAUGAUCUACCCAGAUUUCAUCAAAUAAAUUACUCUUUGUCUUUGUAUAAGGAAACAAAAGAUCAUAAUACUAAAUAUUUUAAUGCAAAUAUUUUAGAUACUAAUUCACUACUUAAAUUCACUUUUAUCUUAAUGCAAAUAUUUUAAAUAUUUAAAUUUUAAUCAGAAUUAGAAUCACUCAUAAUACUAAAUAUUUUAGAUAUUCAAAUAGAAUAUUCAUUUUUAUUGUUUAAAAAUAAUGUAAUAAAUUUUAAUGUUUUUAAAAAUCUAAUUAAUAUAUUUUAUUUUAAAAAUCUAAUCAAUUCACAAAAUUAUUAUUUACCAUUGAAAAACAUGCCAUAUGGAUAAUUGAUUUUAAUGGACAUGAUGAAAGAGAUAAAGGCAUAAACAUUAUUAGACAAAUUUUAAUUGGCAUUCCAUUUGAUUAAACAAAAAGCCAUUUAACCAUCAAAUGAACACCCUUGGAAAUUUUGAGAAAAAAUACCUAGUAGGUUUAACAUAUCAACACCAAAAACUACACACACAUCAUUUUGAUUUAAGAUCAUGUUCCUAACAUGAAGAUGGUGGAGAAUACAACUGCAAGACAAAAACAAACCAAAUCACAUGGCAUUAAGUCACCAAAGAGCAAAUAAACAAAAGGAUUAUAUAGUACUAUUUGUACUUUCAUGUAGCUAGUAAAUUAGUACUAAGAUUAACCUUGUACUAGAAAUUAACAUGAACAAUGAACCCUCCAAAAGAGGUGAUGAUAUUCACUUGACCCCAUUGGCAGGGGUUGAAAUAGCAAGAUCAGGCCAAGAAAAACAAUCCCCACCAACAAAUCCAGUCUCUGCACCUUCAAACUGCCAUGCAUUCCCCAUUCCCGUGGCAGCUCCACCAUUACCACGCCCACCACCACCACCAGCGGCCCCUCCAUCUCCUACGCAUGGCAAAGGCCACAUUCCUCUUCCAAGCCCAAACCCAACAUCAUCAAGUGAUGGAGCAAUACCUAGCCCAAACCCACCAAGUGCUAGAAAUCCAGGUCCUUGAGUAUUCAACAAUGAAGUGAAACUUCCAAAUAUAUUGCUUCCUUUGGACUCUCCACCGAUACUAAAGCUUCCUUGGUUGGAUGAGAUUGGCAACAAAACCGGGGUAGCAGGUAAUGGGAAGCUAUUAUAACUGGUUGUGGUGGCCGUGGUGGUGGUGGCGGCGGCACUAGGUGCAGCAUUGGUUGUGGAAAAGGUGGUGGUGGUGCCAAUGUUGCUACGUGAACGCUUAGCAUUUUUCCUAGUGCCACCACCAACAGGGAUGUCCCUAAGUGUACCACCAUGAGUCCAAUAACGUCUACACGACUUACAGAAAUAACGAGGCUGAGAAAAGUUAUAGUUGUUGUAAUAACAAAACUUCGUGUUAGUGGAAUCACAACGUGGGCAAAGCAGUUGUUCUUGUUCUGGUGGUGGGGCGCCAUUGUUAAGCCCCUUGUUAAAACGCCUACAUUGAUCUGCAGAACUGGAUGGCAUUUUCAAACCAAAACAGAAAAGAACAAAACAAGCUUAAGUUAGAGAGUAUCAAGGGGGGGGAGGGUUAUGGGGGGAAAAUGAGACAUGUUGUGAAGGGUUUAUAUUAUAAGAGAGAGAGAGAGAAGAGUGAAGAAAACACAGGCUUUUUACAGUGUUUUGUUAGGCACGAGAUUCUUUGAUCAGUGACUCUGCAGGAUGAGGUCUGACCCUCUGUGUUGAGGGUCGGCUCCAUCAGGUAUAGCAAUGCUGCAUGGUGUUGUUAGCUGUUUGAUUUUGGAUUUUUCUUUUUUUUUUAGUUUUUGGAUUUUGUAGAAUUAGGUAAAAUUACUGGGAGGUUACAUUAAAUUUUAUUUUGUUUCAUUUACAUAAAAUUAGUUAAAUUAAUUCUCGUAUGUUCAAUUAAAGAGAAAAAUGAUUAUUUUUGUUAAAAAUUUUAUUUGUUUUUACUAUUAAAAUUAGUCUAGCGGACUGACUAAUUAAAUAGUUAUGUGUGGUGUGCCACAUGUACUUUAUCUUGACAUGCAGAGACAGUUUUUUAACAAUAAAAAUUAAUAGAAUUUUUAACAAAAAGACUAAUUUACUUUUGAUAUAAUGUAUAGAGACUAAUUUACCUAUUUUUAGUAGAAAAAAUGCAAUUAGACUCCUAGGUACAGUAGGCUCAUGCCUAGAAAAGGAAAAAUUUAAAGGUUAAAUUCUACUAUUACUCUAUUAGUUCCUAUACUUGUUAAAAGUUAUGAAUUUAAUCUAUGUACUUUAAUUUGAUCAAUUUUAGUAUAUGUACUUUUCGAUUUGGUUAAUUUUAGUCUCUGUAUUUUUCAAAUUCUAAAAUUUUAGUUUGACCCAAACAAUAGUAGUUAAAUCAAUUCGGUUAUAUUCAAUUACUAGUCUUAUACUAUGCAUACCGUUGUAAAUUUAUUUCAUAUUCUCUAAUUUGAUAAUUUUAAGUCAUUAAAUUUUUCGAAUUUUAAAAUUUUAGUCUUGAUGCAAAUGACAAUAAUUAAUCCAUUAACUGAAUUUUUAGUGAGUAAUAUGUCAAAAUAGUAAGCCGACAUGACAUUACACAUAUGAUACAAUGUUUGCCGCAUCAAAUUUUGGAAAUAGAAGAACUUAAUGAAUUUAACAAUUAUCAUUUGGUGAGGACUAAAAUUAUAAAAUUUGAAAAGUAUAACAACUAAAAUGACCAAUUAAAUAUAGGGAUUAAAUCCACAACUUUCAUAAAAUAUAAGGACUUAUAGUAGAAUUUAACCAAACUAAAUCUAACGGAUAUAAAGCAGUCAAAUAAAGGUCCCAUUUUGGAUUUAUGUAAAUUAACAGUAGUGAAAAAGACGACAAAAUUCAAAAGGAUAUACAAAUUUGUCUAAUUCUGAUAAUGGCAGUAACUAAAUCAUAUUUAUGGUCAUAAUUUUGAGGGUUAAAAUAUGUUGUUAGUCCCUAUAUCCCUACAGAAUUUAAGAUUUAGUCUUUGUACUUUAAAAGUUAAAAAUUCAAUCUCAAAUCCUAGUCCAAGCAUUAUUGUUGUAGGUAAUUUCUAGCAAAAUUUGUCAACCUAACAUUUUUUUUCCUUUAAUCAUGUACCACAGUCAUAUGAGGACAUUUUAAUUACUAAGUCAAAUUAACAAAAAAAGGGAACGAUAUUAAUGAUUGGAUUGAAAAAAUUUUAAAUUAAAAAAGUAGAAGGACUUAAUUUUUAACUUUUUAAGUACAUAGAUUAAAUCUUAAAUUUAUCGAAAGAUAAAGACUAAUAGCAUAUUUCAACCUACCACUUUCAUAAUUAGGGCCGAGUAAAAAAAAUAAAAAAUCGAUCCAAACAGAUGUUGUUUGGAUGAUUUUGGUUCACAAAUUAAAAACUGUAGUUAACCGAAAUGAACUAAAUUUUUUUAAAUUUAAUUUAUAGUUAUUUUUAACUUUUUUAUAAUGUAAAAAUUAAAUAUUUUUCGAAAAUUUAAUUAUUUUUUUUUCUUGAAAAAUUAACUUUUUUGUUCGAAAUAAUAAUAAAAAACUUUAAAUAAGAUAAUAUCCAAAAACCAUUAAACAAAGAAGAUUUUAUUAAAAUAAAGUUCAAAAAUUCAAACCACAAAAUUAAUAUGAAAAAAUAAAGAAUUGAACCAAAAUAAAUUAUCAUAAAGGUUUUAAAAAAAUUUUGACCAAAUUGAACUGAACUCACUCUUAUUUAUAAUGUUGUUAGUAGAUCCAAUUUGAUAAUUAGUUGUUGUCAUUAAAAUGAUCACAUGAACUUUAUUUUUUUUAUCGAUAUUCAAUUAUAUAAUAAAGAUCACUCAAAAAUCUAGUUAAUCAUAUUCAACCGAUAAUAAGUUUACAUGUUAAUGAGAUUGUUUUAAAAAAUAAGUUCACAUAUUCAUUUAAUAGCAACAUCUAAAAAAUUUUCUAAUCUAUGAUAUUAUUUAAACCCCUCACUGAAUUAGUGUCACGAGUUAACCGAGCACAAACUCAAGUAAGAAAAUUACUAAACUACCAUUAUAUAUGUGAGACAAGUUAUAUUUUUAGAAUGAUACUUUUAUCUUCUUCUAUUUUAAAUGAAACCAAUAAAAAAUUAUAGAUGAUAUAAUUUGAACCCAUGUCAUCAGCACGACAUAAAAUCUCAAUUUUACCACUUCAACCAAAACUUCUAACUUGAUUUCUUUUGUAAAUUUUAAUAUUAUUACACAAACAUUGCUUACCCAUGUUAGAAUUUAUAUCAGAAGUCAACUUAAUACCUACUCGAUUGAGAAAAUUUACUAAAAUACUCUUAAUUUAAAAAAUAAUUACUAUUAUUAUAAGAAUAUUUUUGUUUUUUCAUACUUUUAUAUAAUCUUCAACUAAAUCAAUUGAAAAACGAAUCAAAUAUGAGACCACAAAUUUAUAUAGAAAUUUCUUAUAGGUGGAGCGGCUGGAGAUGGAUUGGCAACGGACUUGCCUCCCUCUGAAAAUAUAAAAUUUAAUUUUUAAUCUUUUAAAUUAAUAAAUGAUAAAAUUAUAUUUUGACCCCUAAAGCUUUCGUUACAAAAUACAACUAAAUUUCAUGUUGAAAAAUGUUUUAGGUUCCCACCUUUUCUCACUCCACCGUUGAUGAUAGGUGUAUUAAAAAUUUUCAUUCAAGUUUUCUUAAAAUUCUUUGUUUCACGUUUCUUUCACUCCAUUUUUAAUUUGCUAAAAUAGGAAGUAGACCAUUUCAACAACAAAUUUGUUCCCUAUGAAUAAAACUUUGGGGUGCAAAUUGUGGCAUUGCCAUCGUCCCAACAAUUAAAUAGACCGAACUGAAAGUAGUACAGACAAAGCAUGCCAAAGAGUUUCAGCUAAUAAUGUCGAAUUCCCGACAGGUUCUGGCCGAGCAAUGGGGGGGGCCAAAAGAAUUCGAAACAAACUGGAGUUUUGAUGGUCAAAAGAGUAAGAGGAUAGAGAUUGAUGGAAGGGGUGGUGGGGAUGGGGAUAGUACAGACAGAAUCAUGAGUUGUCGGACAGCGUGGGGUUCAAUUAUAGGGUCACCCCCUCUGAUUUUCCGACACCUCAUGUCCGUAUCAGAUUCCUGGUCCGUACCUUCCGGUCCUUUCCCGAUCUUCUUGCCGGAUUUCUCGCCCCUACUGUUACUGUUUCGCUGUUAGCCUUGGAUUGCUUCUCUUUGUUUUGGAUGUUCACCGUUGAUUUAGCUUCACGGUACUAGACCCAGCAGGAACCCGGGGCUGCCAUUGCAGGAAGAGAUGCUGUCCUAUAAUCUGGUGUUGGAUAAAAUGAACAGUGUCCUAGGUUUAUGAACCCUCUGUCCCUCUAUGAAGAAUCUUUUGCAAAAGAUUACAGAGUUUAUUAUGAAAGGGUAAACUAAACUUAAUAUGUUUCAUGCAUUACAAAUGGAGCCACUUGAUUUGAUUUUGGUAACGUUUAUGCUAUUCCUUAAUAUUUAGGGUAGAUUACACCCAAAGGUAAUUAAAUUAAUAGUAAAUUUAUAUUUUGGUUCCUCAACUUCAAAAAGUUACAAAAUGACCAUUAAACUAAUCAAAAAUUUUCCUUUUUAAGUUAAUGAACUAUUUUGAAAGUUUUUAUUUAAGUCAAUGGGAUAUUAAGUUUUUUUUAUUUAAAGUCCAGCUAGCGAGCUCUAAGCGACUAUCAAUACGGUGGAAGUACCCAUUGAUGAAUUGAAGAACAUAUUUUAGAUCGAAGUCAAUUUGAUAGUCAGUUUUGAAAAACAGAGAAGAAAGUUGUUUCAAAUUUGUUUCAUGAUAAAAAAAAUUGUAGAAGAGACAGGUAAUGAGAACUUUCAAUUGGUUUAUUGACCAUUUUGUAACGUUGAAUAGCUUAGUGACUUAUAUGAAAAUUUUUGAAUAGUUUAUUGACCAUUUUGUAAUUAUUUUGAGUUGAGUGACCUUGGAUGUAGUUUACCUUAAUUUUUAACUCACUACUGUACAUAUUAGUAGAUUGUAUAUAGGUUAAACUAUGCCAUAAUACCUUGUACUUUUUAAAUUUUUGAAAUUUAAUCCCUAUACUUUUAUUUCUAGAAAUUUAGUCUAUCUACUUUUCAGAUUUCAAAAUUUUAAUUGAUCCAACUGUUAAUUUUUUUUUGUUAAAUUAAGAUUAGUUACGUCUUUUUUUAAUUAUUUGGCUACUAAGUUUUUUUUUAUUUCAAAAUGUCACACCAACAAAUUUAACAAAAAAAAAUCAACAAUAUUAACAAUUGGACCUGAAUUUUGAAAUCUAAAAAGUAGAAGAACUAAAUUCUUAAAAAUAAAAGUAUAAUGACUAAAUUCAAAUUUUUGAAAAACAUAGACUUAUAACAUAUUUUAACUGGAAGUAUAUUCUUGAAUAAAUUAAAAAUUAAUAAUAGUAAGCUUGGGACACCUUUAUUUAACAUCUUAUUCGUAGCAUUGAUUUAAUACUAUAUCUUAAUUAAGCAUAAGUUCAAUUAGAAGAAAAUAAUUUACAUUCAAAAUAAAUUUUAAAAAAAACUUAUUUAUUACAAAUAGAAAUUAUUUAGUAGAUUUUCAUGUCACAUCACUCAUGAUCUCAUCUAAUAAUAUAAUGCCAUGUGAAAUGGGUAACUAAAAGAGAAAGUAAGGAAAAUCUCAUGUGAUGGCUUGAUGGUCAACGUGUUUAUCACUUUAAGUGUGACUUGAGUUUAAAUCGUGUUAGUCGUAUUUGUUGUAAUUAAAAAAGAAGAAGGAAGUAGAUGAUUUGAAAAUGAUGAGUUGGCAAAAAUUUUAAUCACCUGUAAAAAUAUUCCAUAUAAUAUUAUAUUAUUAGAUGGGAUCAUGAAUAAUUUGAUAAGGAGGACUUACCUAAUAAAAUUCCCCUACAAAUCUUAAACCUAAAAAACCAAAAUUUUAAAUUUCAAAUUGAACCUCAUCCAUCAUGAGUGUAUAUUGGGCUAAGUUUGGGUAAGUCAAAUUUUGUAUAGCUAAGCUUUGGGUUUUUCUUGUGGGCAGCAUCCUUCACCAUUUAUAAAAAGGGGACAAUUCAAAUGUUAGCCCCAAAUUUAUGUGUCAUCUCCAACCCAAUACAUCCCACAAAACAGGCCCCAAUAGCGUACAACAUUAAAGUCUAUUAUAUAACUUCAACAGCAUAAUCAAAAAUCCCGAAAAUAAAUUAUAAAAUUAUAGUAAAAAAUAUAAAAAAAUAAUUAUUUAAUUUUGUAAUAAUGAAAUUUCAAUUUAAUGAUAAAAUUAAACAUUUUAAAACUUUUAAGAUUUUAAGUUUAACUACCUUAUUUUUCUCAUAUUUUUAUUAUCAUGGUUUGAGUGUUUCUAUUGUAACUGUCAUUAAAUAUGAGACUAAUUCACAAAUCGUCAUUUUUUCUAUAUCGGAGUUAGAUUGUAUUCUGACUUUUUAUUAAAAAAAUUGGAUAAAUCAAAUCUUAUACGUUAGAUCAAAGAGUAAAUUGUUAAAAAUUGACGUAGCUAGUUGAAUAAUCAGAUAGUUACAUGUGAUAUGCUAUGAUGUACAAAGACAAGUUUGUAACAGUAAAAAUAGAUAAAAAUUUUACUAAAAUGAUCAGUUUACUCUUUGAUCUAAUAUGUAAUGAUUGAUUUGCUCAUUUUUUUAAUUAAAAAGGACAAAUUAUAAUCCGACUCCUAAUACAAAAGUUGUUUUUCACAUUUAUGAUGUUUUAAAAUCUGUAUGGUCGGAAAAUUUUAAAGACAUGGCCAAGUAUAAAAGCAUUGAUUAAAUCCCGCAUGGAUUAAGCAUUGAAGACUGAGAAAACCUUUGGAACAUUGGUACUCGGCAUCAAUGGCAAUGCCAUGCAGUAUAAUAAUAUAAAAAACAAUGGAAACUCUUAGCUCAGACUGUAAACUGGCUUUAAGUAACUGUCGGAACCAAGACCAGAUAUUAAAGCAUAUGUUUUCAGACCAAAGGCUGAUAGUCUUAAUUUUCUACACGACAAAGUUAAAGCAUUAAUUAUGCUUAGGAAGCUUUAUGAUCAUCAAUUUCAUUACAAAUAUAACAUCAAUAUUGUCUCAUUAAUACCGAGGGAAAGAAACAUCACCUUUACUCCUGCUUACUGCAUUGAGCUUUAAAUGUCAAAUUCUAAUUAUUGACUUUUUAAAACAAAUUCUAAAACAAAUUCUAGUUAUUGACUUUUUAAAAUAAAAUUAAAUCAAAUUUUCAAAUUCAAAUACAUAAUAAAAUGUCUAACUACCACCUAUAAAAAGUAACCAAAUAAAGAUAAAAAAGAAAGAAAAAGAUGAUCUCCCACUCAUUGUAAUCAAAUGACCCCAACUUUUUACAAAGUAUGAUUAUGUCUCUUAUCAAUUCAAGAACAAUGACCAUAACAUGCAUGGACAUGGAUGUUUAUGUGAAUGAGGUACAGUCAAGAAAUGCAUUCCCUCAAAAGCCCAAACCCAAAAAAGAAAUUCUAUUAGGUCCUUAGUGAAUUCCACUAUCAAUGAACAGAUGAAUGAUGAUGAUGAUAUUAUACAGGGUCAUUCGAUAGAGUCUAUACCAUGUGGUCCAAGACCUUUGCAAAGGGUAUUUUAGUACUUUCAAAAAGAUAGUUGACUAAUCAUAGAUUAUGAAACAUGAAAUCAUGAUCAUAAUUGGCUGGCUUUGACAAAUUAUAUCACAACUAAAGUAAUGCACGUGCUCUCUGAAGUAAACAAAUUGAAUUAAGAUUAUAUUACAUGAAUAUAAUUAAUUUUUAAAUUUUUUUAAAAAAAUUAUAUUUCUAUAUUCAUGUAUCGAAUUCGAAAACUAUAUUUAAAAAAAUCCGAAAAAAUAUAAGUUUUAAUCCAAUAUUAAGGGUUGACUUGAAAUUUGUUUGUUUUGUAUAACUUUUUUUUGAAGAUGAAGCAAUAUUUGAUGUAGCCAUUUUUUUUAAAAAUUCAAUGUAACCCUACAAAUACUUGUUCAAACUUGUGACUAAGUUUUUUUUUUCAUGUUAUUAUAAAUUUAUAUUCAACGAUACUAUAUAAUUAAAAAAAAGUAGAUCUUAUAUAUUUAUAUUUUAUAUUUAUAUUAGGAAUGAUAAGAAUUGAUGUAAAUUGACAAUAUGAUUAGAAUUUUAAACCUUUAUUAAUACGUAUCUAAUUGGACUUUUACUUUUGAGGCAGAUUAUUUUUGGGGUUUCGUGCAUUGGUUCGGCUAUUGAGGAGAGGGAAUCCAAAGGCAAAAUGGCUUAUAUGUUUUGUUUUUUCCCUUUACCUAUUAUUUAUGGGAUAUUUUUUUAUCCAAUUUAUUCUCCAAUUAUAUUAUAAAACAUUCUUCAAAAACAUUACACAAAAUAAUAUUUUUGUUUAGACUUACAACCACUAGCUCAUUGGUCUUAAAGGUGAUUAUAGUUGGGGUCGAGAUUUAAUUGAAUAGUAUAACAACUUUCUUUGAUAAUAGUCUCCUAAUUGAUCAAGUGCAAUCGCCUUUUGUCAUUUGUUCCCCCCUUACAGCAAGUUGUGAUUGUUACUAUGAAAAUAAAAUAAAGAACACACAAAUUUUUAAGUGGAAACCCUUUCGGAAAAAAAUCACGGGCAGAAGAGAAGAAAAUUCACUAUUUUGAAUUCGAAUUAUUACAAGAAGAAUAGACUAUGUCUAUUUAUAGGCUUGUAAAGCCAUAUUCUAGUAAGACUGAAACACCUUAUUCUAAUCAAUAUCAAAUAGAUGGAAUUUAAUAAGGUUUAAAAAACCUUAUUCUAAAAUAAAAUAAAAGAAGUGUAAUUCUAUAUGGAUUCUUCUUUUAUUUUAUUUUACUACUGUAUUUUAUUUAAAUAAGGAUUUGAAUUAUUUAAUUCUAACAAUCUCCACAUUGACACGAAUUCUCAAUGAACAAGUUCUUCAUCGCGAACUCUCAACGAACAAGUUCUCCACCUCUUCUAUAAAACCCCUUAAGGGUUCAACUUCAACAAUGAACACCAACAAAGUCUAAGCAAUGUUCAAACUUCGUUAUAGCAAGUGACUUAGUCAUAAUAUCUGCAGGAUUUUCACGAGUACUAAUUUUGCUCACAACAAUAUCACCACGAGCAAUAAUAUCACGAACAAAAUGAUACUGAACAUCAAUGUGUUUUGUUCUCUCAUGAAACAUUUGAUCUUUUGUAAGAAAGAUGGCACUCUGACUGUCACAAAAUACUGCGCUGAUUUAAAGGUCUUCAUUGAGUUCACUAGAGGGUCCUUUCAACCAAAUAGCUUCUUUACAAGCCUCAGUAAUCGCCAUGUACUUAGCUUCAGUGGUAGAAAAAGUGGUUGUAGUUUGCAAAGUGGCUUUCCAACUGAUUGCACAAUCUCCAAUUGUAAAGACAUAACCUGUUAGAGACCUUCUUCUAUCAAGGUUUCCAGCAAAAUCAGCAUAAACAUACCCAAUGACUCCAUCUCUAGUUCUUCCAAACUGUAAGCAAAAAUCAGUAGUACCUCGUAAGUAUCUUAAUAUCCACUAAACUAUUUUCCAGUGUUCUUUACUGGGAUUCGCCAUGUAUCUACUAACUCACUGACUGCAUAUGAUAAAUUUGGACGUGAACAAACCAUAGCAUAUAUGAGAGAUCCCACUGCACUAGAGUAUGGUACAUGUGACAUGUACUCAAUCUCAUCAUCUGAUUGUGGAGACAAAGCCGAUGAAAGUCUAAAAUGGGCUGCUAAAGAAGUACUAACAGGCUUAGCACUCUGCAUAGUGAACCUGCAAAGAAGUUUCUCAAUGUGCCCCUUUUGACUUAGGUAUAAUUUACUUAAUUUUCUAUCUCUGAGAAUCUCCAUACCAAGUAUCUUCUUUGUUGGUCCUAAAUCUUUCAUCUUAAAUUCUUUAGUUAGUUGGGAUUUGACAUUUCUUAUAUCUUCUUUAUCUUUUGCUGCUAUCAACAUGUCAUCAACAUAAAGAAGUAGAUACAUAAAAGAAUCAUCACUGUUUUUCUUAAAGUAAACACAACUGUCAAAACUACUUCUUUUGGAAUCAUGAGAAGUCAUAAAGGAAUCAAACCUCUUGUACCACUAUCUUGGUGACUGUUUCAAAUCGUAAAGGGACUUUUUCAGCAAGCAAACAUAGUCUUUUUUUUUACUAAGCCUGUAAAACCCUCUGGUUGUUGCAUGUAAAUAUCCUCCUCAAGUUCUCCAUGCAAAAAUACAGUUUUUACAUCUAACUGCUCAAGCUCCAAAUCAUGUAUGACCACAAUACCAAGCAAAGCUCGAAUUGAACUAUGCUUAACAACUAGGGAGAACACAUUAUCUGUGAAGUCCACUCCUAGAAUUUGACUGUAACCCUUUGCAACAAGCCUUGAUUUAUAUCUGGGUUCUUCAACUCCUAGAGUCCCUUCUUUUUUUUUAAACAUCCAUUUACAACGAACAUUCUUUUUACCUUUAGGAAGUUUCACAAGAUCUCAUGUUCUAUUUUUGUGGAGUGAUUCCAUCUCCUAUUGCAUAGCAAACAUCCACUUUUUUGAGUCUUCACAGCUAACCGCCUCAGAAUAAUUAGAUGGCUCUUGAUUCGCAUCUAUAUCUUCAGCCACAUUUAUAGCAUAAGCAACUAGAUCAGCCUCGGCAUACUUCUUUGAAGGUUUAAUUUCUCUUCUAGUUCUAUUUUUGGUGAUAGAGUAUUGUGGUGAAGAAGCAACUCUAUUCUCAAUUUUUGUAUUGGCUUGAGGAGUCGACUCUGUAUUAAUCUGAUGCUUCACCUGCUUUUGAUUUUCUUUAUUGGAAGAGUCUUUAAGAGAUAAGUUAGGUAACAUAGCAGUUUCAUCAAAAAUAAUAUCUCUGCUAAUCACAACUUUUCUAUUUUCAGGACCCUAUAACUUUUACCCUUUUACACCAGUUUUAUAACCAAGAAAAACAUAUUUAAUUGAUCUCGGUUCCAAUUUUUCAUUAUCAACAUGAGCAUACGCAGGACACCCAAAGAUCUUUAAAUUAAAAUGAUUAGCAGGAUUACCACACCAUACCUCUUGUGAAGUCUUUUUCUCAAUGGCAAUGGAUGGGGAUUGGUUGAUCAAAAAACAUGCAGUAGAGGCUGCUUCGGCCCAAAACAACUUUGGAAAGUUGGCAUUUGACAACAUACAUCGAACCUUCUCCAUAAUCGUUCUGUUCAUUCGUUCUGCAAUGUCAUUUUGCUGUGGAGUAUGACGAACUAUCAAAUGUCUCACGAUCUCUUCUGACUUGCACAAUAUAUUAAAGUCAUCAGAACAGAACUCUAAGCCAUUGUCUAUGCAGAGGUAUUUUAUUUAUUUUCUCGUCUGUUUUUCAAUCAUAAGACUUAAAUGCGAAAAACACAUCGCUUUUCUAUUUUAAGAAGAACGCCCAAACUUUUCUGAAAAAAUCAUCAAUAAAGGUUAGCAUAUAAUUAGCUUCACCUCUCGAAGGCACUCUAGAUGGCCCCCACAGAUCAGAAUGAAUAUACUCCAACGUUCCCUUUGUGUUAUGGAUUCCUCUGGUGAAUCAAACUCUCUUUUGCUUCCAAAAAAUACAGUGCUCACAGAAAUUCAAUUUGCAAAUUCCUUGCCCAUCAAGAAGUCCUCUUUUGCUCAAUUCUGCCAUGUCAUUCUCACUCAUAUACUUUAGGCGCAUAUGUCAAAGUUUAGUAAUAUCAUCAUCUGACAAGGAAGAGGAAGCAAUAGCUGCAUCACCAGUAACAGUAGAACCCUACAAAAUAUAUAACUUGGCAGUCUUUUUCUGCCCUUUCAUCACAACAAGGGAACCUUUGAAAAUCUUUAAAACCUCACUUUCAGCUGUGUAUCUGUACCCUUUUGAAUCAAGAGUGCUCAACAAAAUUAAAUUUCUUUUCAAUUCUGGAACAUAUCGUACGUCACUAAGUGUUCUGACAACUCCAUCAAACAUCUUAACUUUAAUUGUUCCAACACCUGUAAUUUUACACAAACCAUUAUUUCCUAUCAAAACAACACAUUCAGACACUGUUUCGUAAGUUGUAAACCAAUCCCGAUUGGGACUCAUGUGGAAGGUGCAACCUGAAUCAAGUAUCCACUCUUCGCUCACUUUAGAAUUGUUGACUGAAGCGACUAGAAGUUCACCAUCGCUGUAGUAUUCUACAACAUCAGCUUCACCAGAAUUUUCUGGUUGUUUUUCCUUUUGAUUCACAGCCUCCCUUUAAAUCUUGUUCUGUAGCUUUUAGCACUCAGAUUUAAUGUGUCCUUUCUUCUUGCAGAAGUUACAAGUUUUACCUUUGUUUGAAGACUUUGAUCUACCUUUAGAUUUACUGCAAGAAUUCUAUUCUUGUGUCCUUCCACGAUCAUCAUCAGCAUUCCGAUCUUGUCUCUCACGAACAAUGAGACCCUCUCCCUGAGAUUCGGGUUUAACCACAAGAUGUUUCAUCUUAUCAUAUGAGGUUAAAGAAUCAUAAACCUCAUCAACUGUGAGAUACUCGUGGCUAUAUAAAAUCGUGUCUCUAAAUGUUGAAUAAGACGGGGGUAACGAACAAAGUAGAAUCAACCCUAGAUCUUCCUUGUUAUACUGAACCUCCAUGACCUCCAAGUUUGAGAGAAUUUCUUUAAACAUUGUUAAGUGUUCGUGUACAGACGCACCUUCCUCCAAACAAUGAGCAUAAAGACGCUGCUUCAUAUACAGCUUGCUUGUUAGAGUUUUCGACAUACAUAUUUGUUCUAACCUCUUCCAUAAUACAGUGAUGGUCUUUUCUUUCAUCACAUCUUGCAAAAUUUCGUUGGACAAAUGCAUAUGUAAUUGUGUUAACGCCUUUCGAUCCUUACGCUUCUUCUCUUCAUCUGUUAAUGUCGAAGGUAUCUUAUCUAUCCCUAGCAGGGCAUCCUUCAGAUCCAUCUGUGCAAGAACUACUUGCAUCGUAAUCUGCCACAAUGCAAAUCUAGUGUUGCGAUCCAACAGCGAAAUUUCAUACUUCAAAGACGCCAUUAUCGUGAUCGAGAUGAACAACCCGAAAGUUCUGAUACCAAUUUGUGAAAAUAAAAUAAAAUAGAAUAAAGAACACACAAAUUUUACGUGGAAACCCUUUCAAGAAAAACCACGGGUAGAGGAGAAAAAAAUUCACUAUCUCAAAUUCGAAUUAUUAUAAGAAGAAUAGACUAUGUCUAUUUAUAAGCUUAUAAAGCUAUUUUCUAGUAAGACUGAAACACCUUAUUCUAAUCAAUAUCAAAUAGAUAGAAUUUAAUAAGGUUUAAAAAACCUUAUUCUAAAAUAAAAUAAAAGAAGUGUGAUUCUACUUCUUUUAUUUUAUUUUAUCACUGUAUUUUAUUUAAAUAAGGAUUUGGGUCACUUAAUUCUAACGGUUACUAUAAUGGUAUGUAUGAGUGUGAGUCUUCCUAUCAGUGACACCUUUGGAGAAUUUGAUACUUUGACCUAACUCUGCCAUAAAAGAUUGUAGUACUCCUCUCUUAUAGUGAGGAUGGAUUUUUUUGUACUUGGCAAACAAAAUGACCAUCCAUUAAAUGCAAUUUCCUAUUAAUGUGACAUGAGCCCCCACUUCAACUAACAUAUUUAAUAAGGAUUCUAUAUCUAUGCAUUCAUUAAAUGCUGUAUAUUCAUAAUUCUUGGAAAAAUUUAGUGUCCUUUGUGAGUUUGAGUACAAAAAUAAAGAUUGGGAAAUAAUAUAAACUUAAUAUUAAAUAAAUUCAUUCAACUGUUGAGUUUCAGAAAUAUCACCCAUGAUGAAUAUAAAAAAAAAACUAAAUAGUCACUUUUAUUUAUCUCAGGUUAUAUUUUAGUCACUUAUGUUUAAAAUGUUACGUUUUAGUCACUUACGUUAUCCCAUUGUAACAUUUUAGUCACCGAGCUGUUAAUUGCCACCAACGGUGUAAUGGUAAGUUGAUUGACACGUUAAAUCAUCAUUUCAAACAAAAAAAUUAAGUUAAUUUGUACAAUCGGUCUCCAUAUUUUUUUCGUUUUGAGCUAUUUAAUUUUUUUCUUUUAUAUUUUUUAACUUUUUUUUCCAUUCUCUUUUGCUUCUUCCUCUAUUUUCGUCCAUUCUCCGUUUCACUUAACGUAAUUUUUCUAUGUUUUCCAUUGGUUAAAACUAGUCCCUAUACUUUUAUUUUUUGAACAAUUUAGUUUUUUUAAGUAAGACGAGCUUUUGGAAUAGUUUUAACAAAUGAAAAACAUAAAAAAAAACCACAUUAAAAGAAAUGAAGAAUAAAAGAAAACAGACGGAGAAGCAAAAGAGAAUGUAAAAAAAAAGUUACAAAAAUAAAAGAAAAAAAUUAAGUUGUUCAAAAUGAAAAAAAAAUGAUCAAUUGUAGAAUUUAAUCUAAAAAUUUCAUUUAAAAUGAUGAUUUAACGUGUCACGUUAGCUUACCGUUACACCGUUAACUAUAAUUAAUAGCUCAAUGACUAAAAUGUUGCAAUACAAUAAUGUAAGUGACUAAAAUGUUACAUUUCAAAUAUAAAUGAUUAAAAUGUAACUUAAGACAAACAAAAAAUAACUAUUUUAAUAAUUUAACUUAAAAAAAUGUGAACCAUCUUAAAUUUUAAAUAAUCAAAAUCAAAAUUUAAAUUUUUUAUUGAUUAUUUUUUUUCUAAAAGAAAGACAACUAGAAGUUUAUAGAAUUAAAUAUUUAUCCAACUAGAUGUGCCCUUAUAUGAUAGCAUGAGUUUUAUUCCAUUGCAAAUAUAUAUUUUUGUCUACUUUCAGAAAAGCUUAAAUGAUCAUUUAAUUUUAAGAUGGCCCAUAUUAAAAAAGAAAUUCAAAUAAACAUUCAUCACAUGCUGCAAAAGCAAGUAUUUUCUUUUAAUAUUAUUUUUCCUUUAAAUAAUUUAAUUUAAUUUUUGUCAAUUUUUAAAAUGAACAAUUAAAGAAGACUACUUACAAUAUUAAUGUUCUUUUCAUUAAUUGUACAUGUUUUUUUUAUUCAUAUAAUAAAUUUAGUUAGUAAAAUUUAAACAUUCUGUCAAUUUAGUUUUGAUUGAAUAAAUUUAGCUUAUAAUAUUUACGCAUUUUAUCAAUUUAGUAUUGCUUUAAUAAAUUUAGCCUAUAACAUUCAAAUAGAAUAUAUAAAUAUUAAGAGCUAAAUUUGUUAUUAUAUCAAUUAAAAAUAUAUUUAAUCGGCAAAAAAUAUUAAAGUUGUGAUUAAUUGUCUUUGGUUGCGAGGGGCAAAGCUAAAUUUUUUUAGGAUUUUAGUUGUAUAUUAUAUUAUAAGAGGGUUAAAUUAAAAUUUUAUCAUUUUUUUAAGUUAAAGUGUAAUUUUACCAAGUACUAAUUUAUAAAUUUAUAACUUUUAAAGGGCAAAAAUUAAAAAUUUUCAUUUUAAAGAGUUAGACCCUGCUAGCCCUUUGGUAACUAAUACAACACUGGUUAAUUGCUUACCUUCUAAAUUGACAAAAAUUAAAUUAUUUCAAAAUUUUAAAUAUCAAAUUGAGAAAUUUCUUACCUUUAUUAAAUUGGGUUACAAAUUGCUCAUAACUCAAAAUAGCAAAAUACUUGUGAUUGAACCAAAAACAUACCUUAUUUUAUGAUCUGAUCUCAUUUUAGAUAAUUAUUAUAGUGUCAACAAAACACUCAAUCUUUUUGCAUGUAUGAAAUACACCAAUUAGCCACAAAAAAGAAGAAGAAAGAAGCUUUUUUUUUUGUCCUUUUUAGGUCACUUUGUUUAGUAAGGUGUAAGUCAAAUAUAUAGUUUUAGGCAGAUAAAGCUAACAUUGUUUUGCAAUAGUAAAAUGGCUGAAAAUUUGUAUAUAAAAUAAAUGUAAAAGAAUCUGAUAUGGGGAAAGUUAAAAAUGAAAAAAACUGAAGGAUUUGGAAGAGGUGGACUUUUUAGUUUUGCUUUUAGUUGGACAGAAAAUAGCUUUUACAAGCCAGCUGAUUAUUUGACUUUUUUUAGCUAAGAGUUUUUGAAGAAAAGGUCUUUUCUUUAUAUAGGUCCCACCCACCACAAGAAAAAGAAAUUGAAUUUGUGAUAUUAAAGCUUUCAUUUUUUUAAUGUAUAAAGAAUUAAAAAAAAAGCAUCAAACAGAUAAAUAUUAGCACAGUUACAAACACUUCUCGUUUGAUUUGUUAAGGAGAGUGGUUAUCAUUAAAAAAAAAAUUGGGUAAGAUCUUGGAGAGAGAGAGUCAAUGAAAGAGAGAGAAAGACUGUGGUGGGUUAUCAUCAAUUCUUGUUUUUGUAUGUAUUAUUUUGGGUUUUUCACCUCUUCCCCAAAGUAAUUGUGCAUUUGAUGUAAAGGGGAUAGCUUUAAAAAAGGUUCCAAUUUUUAAGCUGUUUUAAUGGUGAGGUGGAUUUGUGUUUUGGAGAAGGGAUCUUUAUAAUCUUUGUUUUGUUCUUCUUGUUGAGCCUUUUUUGUUGGUUUCUUGAUUUUUCAAGUGUCUUCUUUGAAGAGAGUUUUUUGGUUGUUGAUUUUUGGGAUCUGGGUUUUUGGGUGUGUUCUAGCUUUCUAGGGCUUUCAAUUUAUUCACCCUUUGACUCAUUUAGUCUCUUCAUUGGGUUCCCUUCCAUUUUUAUUCUUUUGUCUUUCUUAUAAACAUGGGCUUUUGACUUUCUGGUAUACUUCCAAUUCUGGGUUCUUCUCUGUGGGUUUUGCACCUGAAAUAAAAGUUCAUGGGAUUCUCCUUUUCUCAUAUUAGUGCCUGAGAUUUGCUUUUUUGGGGGUUUUUUUAUGGGUUGUUUUCCUCUGAAUUGAAUCCCUUUUUUCUGAAUUUAGGGAUUUCUAUGGGUUUUUGUUUGAUGUGUUGAAAUCCCAUUUUUUGUGGCGAAUUUUAAGCUGGUUUUGUUUCUGGGUUUGUUUCAAGCUUUUACCGCUUUGAUGCAUCUUUCACUGUGGAAACCCAUAUCUCACUGUGCUGCUCUACUUUUAGACAAGAAGAGCAGCAAGAGAAGAGAUGGGUCUGAAUCAGCAGCUGAAAUAAAAAAGAACCCAUCAGUUCUUCGUAGAUUACACGAGAACAAGCUCAGGGAAGCUCUAGAAGAAGCAUCUGAAGAUGGGUCUUUGUUCAAAUCCCAAAACAUAGAACCUGAUUCAACAAAUCAAGAUGAGAGCUUGGGACGGUCAAGGUCCCUUGCUAGACUCCAUGCUCAACGUGAAUUCUUACGAGCCACUGCUUUAGCAGCUGAGCGUACAUUUGAGACUGAAGAUUCCAUCCCUGAUAUCCGUGAAGCUUUCAAUAAGUUCCUCACAAUGUACCCAAAAUACCAAUCAUCAGAAAAGGUUGAUCAGUUGAGGUCAGAUGAGUAUGCACAUUUGUCACCAAAGGUAUGCCUUGAUUAUUGUGGAUUUGGGCUUUUCUCUUAUGUUCAAACUUUGCAUUACUGGGAAUCUUCUACAUUUAGCUUGUCUGAGAUAACUGCGAACUUGAGUAACCAUGCGCUUUAUGGUGGUGCUGAGAAAGGUACUGUGGAAUAUGAUUUAAAGAGUAGGAUAAUGGAUUAUUUGAAUAUUCCUGAACAUGAGUAUGGACUUGUGUUUACUGUAAGUAGGGGAUCUGCGUUUAAGUUGUUGGCUGAUUCAUAUCCAUUUCAUACCAAUAAGAAAUUGUUGACCAUGUUUGAUUACGAGAGUCAAUCGGUGAAUUGGAUGGCUCAGAGUGCUAGGGAGAAGGGUGCCAAAGUUUAUAGUGCUUGGUUUAAAUGGCCAACUCUUAAGCUUUGUUCUACUGAUUUGAGAAAGCAGAUUUCAAAUAAAAAGAAGCGAAAGAAGGAUUCUGCUACUGGUCUUUUUGUUUUUCCGGUGCAGUCUCGAGUAACAGGGGCUAAGUAUUCGUAUCAGUGGAUGGCAUUGGCUCAACAGAACAACUGGCAUGUCUUGCUUGAUGCUGGCUCAUUGGGUCCCAAAGACAUGGAUUCGCUUGGUUUGUCCUUGUUUCGGCCAGAUUUCAUAAUCACAUCAUUCUAUAGGGUGUUUGGCUAUGAUCCAACUGGAUUUGGGUGCCUCCUUAUAAAAAAAUCAGUCAUGGGAAGCCUUCAGAACCAGUCUGGAUCUACUGGUUCUGGAAUGGUGAAGAUUACCCCCGAGUAUCCUCUCUAUCUGAGUGAUUCUGUAGAUGGUCUUGAUGGAUUGGGUGGAAUCGAGGACAAUGAAGUUGGUACAAAUGGUGAUAAGCCCUCUGACAACCGUCCAGGUACGCAGUUGCCUGCCUUUUCCGGUGUCUUCACAUCUUCUCAGGUUAGGGACGUAUUUGAGACAGAAAUGGAUCAAGAUAAUAGUUCUGAUAGAGAUGGAGCAAGCACCAUAUUUGAAGAAACUGAGAGCAUUUCUGUAGGAGAAGUGAUGAAAAGCCCUGUUUUCAGCGAAGAUGAGUCAUCAGACAACUCAUUCUGGAUUGAUUUGGGUCAUAGUCCUUUGGGGUCCGAUGGUGCAGGUCAGUUGAAUAAGCAGAAAAUAGCCUCCCCUUUGCCACCUUUUUGGUUUAGUGGCAGGAAGAACCACAAGCGGCCCUCUCCAAAGUCAACAUCAAAGAUAUAUGGCAGCCCGAUAUAUGACGAUAAAGAUGCGAACUUAGGGCAUGAUGAUCAUGUAUUAUCCUUUGAUGCUGCUGUUUUAUCAGUUUCACAAGAACUAGACCGCGUGAAGGAGAUCCCUGAAGAAGAACUGUUUGCUGGAACGAACAUCAGAUCACAAAAUCAAAAGAAGGCUUCUGAUCAUUCACAUGUUCCAGAAAUAGAGGAAGAACAAAGUACCAGCAAACCACUGGCUGUGGGGUCUGUAUCUGGUUCUGCUAUAAAUGGAGCUCGCCUCAAUAAUGGGCUAGCAAAUGGCUCAACUUCUGAAAUUUCCUCGGAGAUUAAAGAGAGUGCCAUUAGAAGAGAAACUGAAGGUGAAUUUAGGUUGUUGGGAAGGAGGGAAGGGAACAGAUAUAAUGGUGGCAGAUUUUUUGGGUUAGAAGAUGAAAAUCCUAGCAGGGGACAAAGGGUAUCCUUUAGCAUAGAGGACACCCGUAAAGAGCGCAUGAGUCAUACUUUAGAACCGGGAGAAGUGUCUGUGACCAGCCUCGAUGAUGAAGACUACACCAGCGAUGGAGAAUAUGGUGAUGGACAAGACUGGGACAGGAGGGAGCCUGAGAUAAUAUGUCGGCAUCUUGAUCAUGUUAAUAUGUUGGGGCUCAAUAAAACGACUCUUAGAUUACGGUUUUUAAUUAAUUGGCUUGUAACGUCAUUGCUGCAGCUUAAGUUACCUAAUCCAGAUGGAGAUAGCAGAGCGAAUCUUGUUUACAUUUACGGCCCGAAAAUAAAAUACGAAAGGGGUGCAGCUGUUGCAUUCAACGUGAGGGAUAGAAACAAGGGUCUCAUUCAUCCAGAGAUUGUACAGAAGUUGGCUGAAAGAGAAGGUAUCUCUCUUGGUAUUGGUUUUCUCAAUCACAUACGAAUAUUAGAUAGUCCGCGACAACAGCAAGGUGCUCUGAGCCUCGAGGAUACUACCUUGUGCAAACCCAUGGAAAAUGGGCGACAUGAUGGGAAAAGCGGGUUCAUAAGAGUUGAGGUUGUCACAGCAUCUCUCAGCUUCCUAACUAAUUUCGAGGACGUCUAUAAAUUGUGGGCUUUUGUGGCAAAGUUCCUUAACCCGUCAUUCAUCAGAGAGGGUACACUUCCAACAGUGGCCGAAGAAGAUCCAGAGACAUAAUGAAUCAAGCAAUUCAAAAACCAGUCGUGAAACAAUCCAGGAGUCUGACUGGAAGAUUCAGAAGACCCUAAAGAGGAUUUUGCAGGUACAUUAGUAUAUGCAUGGCUUGUUCUUCCUCAAGACUCUCUGAUGCAAGUGGGUGAAUUUGUUAAUUAAUGUUUGUUGUUGCUUGAAAAUGUCCAUUCUCUUUUGGAGGUUCUUGUAGAGUUGUUUUAGAAAAAAAAAAUGUACCAUUUUGGAAGUCACCAUGACCUCAAAGCAGAAACUAUAUGGACAACUGUUACCACUUGAAAGCAUUUCUGCUUUUGGUUUAUACAACAUUCCAUUUUCUUCUCUGUAAAAAAGUAGCAUCUAAUUUUACCUUCUCAUUUGCCUAGUUGGUUCUUGAACCAUUUUUACUUUUUACCAUAGUCAAGAUAGACAAGCUUUUUAAUGUGAGAAUAUCAAGAUAGACAAAGCAUGAAUAAACUUUGUUGGAAGUUAGAAAUUUUUGUUGGCUAUACCAAAUUAUGCUUUACUGUCAAAUUAGAAGCCAUGAAAGUGUAAGAAUAUCCAUGGUAGAUACUGGUGGGUGAAACACAUUGUUUAGAUUAGGUUGAAGUUCAAUAGAUCAUACAACUUGUCAAUAACAUAAACAAUCUUAAUAGAAUUGACAUUAAACAACAAACCCCAUCAUGAAACUGGAUUAAUUAGUCAAAGAAUCCAAGGGUGGACUGAAAAUCAAAGAGUCUGUAUUCGAUGUCCUUUUCCAACUCGUAAAUUAUCAAAGGUUGGGCCAUAGCCAUUGAGUUUUGUUCCCUAUGGAAUGUAAUGCUGAAGUUACAUAUCAAUAUCAUUAUGCUUUUCUUUCUUUUGGUUACUUAUUUUGGAUCCCACGUUCAACUUAGUGGGGUUUUUUUUAAUAAAGUUGGUAGGGUAUAAAAAAGGGGCACUGCAAACUUCUUUUCAUAUCCUGAAAUCAUGAUUCAAGACCUACUUUAAGUUAUAUUUUUUUCCAACAAUAUCAUCGUAUGGUAUCUUGUAGGCAAAGCUGUCUUGUACAGGGAACUUGUACGAGGUGGUUGAUGAUGGUGAAACAUUGACAAACUUCAUCUAAAUUGAAAAUUGCAGUUGGUCACCAGUUAAAAACCUGUUUGAUAUGGAAGAUUUUGCAUGUCAUCAUCUUUAUGAAGUAUUGUUAUUAUUGUUGUAUAUUAAUAAGGGAUAAGGUAUGUUAAGGGGGGAUCAACUCCUCACGGAAAAGUCUUUGAAGUGUCGUCCUUGGGGAUGCCAACCCAAUCCUUCAACAAUGUAAGGUAUUAUCUCUUAGGGAAGAGUUUUGCACCCUAUGUAGAGAGCAUGUACGUUUGACAGAGGGGGAGGUGCCUCGAUUGUAUGUGGACAUAUGACCACCCACUAAGAAACAAUGUGAGCACCUCGCCCUUGGUAGCUAGCUCAAGUGGUACCAUAUGCCCCAACAAAUUGUUGAAUAUUGGCAAUAUCCCACAUUAGGAAAAGAUAGAAAGGAGAAGAUUUUGGGAUGAUACAACCAAAGGGGGAGGGGUUCUAUAUAUAACAAACCAAACCCCCUCCCUUUCUAUCUUUUCCUAAUGUGGGAUAUUGCCAAUAUUCAACAAAUCUCCACCUUGGCGAUAUUCCACAUCUUCGAACAUCUUCUCAUAACACUAACUUCAAUAGUGUCUUCAAAUUUGCAACCAAUCGCCUUCUUCCCUUUUGGUAGUUGUGCCAGCUUCCACAUCUUGUUUUUCUCUAGAGAUUGCAUUUCUUCUUCCAUUGCACCUAACCAUCUAAACUCUGAAUGGCUUUGGUGUAAGUGGAUGGAAUAUUAUCAACAACUGGAAGUGCAUAAGCUACCAUGUCAGUGAAACGAGCAGGUUUCUGAAUUUCUCGUCUCUGCCUUCUGACUGCAAUUGGCUCUGAUUGCUGUUGAGGUUCUUGGGUAGAAACCUCUUCCUCAUCUGACUCUGCAUCUGCCAAUGAAGAAUCACUAGUGGUACCUUCUGCUGGAAUUACCACACUCUGCUCAAACUCCACCUGCUGCGGAGUACACUCCACCUGUUGCGAAGUACUACUCACUCCUUCUGGAUUUACCUUAUUCAACAUGGCAGAUUCAUGAAAGGUAACAUCCCUACUGAUUAUCGUCUUCUUUGCCUCUAGACACCACAAACGAUAUCCCUUAACACCAGCAUUGAAGCCCAUGAAUAGAGCCUUCUUUGCUCUUGGAUCUAACUUUGAUUCUUUCACAUGAUAAUAUGCUAUAGAACCAAAAAUGCGCAAGGUGUCAUAAUCAGUAGCAGGUUUUCCAUACCAUUUCUCCAAAGGAGUCUUGCCAUUUAUAGCAGAUGAUGGCAAAUGAUUGAUGAGGUGUUGAGCGUACGUCACAGCCUCAGUCCAAAACUUUCUAUCUAAUCCAGCAUUAGAUAACAUACAUCGAACUUUCUCCACAAGCGUUCGAUUCAUACGCUCUGCCACCCCAUUCUGUUGCGGUGUUCCACCUACGGUGAAGUGCCUUACUAUGCCACAAUCUUGGCAUAUCUUCAAGAAUGGAUCGCUUUUAUAUUCUCCACCGUUGUCUGAUCGGAGAACCUUAAUCUUCCUUCCUGUCUGAUUUUCAACUUUAGUUUUCCACUUAAGGAAAACUUCAAGCACCUCAUCUUUGUUCUUCAUAGGAAACACCCAAACUCGUCUGGAAAAAUCAUCAAUAAAGGUGACAAAAUAACGUCUUCCUCCAAGUGAUGGAGUCUUGGACGGUCCCCAUACAUCAAAAUGCACAUAAUCCAGAAUACCUUUAGUAUUGUGAAUCCCAGUGCCAAAUUUCACCCUUCGUUGUUUUCUCAGAACACAAUGCUCGCAAAAUUCAAGUUUGCAAGUCUUUGUACCUUUCAAUAAUCCUUGCUUGGCUAGAGUUUGCAAGGAUUUUUCACCAGCAUGGCCCAAACGCAUAUGCCACAGCUGUGUUGCCUCAACGUCCUUCUUGGUACUCGAAAUUGUUGCUGCUGUUGUCCUAACCACUGUACUACCUUGGUAGUAAUACAGAUUGUUCUUUCUUAUGCCUUUCAACAUCACCAAUGCUCCUGAAGUUGCUUUAAGAACUCCAUCUCGUAUUGUCACAACUAGGCCUUUAGAUUCUAACGACCCCAAAGAGAUGAGAUUCUUCUUCAACUUUGGGACAUAUCGUACAUCCCGCAAAAUUCUAGUAGAUCCAUCAUGACUCCUCAGUUUAAUUGAACCUAUCCCGGCUAUUUUACAUGUGUUAUCAUUACCCAUGUAAACAACCCCUUCAUCUAGUUUUUGAAAUUCAAAGAACCAUUCCCGAAUGGGACACAUAUGAUAGGAACAACCAGAAUCCAUGAUCCACUCAUCUGCAUAUAAUGUUGAAGAUGUCAUACUAAGAGAAAAGUCUGACUCUGCUUCACUAUUGCAUUCUGCAACAUUUGCAUCUUGCGGAGUCUUCCCUUUUUUCUUCAAUUUUGGACAAUCUUUCUUCCAAUGUCCUUUUUCUUUGCAAAAGGAACAUUCAUCUUUGGCAACAGCUCGACCUUUGGACUUUCUUCUCUUCCCAUUAGACUGACUUUGUUGACGACCUCUUGUUACCAAUGCUUCCACUGCUGCUUCACCUGAACCUUUCAACUUAUCCUUUCGGCGUAGUUCAUAGCUAUACAAUGCAGCAGUUACUUCAUUGAAAGUUACUUCCGAUUUUCCAUGAAGUAGAGUAGUUUCAAGGUACUCAAACUCCUCAGGAAGCGAUCCCAACAACAUUAACGCCAAGUCUUCGUCUUCAAAAGUCACAUCCAAAUUCAACAAAUCAGCCACCAGCUGAUUAAAAUUGGUAAUGUGCUCGUUCAUCGUGGUACCAGGAACAUAAUUGAAACGAAACAGUCUUUUCUUCAUAUGCAACUUAUUUUGACUGUUCUUCUUCAAGAAUUUCUCCUCCAAUGCUUUCCACAAUUUACUUGCAGAAGUCUCUUUACUGAAUGUAUACUUCUGCUCUCUGGAAAGACAUGAUCGAAUUGUACCACAUGCCAAUCGGUUGAUGGUCUUCCAUUCUUUAUCAUCAACCCCUUCUGAUUUUUCUUCCUCAAUGGCAAUAUCUAGACCCUGUUGAAAGAGGGCAUCUAGAAGCUCACUUUGCCACAUGCCGAAAUGACCUGUUCCAUCAAAAAUUUCCACUACAAAUCUCGUAUUUGCAGUUCCAAUCCUCGGCAAAAUGUACGAAGUGGAAGUUGUUGAUAUGGAUGGUUUUUCUUCUGUCAUUUUUGCCAUAGCUUCUACUUAAUAGCCACCAAAUGCAGAAUACCCACAAGCUUUAGGAAAUGUUUCUGAUGUGUAAGAUCAGACUAAGCUGCAAACACAGAGCAUACUACAAAAUCUUGGCUCGGAUACCAAUUGUUGCGGAAGCGACGAUAAUAUUAAUAACAAUAUUAUCAGAAAUAUUUAGAUAAUUAUUAUGCCAACAAUUAUACUAAGAAAAUUCCCAGUUAAAUUGGAGGGGUCACAAAUGGUCCCGCUUAAAACCCAACAACUAGACAGAACUCACUUAGAUAUUUAUAGCAAUAAUAACUAAAUAUUUCUGAUAAUAUUGUUAUUAAUAUUAUCGUCGCUUCCGCAACACAAAUGACCUAUAUACCAUAGGUUAGGAGUUCAAAUCCCAAGGACAAAACACUCAUAUUGCCUCUUGGUGGAUGGUUGUAUGUCCACAUACAGUCAAGGCAUCUCCCUCUGUGAACCAUACAGGGCUUUCUAUGGAGCGGGGGCAAGACUCUCUCAAGGGACAAUACUUUCCAUCGUUGAGGGACCGAGUCGGUGUCUUUGAGAACAACACUUUGAAGACUUCUCCCGGAGGAGUCAAUCCGCACUCAACAAGGUGCAAUGACAAACAUGGCCAGAAAUUUGGUUGAUUUGUCAAAGGUGAACCAUAUUUGGUUGGUUAAACAAGCAACCAUCUGGCUUAUCCUUAUAGUUUGGCCAGAACAGAGAUAAAAUCAUAAAAAAAGCAUUAAAGCCCCACUUUUCUAGCUUCUUCUUGCAUCGCAUAAGAUCAAUGGCAGAAUCAUAAUAUGGAAUGAUAGAAGUCAAUCCAUGCUUCCAUUGCCUUUAACACCAUAUGCUCCAUGCCAAUGAAGCAAUCCGGGGCUUUGUCUAUCCUUUCUAUUUUUUUUUUCCCUUUAGUACAGAAUGGUUAAGGCCCCAUAAUAAGAAGAGACAUCAUUGAUUUUUAUUAACAAGCCAAAAUUCAGAUAGGGCAUUCCAAGAGUUUUAUUAACAUCAAAUUUUCACACGUGUUUUCUCAGCAAUGGCUGAAGGUAAACCUUAACCAUAACAAAACAAACUCCAUGAUUUUGGUUCACUUUUUCCUUGGACAAGAGUUUUCAGCCAAUGGAGGCCUUUUCGUUUUUUUGUUCAGAGCCAGUGGAAUCAAAUCAAUUUUUAACAUUUUUAGAAACUGGGAAAGCAAUUCAACAGGAAAUCCUGUCCAUGAUAGCUAUAACUGAAAUAGUAUAAAAAAUCCUGGACUGAUACUAUAGUAUUCAAUUGUGAGAUACACCAUAGUUUGAAAGCUAUGCUUUAUUCUCUGACAGAUUCAAAAAGAAAGAAAUAAAAUGGAGAGCCAAAGGAGCAACUGAGAGCUGCAACAGUUGAGCAAACUUUCAAUAUGACUAGGAAACCAAACGAAGCCCUUAAUUCUUCAAGGUCUUGGUAGGAGACUUUGAUAAGAAGUUGGUAAGUUCAAGUCCUACUAGCAGCUAUUUAAUGUUUGAUGUAUAUAAUAACUUAUUAGCUGCUGUUUUUGUUCUUUUCUUUGCAGAGAAUUCCACCAGCUUUUGUGAAGUAUGCUUCCAACGGAAAUGUGACUACCAUGUUCACCUUGUAUUCUGACUCAGGGAACUCAUGGCGAGUUUAAGUCAAAGUUCAACAAGGAAGCUACUUUUUCAACAGUGGAUGGUCAAAGUUUGUCAAAUACCAUGGCCUGGAAAAAGGGAUUUUCUGGUUUUCUUUUUGGUUGAUAGUUCAAUGCUUGAUGUUUUUAUUUAUAAUCGAACAGCAUGUGCAAAGAACAUCAGUUUGGCUGCUAAGAAACCAAAGGGUCGACCCCCUAGAGUUAGCAGACAGAUUGAACAAACCCCAAACAAGAAACCAAGAACAGUUUCUCGUGAGCCCCAUCCUUUUCAUUUCAUGUAUAAUCCUCCAUGUUCAUUUUCCAUUUCACUAACUUUUUUAAUGUUUCAUGCGUAGUUUAGGUGCACAGGAGGCUGAGUUUGUAUCUGAAGUAACCCCAAAGCAUGUUUCAUUUCAAAUGGUUGGGAAGGAAUACCAUAAAUACUAUGGUGUAAGAACGACUACUUAUUAAAUGCUGUUAACAAGUGUUAAUUACUUUCUACAUUCAUGUAAAUAUCUGUUUCUUAAAUUUCAGUAUAUUCCGCGUUGUUUUGUCAAAGAAACAGGCAUGGGAAAGGAAUCCAUAACGGUAAUUAAGGAUCCAAGAGGAGGGAUGUGGCUAAUGAAGACCAACGUGAGCAGAGGACAGGUUCGUUUUGGUUGUGGAUGGUUCCAGUUUCUGCAUGGAAACGAAAUAGCUGCUGGAGAUACCCUGUUGUUUGAGCACCUUCCAAAUACAGGCAAUUUUAUCCACAUACAAGUUAUUAACAAGGGUGGAAAUGGGAAUUGUGGGAGACUAAACAAGCAAGCAAAUCCCUGUGAGGACACCAGCCUUGCUGCUAAGCGACCAAGAGGUCGACCUCGCAAGCAAAUUGAAGAACCACCAAGCACAAAAUAUGCUCCAAGCACAGCUUUUUGAAUAUUGAACUGUUGAAGAUGGUGACCAUGGGUUACAUUGUAUGCCAGUCUUACUUUUGUUUGGUCUGUAAGAAAAAGAAAUGGUAUGAUCAUGAAAUUGAAAAGCCCUUUAAGUUCGGUGAUCAACACUUCAUAUCAUUAUUUUUCUGUUUAUAGUACUUCCUCCAUUAGACUAAAGAUUUUAACAAGACCAAACACGUUACACUGACAAUGAUGAAGACUAAACACGUUACACAGUUAAUUACUCUCUCAUAAUUCUUAUUAUAAGGUUUUAAUUAAUAGUGCUGGACAGAUAAGAUUAUCUGCUAUAAUUGGAGAUCCUAGCCUUGGUUUUGAAUGGCUGAAGAGGAAGAUGAAAGGCAAAUACAAACGUUGGUCAUUAAAUGAAUAUGUCCUUCGGUUUCCCGUUGAGCUCAGAAACAAAGAAUUUAGCAGUCAAUGGCUAAUAAUCAUCAUUAAAAUUGUAUUAAUUACUUUUGAAAUAUGGGUUUACAGGCAUUUCCUUAUGAUGGAUAAAAUACUCAGCAAUGGUCAUUUAAAGUAUAUAAGCGACUCACCUUAUUCCUUCAAAAUAAUUCCCCAAGACACUACCCAAAAUGGAAAACUUGUAACCAUUUUCCCAUCAUCUCUCUUUUAUUUUAUCUGAUAGUUGCAUGUAUUGAUAAGAGUUCUUUUACGGGGAAUUCCGAAAAAGUUUGUGAAAAACAAUGGAAAUGGCAUGUCAAGCCCAGCAAUGUUCUGUGUCCAAUCUGGUGAAGUAUGGAAGGUGGAACUUACAAAAUGUGACGGCAAAAUAUGGUGUGAAAAUGGCUGGCUAGAAUUUUCAAAUCAUUACUCUUUGUACAUUGGACAUCUUUUGGUUUUUAGUUAUGAUGGGAAUAGCAAUUUUCAUGUAAUCACCUUUGAUAGGACUGCUACAGAGAUACAAUAUCCCUACACCGGCAAUUAUCACAGGCAGUCCAAGUAAUUCUGGAGCAGAAUAUCGAGCAAUCCAGGAAACCGAGAGAGGAAUCGCAAUUGCCUGGCCCUCGCCCUCGCCCUCGCCCUCAGUCUCAUAAGAUGAUGAGAAGUACAAAAUCAGCAAUGGAAACCGAAACCGAGUGCAAUGGGAAGCCUGAUUUUCCUUCUAGAAAGGGUGAUACAAGCACGAACCAUAACACAGUUCGACGAUUGAAUACUUGUGAAAAGGUUAAGGCUCUCGAGAGAGCUCGUAGUACUUUCAAAUCUGAGAAUCCAUUUUUCUUGGUUGUCAUUCAACCAGAUUAUGUGGGUCUUAGUCUCGGUAAAAGAUAUAGAUUGGUAAGCAAUCAAUUGAAUUCCCACUGUCAACAUAUAUGUAUGCUGUUCAUUCAUUUUGUUAUGUGCAGGCCAUACCAGCUGACUUUGUAAGGGAAAAUUUGAUGAAAGAGCACUGUUCUAUGACUCUUUGUCACUCAAGUGGGAAAAGUUGGAUGGUUACCUUCAAGCAAAAUCAAAAAGGGAAAAAGCUAUAUUCAUUUCUACAAACUGGCUGGGGUACUUUUGUACGGGAUAACAAUUUCCAAGUCGGUCAUAUACUUAAAUUUUCAGUGAAAAGUUAGUGGAGCAAAAUUGUUUUUGCUACCUCAGCAACAGAUAAAUUUGCACCAUCAAUUUACUAAAGUUGUCUAUCCUUUUAUCCAACGAGGUUUUUUUUUUUAAUUUUAAAUAUAUUAAAAAAAUAUUUUCUAAUAGGUAAAUAUAUUAAAUAUAUUAAAAUUUUAAAAUUAGUUAUACUUAAAAUUUUUUUAAUAUGUUCAAAUUUUAAUAUAUUUAAAUGUAUUAAGUAUAUUAAAAAAAUUAAAAUUGGAUAUACUCAAUAUUUUCUUCAACAUAUUUAAAAUUUUAAUAUAUUUAAAUUAUUUUUAAAUUUCUUUAAAAUUGCAAAUAUAUUAAAAAAAUUCUCUUUACCUAUUAAAAAAUAUAUUAAAUAUAUUAAAAUUUUAAUAUAAUUAAAAGUUUAAAAUUUUUUUAAAAAGUAUAUUGAAUAUAUAUAUAUUAAAAUUUUAAAAUUGGUUAUACUUAACAUUUUUUUUAAUAUAUUAAAAAUUUAAAAUUAAUUAUAAUUAACAAUUUUUAAUAUAUUUAAAAUUUUAAAAAACUUUAAAAGAAAAAAAAUCACAUUGUAGCUUUGGAGUCUGGUGGCCCCAGUUUAUUUGGCUCCACCUGAAAAUAGAAAUUUUUUUAAAGUCCCUCAUUGUUUAAAAAAUUACAGUAAUUUUUUAUAUUUAUACAGGUAAUACCAUUCUAUAUAGCUCUAUCAAAAAAUUAAUUUUUUUUAUUCCGGUUGUUAUGUAGCAUGUUGGUGGCGCCAAACUCUUUAGCUCCAUCAACUUUCACUGUAGAUCUAAAGUCAUUUAUGCGUUUAAUAAAAAAAUGAGUCAUUUAUAUAAUUAAUUAAAUUUUUUUAGUUAAUUUUAUAAAAAAGCCUGCCUUUGAGCUAAUAAAUAGCAUCAAAAUAUCCUUCAAUGUAGUCAUUUACCAAGGCCAGCAUGCAAAUUGCCAUCAAUCAUUAGCAUCAGAAUGGAAUGCUAGAACCCAACUUAUGCCUCCAUUGCCUUCAAAAUAAAUGCAGUCUCCAAAGCUGACUUUUAGCACUUACGAAACCUGUUCUGUUCCACAGUGCCUGUCAUUAAAUUAAGCACUAUAGGAUGUCUAUCACAUAACUCAAAUUUGAAAAGAAAAAUGGUUAUGAUAUUUUCACUAUUCGGCACGAAAUUAUAGGUGAACAAUUUUUGUAUUUUUGCAGAUGCACAUAUUUUAGCCUGUGCUCCAACAUUUAUCAAGCAAUUUCACAAUAUAUGCUCCAUGCUUAUGAAGCAAUGACUGAACAUAAACCCAUAAGUUAAGAAAACAAACUCUGGGUUCUUUCAUGGUUUAGUAUAGGAGCCUGGGGGGCUUUAAACCAAAUCAAAAUUUACCAAUUUUAGAAACUGGGGAAAGAGAUUUUAUACUCUAUAGGUAAUGCUGUGAUAGCUUUUCCUGAAAAUAGUAUAGAAAAUCCCAGGAAAAUGAAAUCUCUGACACCGCUAAAAUCUUUUUAACUCUAGUAUCUUAUGGAAAGUCAUUUGACUGCAAAUCUUCUGCAACUCCACGUUCAACAAAAAAAUAAAAAAAAAAGAUAAAAAGAAAGAAAUAAAAUUGACAACUAAAGAAGCAAAUGAGAGCAGUAGCAGUAGAUGCAAACUUUGAAUAUGACUAGGAAACCCAAAAGAAACCCUUCUUUCUUCAAAAUCUUGAUAGGAAACUUUGAUAAGAAGCUGGUAAGUUCAAAUCCUACUAAACAACCAUUUAAUGCUUCUUAGUUCUUAAUCACUCAAGUUUUCUGUAUGUAGUUAUUAAAUGCUGUCUUCUUUGGUUUUUUUGCAGAGAAUUCCACCAGCUUUUGUAAAGUAUGUUUUUAAAGGAAAUGUGCCCACCAUGUUGACCUUGUAUUCAGACUCAGGGAACUCAUGGCGAGUUAGAAUCAAAGUUGAACAAGGAAGCUAUUUUUUCAACAAUGGAUGGUCAAAGUUUGUCAAAUAUCAUGACCUGGAAAUAGGGGAUUUUCUGGUUUUCUUUUUGGUUGAUAGUUCAACGUUUGAUGUUUUCAUUUAUAAUCGAACGGCAUGUGCAAAGAACAUCAUUUUGGCUGCUAAGAAACGAAAGGGCCGAUCCCCUGGAGUUAGCAGACAAAUUGAACAAACCCCAAGCCAUAAAUGUACUUCAACUUCCAAGAAACCAAGAACAGUUCCUCGUGAGCCCCAACCUUUUCAUUUCAUGUGUAACCCUUCAUGUUCAUUUUGCAUCUCACAAACUUUUUUUAAUGUUUCAUUCAUGGUUUAGGUGUACAGGAGGUUGAGUUUGUAUCUGGAGUAACCCCGAAGAAUGUUUCAUAUGUAAUGGUUGUGAAGGGAUACAAUAAAUACUAUGCUGUAAGAACACAACUACUUUAUUCGAUAUUGCUGGCUGUUAGUGUUAAUUACUUUCUACUUCAUAUAUGUUCUUUUUUUCAGGGUAUUCCGAUAUGUUUUACUGAAGAAGCAGGCUUGGGAAAGGUAUCCAUGGUGAUGGUUAGAGGUCCAAAAGGUGGAAUGUGGCCAAUGAUGACCACUUUUAGUUCAAAACAAGUUCUUCUGAGUGUUGGAUGGUCCAAGUUUCUGCAUGAAAACGAGAUUGUAAUUGGAGAUACCCUUUUGUUCGAACACGUACCAAAUACAGGCCAUUUAAUCCAUGUCCAGGUUGUUAACAAGGAUGGAACUGGAAACUGUGGUAGCCUUGCUGGUAAGCGACCAAGAGAUCGACCUCGCGAGCAAACUGAACUACCACCAAGCACAAAAUAUGCUUCAAGUUCCAAGCGUACCAAAGGUCCUUUAACUUGCAUUUCAUCACUUCAAUUUUUUUCAUGUUUUUUAGUCUCAUUUCAUUUCAAUCAUCAUUGCUUGUUUAGGUGUAUCAGAGUUAAUCUUGGAACAGGCUUCAUUUGUAGUUGUUUUGAAGAAAUACCAUCAAUACUCUGUUGUAAGAACUAUGUCUUGAUUAUCUAUUCUCAAUUCAAUGCUGUUUCUACUCCAUUUUAAAUAUCUUUUACUUAAAUUUCAGUCUGUUCCAGCCAGUUUUGCCAAAGAAACAAGCUUGGCAGAGGAACCGAGCACGGUGAUAAAGGACUCAGAGGGUAGGAAGUGGGAAUUAAACAUCUUGGUUGAUGCAAAAUCAAAUGUUCGUCUAGGUGCAGGAUGGUCACAAUUUGUGCAAGAAAUCAAAUUAGAAGCUGGAGAUACCAUUUCGUUUCAACACAUUCCCAACACUGGUAAUGUAAUUUACUUCAAGAUCAUUAGCAAGGCUAGAGCAGCAAAUUAUGGUGAUGGAAGAAACAUGAGAAAAAAUGUCUGUUAAAAAGUGGUAUCAUUUGUAAUGUCUGUUGUUUACCAGUUGUUGAAGAUGGUGAUGGUGGUUUGUAACUUGUAUGAUUGUGUUGUACCUGUCUAUCUUUUGUUUUGAUGGUAAGAAAAAGAAUUGGUAUGAUCAUGUAUGAAUUUCCAGGAACCCUCUUUGAAGUUGGAAAGUCAUUCAGGAAAGCUUGAUCAUUAUGUUUCUGUUUAUAGUUAACUUGCUGCAGUAGACUAAAGAUUUGUUGGAGAUUGGAUACAUGACAAUAUGUUGACAAUGCAUGUACAUGAUGAUAUAGUUUAACAGAUCCCAUUUUUGGUAAUUCAUAUUAAAAAUAUUUUUAGACUUUCCAAUUAUAUAUUCUUUUAUAUAGCAAAGUUGUUCGCUUUUUUAUAAAAAUAAUUAAUUAUUUAAAUCAAUUAUUUUUUUAUAAAAUAUGAAAAUAAUUUAAAAUCUAUUGUAAAAGUUAGUGAAGUCAAAGUGUUUGGCGUUAUCAACAUACUAAGUCAGCAAUUUGUAUUAAAAAUUUAAUUUUUUGGUGAAGCCAACAUGUCAAGUUACCAAUUUGCAUUAUAAAAUUAAAAUUUUGAUUUUUGGUGGAAUCAUAUAAAAUAACGUUACUUUAGAAAUAUUGUAAUUUUUAAAAGUAUAGGAGAUUUAAACAAUUUUAACUUUUUCUAAAUUGGCGUCACCAAAUUUCAAAAUAUUAGCUAAAUUUCAAAAUAUUAGCCUGUUAUGUAUAUUUGCCUAUUGAAACAACCUAAAUUUUUUAUUUAUUUGUUGGUUACUUUUUCUGAUUUUUAGUUUUUUUUUCAUUUUUUAGUUUUUCUUUUUAAGUUUUUUUAUUUAUUUACUUUUUAUAAAACCAAUAACAAACAAAUAAAUAAAAUAAAUAAAGUAAAAAUAAAAAAAAACUUAAAAAUUAAAUAAAUAAAAAAAUUAAAAAGAAAAAAAAAGAAAAGGACAGAAUUAGAAAAAGUAACAAAUGAAAAAAAAAUUAAGCUGUUCCAAUAGACAAAUAGGCAAAACAAGCAAGUGUAUUGGAAUCUAGUAGCGUCAAUUUAUUUGGCUCCACGUGAAAAAGGUAAAAUUGUUUAAAUUUUCUAUACUUUAAAAAAAUCACAAUAUUUUCCUAGUAUAUAUACAAAUGACGUCAUUUUACAUGGCUCUACCAAAAAAUUAAUUUUUUAAUACAGAAUUACUGACGUGACAUGUUGGUAACGCCAAACACUUUGGCUCCACAACUUUUACUGUAAAUUUUGAAUUGUUUUCAUAUUUUAUCAAAAAACAGAUCACUUAAGUAAUUAAUUAUAUUUUGGGGUUAUUUUUAUAAAAAACCCUCAAGUUCUUAAUAUGAUUUUCGUUAGUGCACCUCUCAUAAUUUAAUAGAUGGAUUAAUCUGUUGUAACUAGAGAUACUAGCCUUCUUUUGAAUGGUUGAAGAGGAAGAUGAAAGGCAAGUACAAAACUUUGUUUAAUGAAAUGAAUCUAUCAUUUUGUUUCCCUCAAGUCCAAAAACAAUGAAUUUAACAGUAAAUAGCUAAUAAUCAUCAUUAAAAUUGUAUUAAUUACUCUUGAAGUAUCGAUUUAUAAGAAAUGAACGGAAAGCUAAGCAGUCAACUAUCUCUAAGCAUAUGUUUCAUAGUAUAGUAACCAGUUCAACAGUCCCUGGAAAGUCGAAUCAACCUAUAUUAGUUAUUACUUCUUUUUUUUAGCUUGUUUUGUGUUUAGUUCUCAAAGGCUUAUUCUAAAGCUGAUCAAGCAUGGCUGUUGCUUCUCAUCAGCAAGGCAGUGAUCUUUUAAAGUAUAUAAGCAACUCACCUUUUUUCUUCAAAACAAUUUUCUUAGACACUAUUCAUAAUGGAAAACUUGGAAGCAUUCUCUUAAGACCUUUCUUUUAUUUUAUCUUAUUCAUAAACCUCAAGAGUAUAUGCAACUUACCAAGCGCCUUUGUAAAAAUGUCAACCAAUUGAACUGAGGUCGGAACAUAAAAAGGUACAAUCAACUCAUCCUAAAUUGUAUCCCUAACAAAGUGACAAUUCACUUCAAUAUGUUUAGUACGCUUGUGAAAUAUAGGAUUCUGUGCAACAUAAAAUGCAGAUUGACUAUCACAAAAUAAAGUAAUAGCUUUAGGAUGAUAAACACCUAAACUCAAUAGCAAUGUCUUCAGUCACUUGAGCUCACAAGUGGCAGAAUCCUAGACCUAUACUCAGCCUCAAUGGAAGAACGAGAAACAAUACGUUGUUUCUUAGUUUUCCAGGAAAUAGGAGAUUGUCCCAGAAAGACAAGCCAGCCAGUAAACGAACGUGAGUUAACGGACAAGCAACCCAAUUUGAAUCAUACCACCCCUUUAAGGACAAAUCACUAUCAAAUCUCAAUAGAAAUCCUUGGCCAGGAGAGUCUUUCAAGUACCAAACAACCCACAGAGUUGUGUCCUAGUGCUUCUACCUCGGCUCAUGCAUAAACUGAGAUAAAACAUGAACCGAGUAUGCUAAAUCAAGUCUAGUCACUACCAAAUAGAUUAAACAACCCAUUAACCAUCUGUACUACUCAGAAUUAGUCAAAACUGCCCAUGGAGCAUGCAUCAAUCUAUGAUUUUGCUCUGGGAAUCUUACGGGCUUUGCUUCCAAAUAACCAAUCUCUGAAAAUAAUAUCAAGUGUUUAUUUCCUUUGACAAAGAAACAUACCCAAAGAAAUAUUUUUGGAAGCAAGAAUUGAGAUACCCUUUACAAGUUUUUAAAGCAACAUAAUCAUUCCUAAAAAUAAUCAAAUCAUCAACAUAAACUAGCAAAUUAAUGUGUACAAAUUCCUUAGUGUAUGUAAAGAGAUUAAUAAGAAUAUGAUUGAAGAAACUCAUAGCCUUUCAGUGCAGUAAUCAGCUUAGCAAACUAAUACCAAGGAGCAUGUUUUAACCUAUACAAAGACUUGUGCAAAUGAAAAAUUAGUCUAGGCAUAUCAAGUGCAAAACCUGGAGGAAGCUUCAUGUAAGCCUCUUCUUCAGGAUCACCAUGCAAAAAGGAAUUAUAUACAUCCAUUUGAUGUAACUCUUAUUUUUCGAAACUGCAACAACUAAGAAAGCACUAAUAAUCACCAUUUUUGCCAUAAGAGCGAAAGUUUCAUUAUAAUCAAUAGCUUCUACUUGGCUAUUACCAAAAAUGACAAGACAAACUUUAACUCUCUCAAUAUUUCCAUCGGACUUAUAUUUAAUCUUAUACACCCACUUACAAUCUAGAGUUUUCUUUUUAGGAGGAAGUGUCUUUAUAAACCACGUGUCAUUAUCCUCCAAAGUACGAAUCUCCUUUUACAUAGCAUUAUGCCAUACUGCAUCUUUCACAGCCUCUUUAAAAGACUGUGGCUUGAUCUUUGCAGUAGUAGCUAUAUGAAAAUUCCAGUGUUUCAUAGUGAAUUUGUCACAGAACAUAAUACGCUAUAAGAAAUGGAGUACCUGUGGAAGGCCCUAAACUAUCUAAGGUGGGAGAUGGACUUUUCUUUAUGGCAGUAUUAAUGACAAAAUCUUGAAACUAUUGAGGAAAUUUUUCUCUAUGCUCUCACCCCAAUUCAGAUACAUCAUUAUCCAAAGCCCCAAAACCCUUUAUACCACCGUGUCAUCGGAGGAAGAAGAAUACUCCACAAGUGACGAAAAAUCUGCAAGUGGCGAACUCACAAGCUACGGAGUGACAAGAGAAUGAAUUGUAUAAAAAAUAUGUAUAAAAUAUUUCGUCUGCACUCCUAUAUGGCAGAACAACAUUGUCGAGCUCAAUAAUUGCAAUAUUCCCAUCCAAAUUCUAAAAUAAUAUCUUCAAAAAAUUUCACAUCACAGACACAAAAAACUUCUUAGAAUCCAUACAAUAUAAAUAUAAACCCUUUUUUCCAAAAGGAUACCUAACAAAAACAUACUUUCGAGCAAACGUAUUAACUUAGAACGCCGAUUAUGAGCAAAACAUAAGCAACCAAGCACACGAAGAUCAUCAAACAAAGGAGGUCUACCAAAUAACAUUUCAUAGGGUGUUUUUCCAUGAAGAAGAGGUGAAGGAGUUCGAUUGAUAAAAUGAGAAGCAGCCACAUUUAAAAUAUGUUAAAAUAUGUUAAUGCUUCCUGAGGACUCCCCCAUUUUUUUGAGGAGUACUACACAAAAUGUUUGAAAAAUAAUAUAAUUUGUAAGAAAAUAAUCCUAGAGAUACAAUAUCCCUACACUUGUAAUAGUCAUAUGCGAUCCGAUGAAUUUCCGGAGCAGAAUAUCAACUAAUCCGAAGAUGAUAACUCUAUAAAGAUCAUAAAAUACAUCUCUCCAAGAACAAUGAUGGAGGAGCCGAAAUCGAAUUCAGCUAUGGAAAUCGAAACCAAGUGCAAUGGGAAGUCUAAUGGAUGUCAAGUUAGAAAUGGUGAUAAAAGCAAAAGCCAUACUAUAAUUCAAUAAUUUAAACCUCAUGUAGUGAUUGAGAACCCAUUUUUCCAAGUUGUCAUGCACCUAUCAUAUGUUGGUCACACUAGUGAUAAAAAAUGCAGACUGCUAAGCAAUCAAUUGAAUUCCCCACUAGAUCCUAUGCAUGCAGUUCAUUUCAUUACUUCAUUAAUAUAUACUAAACUUGCAUAAAUGAGCAAAAUUUUCCUUUUCACAGGCCAUACCAGCUAACUUUGUGAGGAAACAUUUGAUGAAAGAGCAAUGUUCAGUACUCCUUUGCAACUCAAGCGGCAAAACUUGGAUUGCUACCUUCAAGCGGAGACGAAUAGGGGAAAGACUAUAUAUACGAAGCGGUUGGGAUACUUUUGUACGGAAUAACAAUAUUCAAGUCGGUGAUUUUUGCGCGUUUGAGCUAAUAAAUAGCAUCGAAAUAUCCUUCAUAGUAGUCAUUCACCAAGGCCAGCAUGCAAAUUUUCAUCAGUCAUUAGCUUCAACUGAUGCAUUUCGUCCCGAGAAAUGGAAAGUUCCGUCGUACGCAAGUCGGAGCCGCACCGAACCAUUGACUGCUCUUGAGAAAACUAAAGCUUUUCGAAUAGCUAGUGCUUUCUAAUCUGAAAAUCCGUUCUUUAUUGUAAUCAUACAGCCAUCUGUUGAACAUGGACUGUAAAGCAACAAAGGAGCAACUUGGUGCAUUUUGUUUAUUUUGUUUAUUUUGUUUAUUUUUAAUAUUUGUAAUGAUAGCUAUAAUUGAAACAAGUUGAUAUGCAACUUGGUUUCAUAAUAAUAGCUAAUAUGCUUUCAUAAUGAUAGCUAUAAUGCUUUUAUCUUUUUAAUUAUUAAUUGGCAAGUUGCCAAAUUUAGUGGAAAUUGUUAGGUAAACAUUCCACUUUUGUAACUCUAUAUUUUGAAAUGAAAUGAAAAUGGUAUGAUUAUUCGGUUUCAAUCAAACAUAUUUUUUUUCCUUUUGCUUGUUAACCGAGAGCUUAUGCUCUUGAUGCUUUGUGUUUUUCUGCUUGCUGUUUGAAGAGCUUAUGCUCUUAGUGUUUCAUUGUUUGGUUGUUGCUGCCAUUUUAUCCAACAAAUGGUAAUUAGAGCAUCCUAUCUUUGAGGACCUUUGUGGUUUUGUUUUAGUUUUCAAAAUAAAGUCAGUUUUGCUUCUGCAAAAUCAGUUUCAGCAACAUGAGCUUUGUACCUCCUCCACCACCAAUUUUUGCUGGAGAAAACUACCACAUUUGGAUAGUUAAAAUGAAAACUUACCUCCAAGCACUUGAUCUGUGGAGUGCAGUUGAAAAUGAUGUCGAGCCACUACCAUUGAGAGCAAAUCCAACCAUUGCUCAGAUCAAGCAACAUGGUGAGGAGCGAGCCAAGAAGCAUAAAGCCAUGGCCUGCCUACAGAAUGGAGUGUCUGAUGUAAUUUUUACUCGCAUCAUGGCCUGUGACUCACCCAAACAAGCUUGGGACAAGCUGAAAGAGGAGUUCAUGGGAUCAGACAAGACAAGGCAGCAACAAGUAAUUAAUCUUAGAAGGGAGUUUGAAAAUUUGAAGAUGAAGGAGUCAGAAACUAUCAAGCAAUAUUCUGAUAGGAUUAUGGCUACUGUCAAUAAUAUUAGACUCCUUGGAGAAGAUUUCAGUGACAGCAGGGUUGUUGAGAAGGUUAUUACCACCUUACCUGAAAGGUUUGAGUCAAAAAUCUCCUCAUUGGAGGACUCGAGAGAUCUCACAACCAUUUCUUUGUCUGAGUUGGUUAACUCACUUUAUGCACUUGAGCAGAGAAGAGCAAGUAGGCAGGAGGAAAGUCCUGAAGGUGCUUUUCAAGCAAAGAUCAGAGAAGGCUCCAGCUCAAGUCAGAAAGCUAAGAAGCCUUGGUUUGAAAAGAGGGAAAGAUCAAAGAAAGAUGUCGGUAGAAGGAGGUUUCCACCAUGCGUUCACUGCAAGAAGACUAACCAUUUGGAGAAGUAUUGCUGGAACAAACCAGACAUCCAAUGCAAGAGCUGCAAGCAGUAUGGUCAUCAUGAAAAGAUUUGUAAAAAUCAAGAAAAGUUACAAACUCUGCCAGUACAAGCCAAGACUGCUGAAGAUCUUCAAGCUCAGGAGGAGCAUGUCUUCACUGCCUCAUGUUCUACAACCACAAGCAAAUCCAAAUGCAGUUGGCUUGUGGAUAGUGGCUGCUCACAUCACAUGGCAUCAAAUGAGAGCCUGUUCAAGGAUCUUGACAGGAGUUUUGCUUCAAAGGUCAGAAUAGGCAAUGGGAAUCUGAUUGAAGCUAAAGGCAGAGGUGAUAUUGUGAUCAACACUAGUUCAGGUAACAAGGUUAUUUCAGAUGUGCUUUAUGUACCUGAAAUAGAUCAAAAUCUACUUAGUGUAGGUCAGCUGGUUAAGAAAGGCUACUCUCUAGUUUUCAAGAAUGAUUCUUGUAUUAUUAAUGAUAUUCUUGGUAGAGAAGUUGUUUCAGCACCCAUGGCAGAUAGGUGUUUUAUGUUGGAUGUGAGCCAACUUGAGAGAAGAGCCUAUACAAGUUCAGUUGACAAUGCUGAUCUGUGGCAUAGAAGAUUUGGCCAUGUCAAUUUCAGGUCACUCAAUUUGCUGCACAAGAUGAGUUUGACAGAGGACAUGAUUGAGGUUGAUGCAAAUGAGUCUGUUUGUGAAGUAUGUUAGCUUGGUAAACAGGCCAGGUUGCCUUUUCCAGUAAACCAAGCAUGGAGGGCUCGAGAAAGACUUGAAUUGGUGCACUCAAAUGUCUGUGGACCAAUGAAGACUCCUUCACUGAAUGGCAGUAAGUAUUUUAUACUGUUUAUUGAUGAUCUGACCAGAUUUUGCUGGGUUUAUUUCAUGAAACAAAAGUCAGAAGUGUUUGAAGUUUUUGGAAAGUUCAAGGCAUUGGCAGAAAAUCAAAAAGGCUGCAGGAUUAAGGCCUUGAGGACAGACAAUGGUUCUGAAUACUUGUCUGAAAGAUUUCAGAAGCUAUGUGAGCAGGCUGGGAUUCAUCAUCAAUUGACCAUAGCGUAUACUCCUCAGCAAAAUGGAGUAUGUGAAAGGAAGAACAGAACAGUGAUGAACAUGGCCAGGUGUUUGUUGUUUCAAAGCAAGCUUCCAAACAUUUUUUGGGCUGAAGGUGUCAACACCUCAGUGUACCUGCUCAAUAGGCUGCCAACACAUGCUUUAAAUGAUAAAACUCCUUUUGAAGCAUGGUAUGAUCUUAAACCAACAGUUUCCCAUUUAAAAGUGUUUGGUUGCAUGUGUUUUGUACUUGUCCCUGCAGAAAGAAGAACCAAGCUUGAGAAGAGAUUAGUUCCUGGUAUAUUUGUUGGCUACAGUAGCUGCAAAAAGGGCUACAGAGUAUUUGAUCCUUCAACCAAGAAGAUUUUGGUAAGCAGGGAUGUCAAAUUCGAUGAAGGAAGGUUUUGGAGUCUAGAUGGCUCUAACACAAGUCAGUUUGAAGAAGAGCAGAUUGACAACAAUCUGGAAUUGGCAGAAAAUGAAGUCAGUAAUGCCAAUGUAGAUGAUACUCCUGUGAGAGGGACCAGGUCUAUUACUGAUAUCUACCAAAGAUGCAAUGUGGCCAUUGUUGAGCCUUCAAGCUAUGAAGAAGCUGCAAGAAGCAGGAGCUGGAAGAAGGCUAUGGAGGCUGAAAUCGACAUGAUCCAUAAGAAUGACACUUGGGAUCUGGUAGACAGACCUGAUCAGAAGAAGGUCAUAGGUGUCAAAUGGGUUUUCAGGACCAAAUUCAAUGCUGAUGGCUCUUUGAACAAGCACAAGGCAAGGCUUGUGAUGAAAGGGUACAAUCAACAGUUUGGCAUUGAUUUUGAGGAGACAUUUGCUCCAGUAGCAAGGCUGGACACCAUAAAGCUCCUGUUUGCUUUGGCAGCACAGAAACAGUGGAAGGUCCAUCAGCUUGAUGUCAAGUCAGCUUUCCUGAAUGGCUUCCUUAAAGAGGAGAUUUAUGUUGAACAGCCUGAUGGAUUUAAAGUCCAAGGAAAGGAGGACAAGGUUUACAAGCUGAAGAAGGCACUCUAUGGACUAAAACAGGCUCCUCGAGCCUGGUAUGACAGGAUAGAUGCUUACCUGUCUAAGCUCAAUUUCGAGAAAAGUUUGAGUGAGCCAACUUUGUUUAUAAAGAAGUCCAAAGAUGAGACUUUGCUGAUUGUCUCAAUAUAUGUAGAUGAUCUAUUAGUGACUGGAAGCAGGGUCGAUUUGAUUCAGGAGUUCAAGAAGAAUAUGCAAGACAUGUUUGACAUGACAGACUUGGGAAUCAUGACUUACUUCCUUGGUAUGGAAGUAGACCAGUCUGAUCAAGGCAUUUUUAUCAGCCAGCAUGCAUUUGCCUUGAAAAUUCUCACUAAGUUUCAUAUGGAAAACAGCAAACCAGUGAGCACACCAUUAGCUGUGGGAGAGAAACUAAGCAGCUUUGGAAAUGAAGAAAAGGUAGAUGAAAAGGAGUAUAGAAGCCUGAUUGGAUGUUUACUUUACUUGACAGCAACCAGACCUGACCUUAUGCAUUCAGUUAGUCUACUGUCUAGAUUCAUGCACAGCUGCAAUACAACUCAUUUGAAAGCAGUAAAGAGAAUACUCAGGUAUGUCAAAGGUACUUUGAAGUUUGGUGUAAUGUUCAAGAAAGGAAGUGAGCUGAAAUUAACUGGCUACUCAGAUAGUGACUGGGGUGGAUCAGUUGAUGAUAUGAGAAGUACUUCAGGCUACUUCUUUACACUUGGUUCGGGAGUUUUCAGUUGGAGUUCAAAGAAGCAACAAACUGUUGCUCAGUCUACUGCUGAAGCCGAAUACAUAGUAGCAGCUGCAGCAGUGAAUCAAGCCAUUUGGAUUAGGAAGUUGCUAUGUGAUUUGAAUGAAGAACAGCUCGAGCCUACUGAAAUUUUGGUGGAUAACCAGUCAGCAGUUGCCAUCUCUAAAAAUCCUGUUUUUCAUGGCAAAACCAAACAUUUUAAGCUCAAGUUUUACUUUGUUCGAGAAGUUGUCCAAUCCAAAGAAGUGAGUCUAAUACAUUGCAGCUCACAAGAUCAAUUGGCUGACAUUUUGACAAAGCCUCUUGGCACAAUCAGGUUUGAAUUUCUAAGGAAAUCAAUUGGUGUUUGUUGCCUACAGUCCAAGGAGGAGUGUUGAACAUGGACUGUAAAGCAACAAAGGAGCAACUUGGUGCAUUUUGUUUAUUUUGUUUAUUUUGUUUAUUUUUAAUAUUUGUAAUGAUAGCUAUAAUUGAAACAAGUUGAUAUGCAACUUGGUUUCAUAAUAAUAGCUAAUAUCCUUUCAUAAUGAUAGCUAUAAUGCUUUUAUCUUUUUAAUUAUUAAUUGGCAAGUUGCCAAAUUUAGUGGAAAUUGUUAGGUAAACAUUCCACUUUUGUAACUCUAUAUUUUGAUUAUUCGGUUUCAAUCAAACAUAUUUUUUUUUCCUUUUGCUUGUUAACCGAGAGCUUAUGCUCUUGAUGCUUUGUGUUUUUCUGCUUGCUGUUUGAAGAGCUUAUGCUCUUAGUGUUUCAUUGUUUGGUUGUUGCUGCCAUUUUAUCCAACACCAUCAAAUAUUAAGUCAUGUAGAUUGGUAAGUUUUUCUGUUGAAACUUGUUGGCCAUUUCCAAGUUCUUAUGACUGCACCAUGCAAAUGUUAUAAUGCAACUUGAAAAGGCAGAAAAUAACUGAACUGACAUGUUUUUGUUUAUACGAACAGAGUAUACCAGUGAAUUUUGCUAGGAAAUAUCUCACAAAGAUGCACAAAGAGGUCAUACAUCUCCUUUCAGAUGGAAAAUCAUGGCCAGUGAUAUUUUUUCAGCACAGUAUCGAAAAACCAAGUGUAAUAUCCGGUACGGGUUGGCGUGGAUUUGCUAUGGAUAAUAACUUAGAAGUUGAUGAUGUUUGUGCCUUUGAACUCAUUGAGGGUCCUAAAACAUCAAUGAAGGUAACCAUUUAUAAGAUGCAGGCUGUUGAAGACUUAUCUUUGGGUAAGUAGGUUCCAUUUCAGGUAAGGCCUUAGAAGAGGCAAAUUAAAGCUAUCAAGCUUUUCAAGAGGAUGAAGCAAAUCCCAGCUACCAAACCGUAGGACCGAUUUCAUUGAUUCAAUGAUUAGCUUGUCCUGUAACUGUUUAGCCAUGACAUUGUAACUUGUUUCUGAUGCCGUCCUAUGAACAUUUCACCUGUAAUAAUUUUCCUUUAGAUGGUUUUGUAAAUUCACUAACCAUUAGCUUGAAAAACUGGUCUGUUUCAUAUUAUAAAAAACGCUGCUUGCAAAACCCUCCAGAUUCUCCUAAAGAACCCAAAUUACCUACGAGCUUGAUGGAGGUGUAAACAAUGGUUGGAUAAACUGUUACGAACAUUUUUUUUUAUUCCUAAGCAAGUAAAUGAAAAUAGCAAAAUUAGUGAUAUAUGUAGCUUUCUAAAAAAUUAAAGCACUGUUAAUUUUAAUGAUUCAAUUUACUUGGUCAAAUAAUUAAAUGAUUUUUGUGUGAAAAUAUAUUUUCUAGCAAUGUAUCGCAAAGAAAAAAAAGUAAAAUAGAACACAAAUUCGAAUGAUACAAGUGGAGAGGCGAUUAUAUCUAUUUAUAAAUUUGUAAAACUAUAUUCUAAUCAAAGUUAAAUAGAAGUAAUGCAGUAAAGUUAAAAUAUCUUAUUCUAAUUAACAAAUAGAGAUAAUAUAUUUCUAUACGUAUUUCACUUGUGCAUCCCGCAUCGUACUGCGAGAGUCCAGAGGCCCCUACACUCUCAAUUGUGACCUGAGCCCAAUAGCUUGCCACUUCUAUUUUAUUUUAAUAAGAAUUUUACUAUUUUAUUAAAGAAACUAAGUUAUCAAAAAAAAUUUAUAAAAUUUUUACAAGACCCAUUCUUUAUCAUGUCUAUUUGACUAUUUCUAAUGUGGUUGAAUUUUUUAAAAACGACAUAAAUUUACCGAAUGCAAAUGAUAUGGGCAAUGUAAAAGGUAAGUUUUAGGUUUGCUCUUCAAGUUCUUGCUGCUCGGCUAAAUGGAUUUCGGUUCACUUUUUGUUGGAGCCAAUGGAGGACAAUGUUGGCUCUUAAGCUUAAAUCAAAUCAAUGUGUCUUUUAAUGAAAGAAAAAAAAAUGGAGAUUGUCAUCUGCAUUUUGAUUCUCUGACAUAUACAGGAUCAUCUUUCCUGCUCUGGUGGGGUAAAAAGCUAAUGUGAUGGAAAUCAUUUGACUGCAAAUCUACAACUUCACGUCAAAACAAAUAAAUAAAUGGAGAGAAUCCAAAGUAGCAAAGCAAAUGAGAAAACUGCAGCAGUUAAUGCAAAACUUUGAAUAUGACUAGGUGUUAGAAUAUACCAUAUCACAUGUGCAAAUUGUUAGUCUGUUAUUGAAUUGUUAAAUGGAGUAGUUUAGUGAUUGAAAAUAGUCAAGGGUCUAGACUAUAAACAUAUAAACAUGUGUAUUGUAUAGGGUAGAUUUUCAAGUUUUAAUAUUAAGAAUAUACUACUCUCUUCGAUCCUUGUUCAUUCUUGUAGGUUUCGAUAGGAGAUUUUGAUAACAAGCUGGUAAGUUCAUAUCCUAUUAACAGCCAUUUAAUGCUUCUUAAUGGCUCUAGUUUCAUGUAUAUAAACAACUUAUUAACUGUUAUUUUUUUUUUCCUUUUGCAGAGAUUCCACCAGCUUUUGUGAAGUAUGGUUUUAAAGGAAAUGCGCCCACAAUGUUCACCUUGUAUUCUGACUCAGGGAACUCAUGGCGAGUUAGAGUCACAGUUCAACAAGGAAGUUACUUUUUCAAUAGUGGAUGGUCAAAGUUUGUCAAAUAUCAUGGCCUGGAAAUAGGGGAUUUUCUGGAUUUUUUUGGUUUUUAGUUCAAUGUUCGAUGUUCUCAUUUAUGAUCGAACUGCAUGUGCAAAGAACAUCAUUUUGCUGCCAAGAAACCAAAGGCCCAACCCCUUGGAGUUAGCAGACAAAUUGAAGAAACCCUAAGCCAAAAAUGUGAUUCAAUUUCCAAGAAACCAAGAGCAGUUUCUCGUGGGAUAAAUUUUUCAUUUCAUGUGUAAACCCUUCAUAUUCAUCCCCCUUUUUUUCACUACUCAUUUCAAUGUUUCAUGCAUGGUUUAGGUGCAAGAAAUGUUAGCCAGGACCAGGAGGUUGUGUUUAUGACCCCGAAGAAGGCUUCAUUUGUAGUGGUUUUGAAGCAAUACCAGAAGUUCUAUUUUGUAUGAACAAAACAUAUUAAUUCUCAAUUCAAUGCUGUUUCUACUCCAUUUUACAUAAGCAUUUUUCUUAUAUUUCAGCCUGUGCCAACGAGUAUUACCAAAGAAAUUGGCUUGGCAAAACAUAAGUUCUAAAGGCAAAUACGAGUUCUUUUUUGGUAGAAUCAAAGUAUCUUUCAUUUCCUUUUACAAGAAAAACAAGCUCUUGGCCAUUAAUGAAUCAGCCUCGAGCCUAGAAACACUUAAUUUAACAGUCAUUAGCAAAUAAUAUUUUAGAAUGGUAUUAAUUACUUCUAACAAAUGGACCAUUCCAUACUUUAGGUAGAUAUGAGUAAUAAUGAGGAGAAUGUACUCAGCUAUCUUCUUCAAGUUCAUGUUUAUGUUUAUUAAUUUCUCAAAGGCUCAUCCCUCAACUGUUCAAGCAUGGCAACUUCUUCUCACCAGCAAGGCAAUGGCCAUUUAAAGUAUAUAAGCAACUCUCCUUAUUUCUUCAAAAUAAUUCUCCUAGACACUAUCCUGAAUGGAAAACUUGUAAGCAUUUUCUUUUACUAUUUAUGUAUAUUAUAUAUAUAACAUUUGCAUAUGUUGAUAAGAGUUCUUUUACAGGGAAUUCCCAGAAAGUUUGUGAAAAACCAUGGAAAUGGCAUGUCAAGCCCAGCAUUGCUCCAGGUCCCAUCUGGUGAAGUAUGGAAGGCGGAACUUACAAAAUCUGAUGGCAAAAUAUGUUUUGAAAAUGGCUGGCUAGAAUUUGCAAACCAUUACUCUUUGGAGUUGGGGCAUCUUUUGGUUUUUAGAUAUGAUAGGAACAGCAAUUUCCAUGUAAUCAUUUUUUAUAGGAGUGCUUAAGAGAUAAAAUAUCCCUACACCAGCAAUUAUUAUAGGAGGUCCGAUGAAUUUCCGGAGCAGAAUAUCAACCAAUCGGAAGAUGAUGCCUCUAUAAAAGAUCAUAGGAAACAUCUCUCCAAGCAAGAAAAUGAGAGAGGAAUUGCAACCGCCAUGUCCUUGGCCUCAUAAAAUGAUGAGAAGUACUAAUUCAGAUAACGAAACCGAAACCAAGUGCAAUGAGAAGUCUGAAUUUCUAACUCAACAAAUUAGGCAUAAUGGAUGUCCAGCUAGAAAUGAUGAUAAAAGCACAAGCCAUCCUAUAAUUCAACAAUUUAAGACACAUGAAAUGACGACUGAGAAACCAUGUUACCAAAUUGUCAUGCACCCAUCAUAUGUUGGUCAUAGUAGUGAUAAAAAAUGUAGACUGGUAAGCAAUCAAUUGAAUUCCCCGCUAGAUCCUAUGCAUGCUGUUCAUUUCAUUACUUCAUUAAUAUAUACUAAACUUGCAGAAAUUAGCAAAAUUUUCCAUUUCACAGGCCAUACCAGCUAACUUUGUGAGGAAACAUUUGAUGGAAGAGCAAUGUUCAGUACUCCUUCGCAACUCAAGAGGGAAAACUUGGAUUGCUACCUUCAAGCGGAGACGAAUAGGGGAAAGGCUAUAUAUACGAAGCGGUUAGGAUACUUUUGUACGGGAUAACAAUAUUCAAGUCGGUGAUUUUUGCGCGUUUGAGGUAAUAAAUAGCAUCGAAAUAUCCUCCAAAGUAGUCAUUCACCGAGGCCAGCAUGCAAAUUGUCAGCAGUCAUUAGCUUCAACUAAUGCAUUUCGUCCCGAUGGAAAGCUCCGUAGUACGCAAGUCGGAGCCACACAGAACCAUUGACUGCUCUUGAGAAAACUAAAGCUUUUCGAAUAGCUAGUGCUUUGAAAUCUGAAAAUCCGUUCUUUGUUGUAAUCAUACAGCCAUCACAUGUUAUGUAGAUUGGUAAAUUUUUCUGUUGAAACUUGUUGGCCAUUUCCAAGUUCUUAUGACUCCACCAUGCAAAUGUUAUAAUGCAACUUGAAAAGGCAGAAAAUAACUGAACUGACAUGUUUUUGUUUAUAUGAACAGAGUAUACCAGUGAAUUUUGCUAGGAAAUCACAAAGAUGCACAAAGAGGUCAUACAUCUCCUUUCAAAUGGAAAAUCAUGGCCAGUGAUAUAUUUUCAGCACAGUAUCAAAAAAUCAAAUGUAAUAUUCGUUACUGGUUGGCGUGGAUUUGCUAUGGAUAAUAACUUAGAAGUUGGUGAUGUUUGUGCCUUUGAACUCAUUGAGGGUCCUAAAACAUCAAUGAAGGUAACCAUUUAUAAGAUGCAGGCUGUUGAAGACUCAUCAACGAAGGUAACCUUUUCAGGUACAAUGUGCAUAUAUGUAUAAAAUUCAUUAUACAUUUGAUAUGUUCAAAUAUAAGCUUGGAUUUUGUUCUUUGAAAACAGAUGAUAGAAGUAGAGAGAAACAAGUUGAACCCAUGAAAGCUUGGUAAGUAAAAACUGCAGAAUCAGCAUCGAUGAAGAAGAAAGGAGAUAUAUCUAAUCUGCUUGUUGAUUAUAACUGUGAUGCUUCAAGAGAAAAUCUUAGAUGACAUUUUGGUGUCCAGAAAAGGCCAUCGAAGGGGCAAGUCAAAGCUAUCUAACUUUACAAGAGUAUGAAAUCAAUUCCACAUACCAACAUGUAGGACCGAUGCCAUUGAUUCAAUGAUUAGUUUGUCCUGUAACUUUUUAGCCAUAACAUUGUAACAUGUUUCUGAUGCUGUCCUGAUGAACAUUUCACCUGUAGUAAUGUUCCUUUAGAUGGUUUUCUAACCGUUAGCUUGAAAAGAUGGUGUAUUACAUAUCCUAAAAUCAAGUUCAGAACAUGAAACAUAGCAGUUGCUUGAAGCUACCCAAGUGCUAAUUUCGUGUCUACUCAGGUGCAUGGAUUUUGUUUCACUUUUUCUUGGACAAGAGUUUGCACCCAUGGAAGUUGCUCUCAGCUUAGAAAAAUGGAAACCAAUUCAAUAGCAAAUGCUAUGGUAGCUAUUACUGAAAUAGUAUUAAAAAAUGGAAGAAAAAGAAUCCUGGGCUGAUUGUAUAGCAUUCAUGUGUGAGAUUAUCAUCUGUAUUCUGAUUAUCUGACAGAUUCAGCAAACGUGAUUUUAAUCAUUUCAAUGCUAAUCUACAACUUCACGUCAAACAACCCAUUUCCCCCAAAAAAAUAAAUAAAUGAGAGAAUCCAAAGAAGCAAAUGAGAAAACUGAAGCAGUUAAUGCAAAACUUUUGAAUAUGACUAGGAAACCAAAACGAAGCCCUUCUUUCUUUAAGGUCUUAGUAGGAGACUUUGUUACCAAGCUGGUAAGUUCAAGUUCCAUUUAAUGCUUAUUAAUGGCUCAAGUUUUAUGUAUAUUAAAUGCUGUCUUCUUUUAACUUUUUUCAGAAAAUUCCACCAGCUUUUGUGAAGUACGUUUUGAAAGGAAAAGUACCCAAAAAGUUCAGCUUGUAUUCUGACUCAGGGAACUCAUGGCGAGUUAGAGUCGAAGUUCAACAAGGAAGCUACUUUUUCAACAGUGGAUGGUCAAAGUUUGUCAAAUAUCAUGGCCUGGAAAUAGGGGAUUUUCUGGUUUUCUUUUUGGUUGAUAGUUCAACAUUUGAUGUUUUCAUUUAUAAUCGAACUGCAUGUGCAAAGAACAGCAUUUUGGCUGCUAAGAAACCAAAGGGCCGACCCCCUGGUGGUAACAGACAAAUUGAACAAACCCCAAGCCAAAAAUGUACUUCAGCUUCCAAGAAACCAAGAGCAGUUUCUCGUAGGCCAACCUUUUCAUUUCAUUUCAUGCAAAACCCUUCAUAUUUAUCCCCCUUUUUCUACUAAUCAUUUCAAUGAUUCAUUCAUGGUUUAGGUGCAAGAAAUGUUAGCCAGGAGGUUGAGUUUAUAACAGAAGAAGCCCCAAAGCAUGUUUCAUUUGUACUGGUUGUGAAGAAAUACCUAAAAUACUAUGUUGUAAGAACAAGUACUCAUUCAAUGCUGUUAAGUGUUAAUUACUUUCUACUUCAUAUAAUUUUUUAUAUACUUUUAAAAUUUUCAGUUUAUUCCAAGAUAUUUUGCCAAAGAAACAGGCUUGGGAAAGGAAUCCAUAACGAUGAUUAAGGGUCCAAGAGGUGGGAUGUGGCCAAUGAACACAACCGAGAGUGGAAGACAGGUUCGUCUGGGUGGUGGAUGGUCCCAGUUUCUGCAUGAAAAUGAUAUAGUAGUUGGAGAUACCCUUUUGUUUCAGCACAUUCCAAAUGCAGGCAAUUUAGUACACGUCCAGAUUCUUAACAAGGCUGGAUAUCGAAACCAUGGACGAGGUGGACGACGGGGGCGACAAAACAAGCAAGCAAAUGCCUCUGAAAAGAACACCAUUAUUGCUAUUAAGCAAAAAAGAGGUCCACCUUGCAGGCAAAUUGAAGAACCAAAUUCAAAGAUAACCAAAGGUCUUGUAACUUACAUUUCAUAUGUUAACACUUUAGUUUUCAUUGUUCUUUUUAGUUUCAUUUCAUUUCAAUUGGUUGUUUAGGUCUAAGCAUUGAGGGGGAGACAGAUAUUACCCGGAAGGAUGAGUUCGAAUCAGAGUUAACGCCGAAGAAGGCUUCAUUUGUGGUGGUUUUGAAGCAGUACCAGAAAUUCUAUAUUGUAAGAACAACUUAUUUAUUCUCAAAUGGUACUCGACUUUUACACAUUAUUCCAAUAUAGGAACAAUGUUUCUUUUAUCAGAUAGCAAAAAUAAUCAUUGUAUGAUUUAUCAUGUAUGAUUUACAUGUGAUAGAUGUCAUAAUACUUCUUUUUUUUGCAUUUUAAAUGUUGAUUUACUUUUAGUUUAAUUUAUUUAUUUUAUUAAUUUUAAAUAAUGAAUUUCUUUAUUUUGGGUUUUCAAAACUAUUGUUUUCUCAUUCAAUACUUAUUUGUUAAGCAUAGCUCAAUUCAAAUUUUUUUAACACGAAUGUCCUCAUGUACUAAUGAUAUUUUAGAGCAUACACGAAUUUUAUCAAAACCAUUAGUGUUAUGGGUAAUUUGUAUAAUAUUUAAAAAGUUUAGGUACUAAACUAAAUCUAAAAAAAGUUAGGCAUCAAAUUGGGAAAAAUGUCAAGUUUAGGUACUAAAUUAGGCCCCUAAAAAGUUUAGUUAUCAAAAAAAGUGUAAGUUUAAGUACAAAAUUAGACUGAAAAAAGUUUAAAUACCAAAUUAAGAAAAUAUACCAAGUUCAAUUACCAAAUGUUAUAUUAAGCAUUAUUAAUUCAAUGAAGUAUGUGCCCCAUUUUAAAUAUGUUUUUCUUGAAUUUCAGCCUGUGCCAACCAGUGUUGCCAAAGAAAUGGGCUUGACAAAGGAACCAAGCACAGUGAUAAAGGACUCAAAGGGUAGGAAGUGGCGAUUAAACAUCUUAGUGUAUGCAAGAUCAGUUCAUCUUGGUGCUGGAUGGUCCAAGUUUAUGGAAGAAAAUAAAUUAGAAGUUGGUGAUACCCUUUUGUUUCAGCACAUUCCCAACACUGGUAAUGUCAUUUACUUCCACAUUAUUCGCAAAGCUAGAGAUGGAAAUCAUGGGAAAAGAAAGAAUUGAGUAAAUGCCUGCUAAAAAGUGUAGUAUCAUUUUGUAAUUUCUCUUUCAGUCUUUUGUUUUAUUAGUUUUUUGUUUGAAUAUUAAACUGUUGAAGAUGGCAACAAUGGGGUUGUAUUGUAAGGUUGGUUUUUUAUCAGCCUCUCUUUUGUUUGGAUGGUGAGAAAAAAAAAAGUACGGUAUGAUCAUGUAAUUCCAGGAAAGCCUUUUAAGAAAGCUUCACCAGUAUGUUUUUGUUUACAGUUUACGUCCUCUAUUAGACUCUAAAGAUUGGAUGGAGCUUACCAAUGCAUAAACAAGAUAAUAUGGUGUAACAGAUUCAUAUAUGAUUAUAUGCUAUAAUUGAAGAUCCUAGUCUUGUUUUGAAUGGCUGAAGACAAAUUUUGGUCAUUCAAUGAAUCUGCCCUUCAGUUUGCCUCGAGCCCAAAAACAAUGAAUUUAACUGUCGAUAGCUAAUAAUCAUCAUUUAAGGUUAUAUUAAUUACUCUUGAAAUUUGGAUUUUAUCACCAUUUCCUGCUUUAAGUAGAUAUAAGAAACAAUGGAUCCUUUUUAAGUAUAUGUUCAAGUUACCCAAUUAUUUGCAGAAACUCUCUAAGUAAGCUGUUCAAGCCUGGCUGCUUCUCAUCAGCAAGGCAAUGACCAUUUAAAGUUUAUAAGCAACUCACCUUGUUUCUUCAAAAUAAUUCUACAAGACACUAUUCGGAAUGGAAAACUUGUAAGCAUUCUGCCAACUCUGUUGUAAGACAUUGUAUUUUACUAUAUAUAUAUUUGCAUAUAUUGAUAAGAGUUGUUUUACAGGGAAUUCCUAGAAAGUUUGUGAGAAACCAUGGAAAUAGCAUGUCAAGCCCAGCAAGCUCAGGGUCCCAUCUGGUGCAGUAUGGAAGGUGGAACUUACAAAAUGUGGUGGCAAAAUAUGGUUUGAAAACGGUUGGCUAGAAUUUUCAAACCAUUACUCUUUGGAAGUGGGGCAUCUUUUGGUUUUAGAUAUGAUGGGAAUAGCAAUUUCCAUGUAAUCAUCUUUGAUAGGACUGCUUCAGAGAUACAAUAUCCCUACACCAGCAAUAAUCAAAGGCAAUCUAACGAAAUUCCGAAGCAGAAUAUCAACGAAUCCAAAACCGAGUGCAAUGGGAAGUCUGGAUUUCUUGCUCAACAAGUUAGUCAUAAUGGAUGUUGUUGUUCCAAUAGGGUCGGAAGCGUGUAAAUUAUUGUACUAAAAAAUCACACAAAGUUCAAUUCCCAGGGAAGAGAGGUGGAUCACAUGGAUCUCUUAAAUAUCAAGUCUUUCCUUAGUCAGAAUAUCCCUUCUAUAGUAAUUUAAUAGCACAAUUAAAUACUACUAUUAUACCCUCAAAUAUUGAAAGAAAAAUAGGACAAGAAAGAACACAAGAGUUUUAACGAGGUUCGGUAAAUUAUACCUACGUCCUCGGGCACUAACACCAGAUGAUAACUUUACUAUCUUCAAAAUAUUACAAACAAAUAGAAUUCCUUGAGAAUUCUCAAAUGGGAGAAGAGAGAAAACUAAGAGAGAAAGAUUGGUUGGGAUGAAUUGAAAUGAGAAGGCCUAUUUAUAGUUGAGGUUUAAGGACCAAACAAUAAAUAACCCAUUAUCUCAAGGACCAAAAAAAAAAUUAUCCCAUGCCACUUUUUCAAAGUCAACUUUAGGGUGCUAAGCUUGCACCACUUUGUAUUGUUUGCCAUUAAUGUUGUCUCCCAUUAAUGUUAACAAUCUCCACCUUGAAGAUUUGAUUAGGAUAAUCACAUCUUCACACACUUCCUUCAACUCCCCAAAUUCGAUAAAGCUAUCUUUUGUAGUGCCUACAAAUGCACUCUCGAGCGCCAUACACCUGAAGGUGCUCAAAUUCUCAGGAUGUUAAUCAAGUUCAAACAAUGAUUAAACUUGAUUGUUGUUACCACCUUGGUCAUCAUAUCUGCGGGAUUAUCUGCUGUCGGAAUUUUCUGAAGUAGAAUUUUUCCUUUUUCAAAGACUUCCCGCACAAAGUGAUAUCUUACGUCGAUAUGCUUGGUUCUUGAAUGAUAGACUUGAUUUUUCGCUAAAUGAAUAGCGCUCUGACUGUCACAAUAUAAACUUAUGUGACUUUGAACAACUCCUAAGUCUUUCAACAAUCCAUUAAGCCAAAUAGCCUCCUUAACAGCUUCUGUAACUGCCAUAUAUUCUACCUCUGUAGUAGACACAGCUACUGUAGACUGUAAGGUAGACUUCCAACUCACUGGGGCUUUCGCAAGAGUAAACAGAUACCCCGUAGUUGAACGACGUUUAUCUAAAUCACCAGCAAAGUCGGAAUCAACAUAUCCAACUACAAACUGACCAAGUGCUUCAUCCUGUUCAAAAAUUAAACCAACAUCUACGGUUUUUCGAAGAUACCGUAGAAUCCAUUUCACAGCUUGCCAAUGUCCUUUUCCAGGAUCAUGCAUAUACCUGCUCACAACUCCAACAGCUUGUGAAAUGUCAGGCCUCGUACACACCAUCGCAUACAUCAAACUCCCAACUGCAUUAGCAUAUGGGACUUUCGCCAUAUAUUCUCUUUCUUCUUCAGUUUUCGGAGAUAAUUGAGCACUAAGUUUCAAAUGAGAAGCAAGUGGGGUACUUACAUGUUUUGUGUUUUCAUUUACACCAAAACAUUGUAAUACCUUUUUCAGAUAUUGCUUCUGAUUCAAACAAAGCUUGCCUCUCUGUCUAUCUCUACUUAUCUCCAUGCCGAGAAUCUUCUUGGCCUCACCUAGAUCUUUCAUCUCGAACUCUUGAUUCAACUGAGCCUUCAGCUUAUCUAUCUCUUUUUGGCUCUUCGAAGCGAUUAACAUAUCAUCAACAUACAAGAGUAGAUAAAUGAAAGAUCCGUCAUGUAGCUUCUGCAAAUACACACAAUUGUCAUAUUUGCUUCUUGUGUACUUCUACCUUCUCAUAAAGCUAUCAAAUCGCUUGUACCACUGCCUCGGGGAUUGCUUCAAUCCAUAUAGCGAUUUGUUCAGCUUACAAACCCAAUUUCUACCACCAGCAUCUGUGUAUCCUUCGGGCUGAGUCAUAUAGAUCUCCUCUUCUAACUCACCAUGCAAGAAAGCCGUCUUAACAUCAAGUUGAGCUAGCUCCAAAUUCAACUGUGCUACCAAGGCCAACAAAAUUCUAAUGGAGGAAUGCUUCACAACAGGGGAAAAUACAUCAUUGUAGUCAAUUCCCUCCUUCUGAGCGUAGCCUUUAGCUACCAAUCUUGCCUUGUAGCGAAUAUCCUUCUUGCUAGGAGAUCCAUCUUUCUUUGCGAAUACCCACUUGCAUCCGAUUGCCCUUUUACCUUUCGGUAAUUGCGCCAACUCCUAAGUAUUGUUCUUCCGGAGAGACUGCAUUUCUUCAUCCAUGGCGCUUUUCCAUUUAUCACUUUCUAAGCUUUGCAUUGCUUCUUGAUAAGUGAUAGGAAUAUCAUCAACAACGGGAAGGGCGUAGGCCACCAUAUCAGUAAAUCGAGUAGGUUUACGAAUUUCUCUCCGUGGCCUUGCAACUGCAACUGGUUCUGGUGUACUUAGUGGUUCUUAGGUCAGAACCCUUCAACCUCUAAUUCCUCCAUUGUGGCUGGAGAAUUAGACUUAUUAACUGGGCAAAUCCCCAUCUGCUCAAACUCCACCUGUUUUGGAGUACACUCCACCUGCUGUGGAGUAUUGCUCGUCUGAAUAUCUUUAUCUGCUACCUUUUUCAAUGUGGCAGAUUCAUCAAAGGUAACAUCUCUGCUACAGAUCAUUUUCUUUGUGCUUAAGCACCAAAGACGAAAUCCCUUCACUCCAGAAGUGAUUCCCAUAAAGAGAGCUUUCUUUGCCCUCGAAUCUAACUUUGACUCCUUCACAUGGUAAUAUGCAGUGGUUCCAAACACAUGUAAGGAAUCAUAAUCUGUAGCCGGUUUUCCAGACCAUACCUCCAUAGGAGUUUUUCUUUCUAAUGCAGAUGAUGGCAAACGAUUAACAAGAUGGCCAGCGUAUGUCACAGCCUUAGCCCAAAAUUGCUUGCCCAACCCAGCAUUGGACAACAUACAUCGAACUUUCUCCAGCAAUGUUCGAUUCAUACGCUCUGCCAAUCCAUUCUGCUGUGAUGUAUCCCUAACUGUGAAGUGUCGAACAAUACCAUACUCUUGGCACACAUCGAAGAACGGAUCACUUUUAUAUUCCCCUCCAUUGUCCGUCCUAAGCCGCUUGAUUUUCUUGCCAGUCUGGUUUUCGAUCAUAGUUUUCCAUUUAAGAAAAACUCUAAGCACUUCAUCCUUAGUUCUCAUGGUAUACACCCAAACUCUUCUGAAAAAGUCAUCAACAAAAGUAACAAAGUAGUGUUUUCCUCCCAAUGAAGGUGUCUUGGAAGGCCCCUACACAUCUGAGUGAACAUAUUCCAAAAUACCUUUUGUAUUAUGGAUAGCAGUACCGAAUUUCACUCUCUUUUGCUUUCUCAGAACACAAUGCUCGCAAAAUUUUAAUUUGCAAGCCUUUGCACCUUUCAACAAUCCUUACUUUGCCAGAAUUUGCAAGGAUUUUUCGCUGGCAUGUCCCAACUUCAUAUGCCACAACUAUAUUGAGUCCAAUUCUUUGUUGCCGGAAGCUGCAGCGACUGCUCCAAUAACUGUACUACAUUGGUAGUAAUACAAGUUAUUUUUCCUGAUGCCCUUCAAUAUCACAAGUGCGCCAGAUGUCACUUUCAAAACCCCAUCUCUCAUAGUAACAACUGAACCAUUGGAUUCCAGGGCUCCCAAUGAGAUGAGAUUUUUCUUCAAACUGGGCACGUACCGAACAUCAGUCAGAACUCUGGUUGAUCCAUCUUUAUUCUUUAAUUGGAUUGAACCUAUCCCAACAGUUUUACAGGCAUUGUCAUUGCCCAUAUAAACAACUCCUCCAUUUAAUUCUACUAAAUCAGAUAACCACUCCCGGUUAGGGGACAUAUGAUAGGUACAACCCGAAUCCAAUAUCCACUCAUCUGAAUAGAACGACGAUGAUGAUGCAACCAGUGAUAGUUCAGAGUCACUAGUAUCAUGCUUUGCAACACAAGCAUCUACAGCAGCUUUUUCCUUAUUCUUCAGCUUUGGACAAUUUUUCUUCCAGUGGCCUUUCUCAUGACAAAAAGCACAUUCAUCUUUCCCGAGUCUGGACUUUGACUUUGAUCUCCCCUUUUGAGUUUUCUUCCGAGUGUAUGAACGACCUCGGACUACUAAAGCUUCUGUAUCUCUGAUUGAGUUUUUCUGUUUGUCCUUCUUUCUCUGUUCAUAACUGUAUAAGGCCACACAGACUUCGCUCAGAGAUAUAUCACUCCUGCCAUGAAGUAGAGUAGUUUCUAGGAACUCAAACUCCUCAGGAAGUGACCCCAACAGCAUCAAAGCCAAAUCUUCAUCUUUGAAUGUCUCAUCCAUAUUCAGCAAAUCAGUGACUAACUGAUUAAAUUUGGUGAUGUGAUCAUUCAUUGUGGUACUUGGGACGUAAGUGAAGCGAAACAGUCUUUUCUUCAAGUGGAGCUUAUUUUGACUGUUUUUCUUCAAAAUUUUUUCUUCAAGUGCCACCCACAACUUAUUUGCAGAAGUCUCCUUUGAAAAAGCAUACCUCUGCUCUCGAGAAAGGCAUGAUCGAAUUGUGCCACAUGCCAACCGAUUGAUCGCCUUCCAAUCUUUCUCCUGUACAUCAUCUGGUUUCUCUUCAUCAAUGGCAAUGUCUAGACCCUGCUAAAAAAGGGCAUCUAGAACCUCACUUUGCCACAUACCAAAAUGGCCCGUGCCAUCAAAGAUCUCCACGGCUAAUCUUGCAUUUGCAAUUGUCGGUCUUGUCCACAUGGAUGAUGUUGAAGCUCCUACACCGACCGUUUUCUCCAUAAUCUUUCAAUAUACCUAAGGAAAUCUUUUCUGAUGUGGAAGAUCAGUUUAAACUGCAACCACAGAGCAUACUACGAUUAACCUUCGGCUCUUGAUACCACUUGUUGUUCCAAUAGGGUCGGAAGCGUGUAAAUUAUUGUACUAAAAAAUCACACAAAGUUCAAUUCCCAGGGAAGAGAGGUGGAUCACAUGGAUCUCUUAAAUUCCAAGUCUUUCCUUAGUUAGAAUAUCCCUUCUAUAGUAAUUUAAUAGCACAAUUAAAUACUACUAUUAUACCCUCAAAUAUUGAAAGAAAAAUAGGACAAGAAAGAACACAAGAGUUUUAACGAGGUUCGGUAAAUUAUACCUACGUCCUCGGGCACUAACACCAGAUGAUAACUUUACUAUCUUCAAAAUAUUACAAACAAAUAGAAUUCCUUGAGAAUUCUCAAAUGAGAGAAGAGAGAAAACUAAGAGAGAAAGAUUGGUUGGGAUGAAUUGAAAUGAGAAAUGAGAAGGCCUAUUUAUAGUUGAGGUUUAAGGACCAAACAAUAAAUAGCCCAUUAUCUCAAGGACCAAAAAAAAAAUUAUCCCAUGCCACUUUUUCAAAGUCAACUUUAGGGUGCUAAACUUGCACCACUUUGUAUUGUUUGCCAUUAAUGUUAACAGAUGUCCAGCUGUAAAAGGUGAUAAAAGAACAAAUCAUCCUGUAAUCCAACGUAUGAAGGGUCGUGAAAAGGUUAAGACUCUUGAGAAAGCUAUUAAGACUUUUAAAUCCAAGAACCCAUUUUUCCUGGUUGUAAUGCAACCGUAUUACGUCGAUCUCGGUCACAGUAGAGGAUGUAGACUGGUAAGCAAUCAAAUGAGUUCCCACUAGAUCCUAUGUUCUAUUGCUUCAAAAGUUGAGGUUCGUUUUUCAAUUUUAUUUUGUGCAGACCAUAUCAGCUAAGUUUGUGAGGAAACAUUUGAUGAAAGAGCAUUGUUCUAUGACUCGUUGUAACUCAAGUGGGAAAACUUGGAUUGUUACCUUCAAGCACAAUCAAACAGGGAAAAAGCAAAUUUCAGUACUGCGAGCUGGUUGGGGUACUUUCAUACGGGAUAACAAUAUCCAAGACGGUGAUGUAUGCGCCUUCGAGUUGAUAAAUAGUCUCCAAAUAUCUUUCAAAGUAGUCAUUUACGAAUGCCAGCAUACAAAUUGUCAUCAGUCAUUUGCUUCAACCGAUGUAUUUCGUUCUGUGAAAGGGGAGGCUCUGUCAUAUGCAAGUUAGAGCUGCUCGGAACCAUCAACUGCUUUCGGGAAGAUGCACACAUCUCCUUUCAAAUGGUUGGCGUCGAUUUUCUGUGGAUAAUAACUUAGAAGUUGGUAAAGCUUGUGUCUUUGAACUGAUUGAGGAUCCUAAAAACAUCAAUGAAGGUAACCAUUUAUACGAUGCACAGGCUGAUGAAGACUCAUCUUUGGGUAAGUAGGUUCUAUUCAUCGUCCAAUUGUUAUAUAACAUGUUUGAAUGUUUGUCCUGUAACUGUUAGGUGGAUCAUUGUGUUGGAAUGUUUUUUUACUUAGCCAUAACAUUGUUAACAUGUUUCUGAUGCUGUCCUGAUGAAACAUUUCACCUGUAAUAAUAAGGUGCCUGAGAAAUUUUGCAGUAAAAUAUAGUCUUCAAUGGAUUUUGCUGCUUGGAGAAUCAGAGACCAGGCUUGGAUUUCUUCAUAUCGUAAAAUCAUGAUCAAAACAUAAAACAGAGGGGUAGCUUGAAAAUUCUGAAGUGGUAAUAUUUCUUUAAAAUCAUUAAUCUAAAUGCAAAUUAAACCGACUUAAAAACAUAGUUAUUGUGCAAAUUUCAAAACAUUCUAAGGGUAAACAAUGCCAUUAGUCACUCAACUAUAGAAAAGUUUUCAUUUUAAUCACUUAAUUAAAAAAAAUUACAAUUUAAUCGGUAAUGUUUUUGAAUUAUUUUUGUUUGGUGUAACAAUUUUAAUCUUCUGCUUUUAUACUUUCUGUCAAUUUUAGCUUAAUUUUGUAUAAAAAUUGUAAAAAUUCAAAAAUAUUUAAAAAUAUAAAAAUUCAACUAAAAUUAAUUUUUUUUUAAUUUUUAUAUAGAAUCAAGGUCAAAUUGAUAAAAAAUAUAAACCCUUAAAAUUAAAAUUGUUAUUUUAUCAACUAAAAAGGUGUCAUCGUUAGUCUUUUAAUGGUUGGGUGACCAAAAAUAAUAAUUUCAAAAACAUUAGUAAUCAAAUUGUAAAUCUUUUUAGUUAAAGUAUUAAAACAAAAAUUUACCUAUAAUUGAGUGAAUAAUGACGUGUUUAACCGCAUUCUAAUUGUAAAGUACCAUUUGGUAUUUAAAAUUUAUGUUUGUUUAUAAUUUCGAUAUCAAAAUAUUAAUAAUAAAUUAUGACGAUUUAAAUUCAUGUCACCUAUGCACCCUAUUGGGAGCUUUAAUCAUACUCCAAACAAAUGUCAAUUAAUAUUAGUGAUUUUUUUUCCAACAACUAAUAUUAAUGAAUUUAAAUAUAUUUUUUUAUUUUAUAACAUUAUAUUUAAGAUAAAUAUUUUAUUUUCUCAGGCGUACUUCUUAUUGUGUUGAACUUUAAAACUUUAAAUACUAAUUUGAAUUUUACAUUAAAUAUAUUUAAAACAUAUAAAUAUCAAAUGUGUUGAAAAAACUAUUCUCAUUAUUUUUAAUAAAAUAGUUUUUUUUAUAAUACUUUAGAUACAAAAUUAUAUAUAAAACAAGUACUUAAAAUUAAUUUAAAAUCUUUACCAUAUUUUUUAGAAUGUCAGAUUUAAUAAACAUUUUAAAUUUAAAAUAUUCAUAUUAAAUGAGUAAUAUCUUAUUGAAAAAUUUUGGGGUUGCUUGAUAUAUCAUUGAAAAUUUUAAUUGGUUGAAAAUUAAAAUUUUUAUAUUUUAAUUUUUUUUAAAUUCAUUUGAUAAUACAAUAUAAAAGCUACUUGAUAUUGAAAAGGUGAUGAAAAUGAUGGAUAAGUAAGAGAUAUUUAUCAUUUAACAAAUUAUUACUAAAUUUAUAUUUUGAUUAUUUAAUUUUAAAAAUUAUAAAUGAUCAUUAAAUUAUUUAAAUUUUUUCAUUCAAGUCACUUGACUUUUUUUAAUAAAAUAGUUUUCAAAGUCACAAAUUUGAGAAUUAAGAUUUUCUAGACACCAAUUGUCAACUGGAUCUAAAAUAUAUUUUUUUACUCGUCGAUUAGUGCUGAUCAUCUAAUUAUCGUUUGAAGCUUGUUGGUUGAAUAUUUUUAGGAUAAAUUACAUCAAUAAUCACUCAAUUUUGAGUAGCUGGUAAAACAGUAACUCAAGUUUUAAUUUAGUCACCGUUAAUCAUUUUCUGUUACAAAAGUAACGGAAAUAUCAUUUUCCAUUAUAGAGUUUCAAAUCACUUACUCAACUAUCGAAAAAUAACAAAAUAACCAUAACUAACUAUUUUCUGUUUUGUCAGUUUCUUAAAUAGUUUUGUAAUUUAAAAAAAAAAGUGACUAAAUUUUUAAAAUUAAGCAAUAACUUACUAAUAAUUUGGUAGUUUAUGGAUGGUAAAUGUUAAGAUUAUAGAAGAAUGAUGGAAAAUACUGAUAUUACUUCAAGCGAAUACAGAAAAAAUUACAUUCUUGAGGAGAAGCUGUGCAUGCUUAUAUAGAACAACAUGCAGUCAGUAACUGCUAACAGUAACAGAAACUACUAACUAACUGUUGUUAAUAACUGAUAUCAACAGACUUAACAGCAAUAACAGAAGCCAACUAUUACUCUAACAUUCUCUCGGUUUCUUUGUUGUUUGCACAAGUGAGAGCAUCAGUCAGUGUGAGAACUCGAAGAGCUUGUCGAAACGAGCUAAACUGCUUAGGUGUAAUGGGCUUGGUAAGAACAUCUGCGACUUGUUCUGAUGAAGGGACAAAAUUCACUUGCAGUGUGCCAUCGAGAACCUUUUCCCGAACAAAGUGAUGAUCUAUUUCUACAUGCUUUAUGCGGGCAUGAUGUGUGGGAUUUGCAGCUAUGGACACCAUAGAAGUAUUGUCACACCAGAUCACAGGUGGUGAACAAGUUGACAGGCCUAUUUUAUCUAUCAGUUGUUUAACCCACAAAAGUUCUGACACACAAUUGGCGAGACUACGAUACUCUGCUUCAUAGGACGAUCUGGACACAACAUUUUGUUUCUUGGAACACCAUGCAACAGGGUUUGGUCCUAGGUAUACAAAUAACCAGUGGUGGAACGUCGAUCUUCAACAGAUGAGGCCCAGUCAGUAUCUGAGUAACAAACAACCUCAACUCGCCCUUUUGAGAAAUAUAAACCAUGAUCAACAGUCCCAAUAAGAUAUCUUAGCACCCGUUUUACUACUCGCCAAUGAAUUUCACUCGGAAGAUUCAUAUACUGACUUAGCUUGUUAACAUAAAACGAAAACUCUGGUCAUGUGAUGCACAAAUACUGAAGUAUCCUGUAACACCCCUCGCCCGCAUCCGACGCCGGGACGGGGUUCGAGGUGCUACCUGACUUUUACUAACACUUCUAUACUAAACAGGGCCAUGAAAUCUCAAAUAAUUAAAAACUUUUCUUUUCACAUACAAUUUGUCCCAUAUACGGGCUUACGAGGCCCAAAACAUACAUCUGGAGUGGUUCGGGACCCAACCGAGAACUCAUGAAAAACUUAGAAAAUCUCUUGCAUCAAGGCUUCAUACGCCCGUGUGCUAGGGACACGCCCAUGUCCCGAACCCGUGUCCAAAAACCUAGACAAAUACAAGGCUAUUUUCCAAGCCAUUUUGUCACACUCACAACAGAUGCACGCAUACUUAUACAAUAACAUACAACAUGGCAAAAUUAGGUACUUAAACAUUCCUAACAUGUCAUGAUUAUGGCAAUUUCACAUGCAAUAGAUAUUAUAGAUUUUACACACAUCUUUACCACAUUAAUGCUAUAAUCAUUAUAAACUCAUCACAUAAUACCAUAGCACAUGCAUGCAUAAUUAAAAUGGAUUUACAACCCCAUAAUCAAAAUAGGCCAACACAUAUGGCUAAAGCCAUGUCACAUACUCUAAUAUUUAAACUCCUAUACAUGCCAUAGGCUCAAAGUACUAGAAAUCACUACACCAAUAACGUUAGCUUGACAGUGUGAUAAUAUCUCCGACGAACUCCAACCCGAGCUAACCUGGAAACCCUAGGAAACAUGGGAAAGAAGGGGGGGUAAGCUUUCGCUUAGUAAGUUCAUAUGAAAACAAUAAGCAACUCAUUAACUUGUUUUAUCAAUGUUUACAACAUAUUCUCAAGUUCACUACAAGCUGUCUUUCUGAGCAAUUGUUACUAAAUUAUUUAUAUCUGGAGCUACAAAACUCCGAAUUAAGUUCCGUUAAUUUUCCAUGAAACUAGACUUAUUUUCCUUUCUUCCAUAAAAUUUCCAUAAUUUUUGGUUAAGCCAAAUAGUACAGUUUAUUCCUCAAAGUUACCCCUAAUUCACUGUCUGAUAGCUCCGACCCUUCUGUACUAAAGUUCAAUUAUCUCAUAGUACAAGACUCGAAUAAUGUUCUCAUCUAUUUCUCUUGAAACUAGACUCAUAUUUCUACUUACUAAUUUUUUUCUAGAAUUUUUGGUUGGGCCAAUUAGUACAGUUUAUUAGUUAAAAUCUCCCCUGUUUCAGGGUAUGACUACUCUGAACCCUGUGCACUACGAACCAAAUUUCUCCCUGUACAGAAUUCCAAAGACCAUGCCGUUUAUUUCCCCUAAAAAUAGACUCAAUAAGGAAUCCAUGCAUGUAAGGUAUGACUCUUAAUAAUUUUUUUACAAUUUUUGGUGAAUUUCUAAAGUCAGAACAGGGGAUCUCGAAUUUAUUCAGACCCUGUUUCACAAGAAUUCAAAUAUCACACAAUAUGAAAUUCUUUUUCUUUCCCUAUUUCUUUCAUGUAAAAAUAGACUCAUUAAGCUUUAAUCCCAUAUUUUAUUCUUCCUCUAACUUAUUUUCCACUAUUUUUAGUGUAUUUUCAAAUUUACACUACUGCAGUAACUCAAAUCUGUCAAGGCUAAAUUACUCAUUCAUGAUCAUUGUUCACAAAAUUAAUACAACAUCAUUUGUAUAAUCAUCACCGAGACAUUCAUAUCACAUUUUCAUUUACCAUCUUACCAUUUUGUUGUUAUGUCGAGUUUUCAACCCGAGGGUUAAGUACAUACCUGUUCAAAGUAUCCAUUUCACAACAUUUAUCAAUACGUCCCUUUCAUCUCGAGUAUUCCUCCAUUUGAGUAGAAUUUUACCCAUUGAACACAUCGGAAUAUAAUUCGGAUACAUGGAAAGUUUGCACAUAAGUGCCACAUAUGUAGCCAAGCUACCAUGUAACCCGCCCAUAAGUGAACUCGGACUCAACUCAACGAGCUCGUCGUUCGCAUCCAUAAGUGAACUCGGACUCAACUCAACGAGCUCGGAUGCCUAGUUACAUCUCACGAACUCGGACUCAACUCAACGAGCUCGCCGUUCGCAUCCAUAAGUGAACUCGGACUCAACUCAACGAGCUCGGAUGCCUAGUUACAUCUCACGAACUCGGACUCAACUCAACGAGUUCGAACAUUCGCAUCCAUAAGUGAACUCGGACUCAACUCAACGAGCUCGAAUGCCCAAAUAUUCCAGUGACAUGUCACUUGUAUCUUAAUCUAUUCCUAAGGUUCAACGGGACCUUUUUUCCAAUCAUGUGUCUCAACCAUCUUCUACGGAAUGCCGAUACCAAUACUCGGUAGUAUUUCACAUUUUCCAAGUAUAUCAUAUAAUUUGACAUAUUAUCAAACAAUUAUCACAAGUAUAAUAUCUCAUAAUAGCUAUCAUAUCAUUUAAAUAACAUCAAAACAUUUAAAAUAAUAACUAUGUUACCAACAUUUACAUAUGAACUUACCUCGAUACCACAAAGGUAAAAAAAGACGUAAUUAUCCCUUAAUCGAUUUCUUUCCGUUCUAGGUUCAAAUCUCGAUUUUCAUCAUCUAAAAUAUCACAUUCAACUUAUUAAAAUAAUGUACUGAUCAAAUUAGUCCAUUGACACACUUGAGCAAUUUUUACAAUUUUGCCCCUAUAUUUUGCCAAAAUUACUAAAUUACCCCUAGGCUCGUAAAAUAAUUUUUAUCACAUUUCUUUACUCCUUGAGUCUAGAUGAACCAUUUUCAUAACUAUAGCAACUCAUAAUUUCAACUAUUUCACACAUUUACAACUCAUUUUACAAUUUAGCAAUCUAGCCCUUUUUAAGGUAUUUUCAUGCAAUUUCUUUCACAAAAGUUGUUUAUUAGACAACUAGGACUCAUAAUCUUCCAUAAAAACACAUCAAACAACACAUUUACUCUCAUGGAAAAACCCUAGACUCUUCAUCAUUUUGCAAAAUAGACCCCUCAUAUGAAAGCUCAUGCUUUAGGGGUUCCAAAAAUGUAAAAAUCAUCAAGAAAUACAUUAAAAAUCACUUACUAGCAAGGGAUGUAAGUGGCUGAUAUUUCAGAGCUUCAAAACCCCUUUCUUUUCUACCAUUUUUGGUGGAGGAGAAGUGAAAAAUGAUAGCUUUUUCUUUUUAAUUUGUUAAUAAUAAAACUAGUCAAAAUUGGUGACCAACUUCACCUAAUUUUGACUUUUCAACAAUUUUUUUUGUCUCCCAUGGCCGACCAUCAUAAUUUAAAUGGCCUAAUUUCACUUUAAAGACCCCCAAUUUAAGAUACAAGGCAAUUUAAUACCUUUAGGUAUUAAAACACAACUUUUACCUUUUACGCGAUUUAGUCCUUUUUCGAAAUUGGACUAGAAAUUGCUAAAAUUAACUUACCAAAAUUUACAUACACUUAUAAAAUUAUAUUAUAACACAUAAAAUAAUACUAAAAGAAUUUUCUCUGGCCUCGGAAUAGUGAUCCUGAAACCAUUGUUCCGACUAGGCCUAAAAUCGGGCUGUUACAUAUCCCCACUGUACUGCGAUAUAAAUGAACAUCAGGAAAAGGAGGGUUGCCAUCAGAAGUAGACAAUUUUGGAGUCUUUACCAUAGGUGUAGGAGUAGUUGCUGCCCCUUCCAUGCCAGUCUUGGCAAGUAUCUCUAAAACAUAUUUUUUCUGACUAAGGAACACUCCUUGCGACAUGUGCUGCACAUCAAUGCCUAAGAAGAAACCCAGCUGCCCCAUAUCCUUGAGAGCAAAUUUGUGGUGAAGUUGUCAAACCACACUGUCCACCUCAGUAGCUGAACUACCUGUUAUUACGAUAUCAUCAACAUACACCAUAAGGAGCACCACAUUGUCAGAUAAAGUACGGAUAAACAAGGAGGUAUCAGCAUUGGAAGCAUUAAAAUGGAGCUGAGUAACCAAGUAUUGCUUGAGAGUAGUAAACCAUGCUCGAGGUGCUUAGCGCAGACCAUAAAGUGCUUUGUUCAGCUUACACACGAGCUGCUGGCCAUUGACACCUGGUACCUCAAAACUAGGUGGCUGUUGCAUGUAGAUUUCUUCUGUCAGAUCACCAUUGAGAAAGGCGUUAUUGACAUCAACCUGUCGCAAAGACCAUCAUUUCAUAACAGCAAUAGCAAGCACAAUUCGGAUGGUUGCUGCUCGAACCACUGGGCUAAAUGUGUUGCAAAAAUCAAUGCCAGCAUGUUGAGAAAAGCCUUUGGCCACUACUCGGGCUUUAUACGGUUCGACAGUCCCAUCAACCUUUUUCUUCACUUUAAACAGCUAUUUGCAGCCAACAGCUCUUCGAUUAGCAGGAAGAGGAUAGAGACUCUAUGUGUUAUUUCGAAGAAUAGCUUGUAGUUCAUUGUGCACUGCUGCUCGCCAACACUCACUCUGCAUUGCUUCAUGAAUGUCAACAGGAGGAUCACCUGAUAAACAGGCUGCCCGAGUUAGGUAUACCUUAGGCUUAAAUAUUCCGGCUUUACUACGGGUGACCAUGGCAUGAGAGUUGAGUUGAGUAGUAGGUUGAGGAGCAGCAGAUUGAGGGGAUGAGGCUGGUGAACUGUUAUUAGGAGUAGGUUGAUGAAAAGGUUGAGCUGUCUUAGACGAGCGGGCUAAAGGAGUAGUAGGAGUAGAGUUUGGUGAAGGUCUAGGAACCGCAUUAGAUACUGACGUAUUGGCAGAUUGAGAAUUAGGGUCUAGAACAAGUAACUUAGAACUUGACUGUAAAGAGACCACAGCGGGACCAGACUUGGAUUUAACAGCUUUGUAAGGAAAUGAUGACUCAUGGAACGUAGCAUGACGAGAAAUGUAUAUUUUGCCAUUAUCAGCUUGGCAACGAUAACCUUUAUGUAAAGGUGAAUAGCCUAAAAACGUGUAAGGUGUGGAACGAAACUGAAGCUUGUGGGUGUUAUAUGGCCUAAGGUUUGGAAAACAUAAACAACCAAAGACUCGAAGGAAAGAAUAGUUUGGUUGGACCUGAAAUAAUUUCCCAUAUGGUGACACUUUGCCUAUAGGUGAAGAGGGCAACCUGUUGAUCAGAUAUACAGCACUGCUGAAGGCAUCGUUCUAGUAGGACAACGGCAUAGAUGCAUGAGCUAGCAUGGACAGACCUGCUUCCACGUUCUGCUGAUGUUUUCUUUCAACUAAGCCGUUUUGUUCAGAACUAUAUGGACAUGUAACCCUCUGCUGAAUACCUUGCUGAGAUAAAUAACCCUUUAAUGCUUGGAACUCUCCACCCCCAUCUGUUUGUAGAGCAAGCAACUUGUAACCGAGAACUCGUUUUACUUGUUUAUGAAAGAGUGGAAAAAUAUGAAACACAUCGAAUUUUUUCUUCAAAAAAUAGAGCCACGUAUAUCUGGUACAAGCAUCAGUAAAAGCAACAUAGUAAUGAAAACCAUUAGAAGAAAUCGGAGCAGGGCCCCAAACAUCUGCAACUACAAGUUGUAAUGGUUUAGUAUAUUCAGAUACAGACUUAGAAAAAGGUAAUUUGUGUUAUGUUCCUAAGUGACAAGCAACACAUGGAAGAGGCUCUGUAGAAGCACCAAAACUUAUAUUACAAUGACGUAACACCGUUUGAAGUGUAGCAGUACAAGGAUGUCCGAGUCUGGAAUGCCAUAGACUUAGAGGAAGAGAAGUAGCAGCAGCAAAACACUGAGCUGAAGUCGUAGAGGCAGCAAUAGAAGACGAGUCAGGUAAGUCAAGUUUAUACAGACCAUUAUGUACGGAACCCCGGAGCAGAACCUCAUUGGUUUGUAGAUCGCGAACCUAACACUGUUUGGGAAAGAACUCAAACAUUACCUUGUUGUCCUUAGUGAACUUAGAGACAGACAAUAAAUUUUUGGUUAUCUCAGGUACAAAUAGUAGAGACUUCAUCAAUAAAGGACGAGAGUGAGGAAGAAGAGAAGAUUGACCAGUUGACCGGAUAGAGAGAGCAUUACCAUUGCCCAUAUACACCAUACCUGAACUAUUGUAUGGAGUACUGUCACAUAGGGAAGCAGAGGAGUUAGUGAGAUGGUGUUAGGCGCCGGAGUCUGGAUACCAUGCAUUAUCACCCACAGUUUCAGGAGUAGCAAUAAGAGCCUGAGGUUGAGAAGGCGAUGGUCCUGGAACAGGUGCACUAACAUGCUGCAGAGGAUUGACAGCAAACGGACUAGUCCAUGCAUGAGGAUGAACUGGGGGAGCAAACCAAUUAUGUUGUGAGUAGGGAGGCACAACGGGCAUAGAAGACGAUACCCAGGGAUUAAGAGAUGAACCAUUGCCAACCAUGCAGACAUUGGCCUGAGAAGUGGGAUUAGGCCGAUAGGCAGUACUCUUAUAGGUGGAGUCGAAUCGAUAAUAGCAACAAUCAACAAGAUGACCAGCCUUUCCACAUAACUGACACUGAAAUCGAGAGCCUGAGGAACGACCACGACUUCCUGAAGGUCGAUAAGCUGGAGGGGAGACAGUAUUGACUUCAGGAGCAGUAGGCUGGUGAGAGACCAUGUUCGCAAACUGAGAGCAUCAAGCAUAGUGAGUUGUUGACGAGCUUCAGCAUCAAGCAACAUAGUAGUAACCCUCUGGACACUAUAAGGCACCGGACUUGCAGUAAUGAUUGUGAGUACAGACUCAUAAUCAGAUGAUAAGCCAUUAAGAAUGGCUGUAACAUGUUCACGCUCACUGAUAACCUCUCCACAACUAGCAAGACUGUCACAAUAGCCCUUGAUUUUCAUCUAAAAUUCUUUUAUAGAAAGAUCAGCCUUUCGCUGAGAAUGUAACGCCCUUCUAUAAAACAUUAGUUGAGAAGUGGUUUUGCUGCCAAACAAACUAACUAGAGCAUUCCAAAUUUGAAGACUUGUAUCUAGACCAAUAAGAUGAUGAAGAACAGAAGGACUCACCGAUGACAGUAACCAUGAUGCAAGCGCACUAUCUUGCUGUUCAAAUCGAGCAAACUCAGGAUUUUCAUGCGAGAUGCCAGCAUCAUAAAAAAUGAAUUGAGAAGAAGGAACAAAGCACGAAUUAAUGAAGUUCUGAAGCUUAUAUGUCUUGAUUGCAAGAAGAACCUGUUGACGCCACAAUAGGUAAUUAUUAUCAUCAAGAAUCACACUGAUCUUCUUGGUAGAGAAAAACCGACUGUCAACAACUUCAUUUGGAAGAGAGGACAUUGCUAGAGUAGCCGAGUGAAUAUCAAAAGAAUUGGGAGGAGAAGUCAUGAGAGAUUACGCCAGGCAAACAUGGACCUCCGAUACCAUGUUAAGAUUAUAGACGAAUGAUGGAAAAUAUUGAUAUUACUUCAAGAGAAUACAGAAAAAAUUACAUUCUUGAGGAGAAGCUGUGCAUCUUAUAUAGAACAGCAUGCAGUCAGUAACUGCUAACAGUAAGGGAAACUACUAACUAACUGUUGUUAAUAACUGAUAUCAACAGACUUAACAGCAAUAACCAACUAUUACUCUAACAGUAAGCGCCAGGUAUCUCCAGCUUUAUGGAUUUUAACCUCCCAUUAACUAAUCCCCAGCCCCUAAACAACGUUGAUAUUUGGAGGGAAAAUCGGUAGAGAACCCUAAAUUUAACUGUCCCCAAUUUCUCAUGCAAUCCACGAUUUAUGACAAAAAUUUAAGAUAUCAUGGUUUCCAACUCCCAUGGAAAUUCUCAAAGCCUCCAACUUAUGGUAAAAGAUCCUGACUUUGACCAAUUCACUAAGAACCCAAAUCAUGUACGAGCUUGAAGGAGGUAUGAUCAAACCCGGGCAAGCUCCCGGUAUUGAUACGGAGGUACGGAGAAGUUUCAAGGUACUUUCAGGAUAGAAUUCGUGUCAGGUUGCUUGCUGUUGACGGCGGAGCCGGCUGUGGGACGUCAUUUUGUUUCAAUUUGGAUAAGGUGGUUGAAGCUUCUAGCUUGGAUGUUAGGAACCUUUUUAUUGUCAAGCAAGUCAGUGAAAAUAUAUGAGCUGUGUAAACUGUAAAGUGGAAGUUUUUAGCUCUGCUCUUCAAGUUCUUGCACUCAGGUAAAUGGGAUUAAUGGUUACUUUUUCUUGGAGCAGUUGUCUCUAAGCUUACAUCAAAUCAAUUGAUUUUUUUAGAAAAUGGAAAACAAUUCAAUAGUAUAAAAAAUGAAAAAGAAAAUCUUGGGGCUGAUUGUAUAGCAUUUAGGUGUGAGAUCAUCAUCUGCAUUCUGAUUUGCUGACAUAUACAUGAUCUUUCCUGCUCUGGCGGCGUAAAAAAGCUAAUGUGAUGGAAAUCAUUUGACUGCUAAUCUACAACUUCACGUCAAACAACUAUAUAAAUGGAGAGAAUCCAAAGUUGCAAAGCAAAUGAGAAUUGUAGCAGUUAAUGUAAAACUUUGAAUAUGACUAGGAAACCAAAACGAAGUCCUUCUUUCUUCAAGGUUUUGAUAGGAGACUUUGAUAACAAGCUGGUAAGUUCAUAUCCUAUUAACAGCCAUUUAUGCUUCUUAAUGGCUCUAGUUUAUGUAUAUAAUUAUUAAAUGCUGUCUUCUUUUUUUCAUUUUUUUUCAGAGAAUUCCACCAGCUUUUGUGAAGUACGUUUUGAAAGGAAAUGUGCCCACCAUGUUCACCUUGUAUUCUGACUCAGGGAAUUCAUGGCGAGUUAGAGUCAUGGUUGAAGAAGGAAGCUACUUUUUCAACAGUGGAUGGUCAAAAUUUGUGAAACAUCAUGACCUGGAAAUAGGGGAUUUUCUGGUUUUCUUUUUGGUUGAUACUUCAACGUUUGAUGUUCUCAUUUAUAAUGGAACUGCAUGUCCAAAGAACAUCAUUUUGGCUGCUAAGAAACGAAAGUGCCUACCACCUUUAGCUAAUAGACAAAUUGAAGAUACCCCAAGCCAAAAAUGUGCUUCAGUUUCCAAGAAACCAAAAGCAGUUUACCGUGGGAUAGCCUUUUCAUUUCAUUUCAUGUGAAGCCCUUCAUACCCAUCCCCUUUUUUCACUAAUCAUUUCAAUGUUUCAUGCAUGGUUUAGGUGCGAGAAGUGUUAACCAAGAGGUUGAGUCUAUAACAGAAGUAACCCGUAAGCAUGUUUCAUUUGUAAUGGUGGUGAAGAAAUACCAUAAAUACUUUGCUGUAAGAAUAACUACUUUAUUCAACGCAGUUCAUUACUUUCUACUUUAUAAAUAUUUAAAUGUUUCUUAAAUUUCAGUGUGUCCCGAGGUGUUUUGCCAAAGAAACAGGCUUGUUAAAGGAAUCCAUAACGUUGAUUAAGGGGCCAAGAGGUGGGAUGUGGCCAAUGAACACCACCGAGUGUGGAAAACAGGUUCGUUUGGGUGGCGGAUGGUCCCAGUUUCUGCAUGAAAACGAAAUAGUUGUUGGAGAUACCCUUUUGUUUGAGCACAUUCCAAGUACAGGCAAUUUAGUCCACGUACAGAUUGUUAACAAGGAUAGAUAUAGAAACCGUGGGAGACGAAACAAACAAGCAGAUGCCAGUGUGAAGAACACCAGCCCUGCUGCUAAGCGACCAAGAGUUAGGCCUUGCAAGCAAAUUGAAGAACCAUCAAGCACAGAACAUGCUCCAAGUUCCAAAAGAACCAAAGGUCUUUUAACUUAUAUAUAUAUAUAUAUUACCUUUUCAUCGCUUCAUUUCAAUCAUCCACGGUUGUUUAGGUGUAAGCAUUGGAAAUGAUGAGAUUGUAUCAGAGUUGACCCCAAAGAAGGCUUCAUUUGUAAUGGUUUUGAAGGAAUACCAGAAGUACUCUGCUGUAAGAACAACCACUUGAUUUUAAUUCUCAAUUCAAUGAUGUUUUCUUUUUCAACUUCAUUAGAUAUGUUCUCUUAAAUUUCAGGUUGUUCCAACCAGUUUUGCCAAAGAAAUGGGCUUGGCAGAGAAACCGAGCACCAUGAUAGAGAACUCAAAGGGUAAGAAGUGGCUGUUAAACACCAUAGUUGAUGCAAAAUCACAAGUUCGUCUAGGUGCAGGAUGGUCACAGUUUGUGCAAGAAAACAAGCUAGAACUUGGAGAUACUCUCUUGUUUCAGCACAUUCCCAAUACUGGUAAUGUCAUUAACUUAAAGAUUAUUUGCAAGGUUGGAGAUGGAAAUAAUAGGAAAAGAAACAAGUGAGCAAAUGUAAGUUAAAAAGUAGUAGCAUACCAUCAUUUGUAAUUUCUCUACCACUCUUUUGUAUCAAAUUGUUGAAGUGGCAACCAUGGGUUGUAUGUAUGAUCAUGUUUUUACCAGUCUCUCUUUCGCUUGGAUGGUAAGAAAAAAAAAUAGUUUGAUCAUGGAAGUGCAGGAACUCCUUUUUGUAAAUGAUCUAAUCUUUCUGUUGAAAUUGGAAACGAUUUAAGAAAGCUUCAUCAUUAUGUUUUUGUCUACACCUUACUUCCUGCUUUAGACUAAAGAUUUGAUUGCAUGUCACAUUGACAAUAAUGAAGAUUCGAUAUUUUUAAUUCAACUCUUUCCUUCUUUUUGUUUUAAUCAGUACAAUAUUUAGCUUAAUUAAUAGUGCUGGACAGAUAGAUAAGUUGUCUAUGAUUGGAGACCCUAGCCUUGUUUUGAAUGGCUAAAGACGAAGAUGAAAGACAAAUACUAACUUUGGUCAUUAAAUGAAUCAGCCCUACAGUUUUCUCGAGCCCGUAAACAAUGAAUUUAACAGGGCAAUGGCUAAUAAUGAUUACAUUUGUAUUAAUUACUCUUGAAAUAUAGGUUUACGAGCAGUUUAUUAUGAAGGUAGAUAUAUGAAAGGAUGAUGGAUGAAGUACUCAGCAAUCUCCUUAAGUUUAUGUUUAUGUUAGUCUAUUAUUUGUAGAAACGCUCAUCGUAUUGGAAACUACAUCAACCUAUUUUUCCAGAUAUUACUUCUUUUUGAGCUUGUUUUGUGUUAGUUCUAAAAGACUCAUUCUGGAGUUAUUCAAGCAUGGCUUCUUCUUCUCACCAGCAAGGCAAUAGCCAUUUAAAGUUUAUAAGCAGUUCACCUUAUUUCUUCAAAAUAAUUCUCCAAGACACUAUACAGAAUGGAAAACUUGUAAGCAUUCUCCUAACACCUGUCUUUAUCUGAUAUUUUGAUAAUCUCUGAAGUAAUUAGGUCAUAGCUGAAAAACAACAGUUUGUUCUUGGACAUUGUAUUUUGCUAUAUACAUAAGUAUUUGCAUAUAUUGCUGAAAAUUGUUCUACAGGGAAUUCCCAGAAAGUUUGUGAAAAACCAUGGAAAUAGCAUGCCAAGCCUAGCAAUGCUCAGUGUCCCGUCUGGUGCAGUAUGGAAAGUAGAGCUAACAAAAUCUGAUGGUAAAAUAUGGCUUGAAAAUGGCUGGCUAGAAUUUUUAAACCAUUACUCUUUGGACAUUGGACACCUUUUAGUUUUUAGAUAUGAUGGGACUAGCAAUUUCCAUGUAAUCAUCUUUGAUAAGAGUGCUUCAGGGAUACAAUAUCCCUUCACCAGAAAUAAUCAUAGCCGGUCCAGUGAAAUUCUGAAGCUGAAUAUCAAUGAAUCCAAAGAUGAUGACUCUAUACAGAUCCUAGAGAACAUCUCUCCAAGCAGGAAAACAAGAGAGAAAUACAAAUCGCCAUGUCCGCAGUCAAUUAGGAUGACGAGAAGUACUGAUUCAGCUAUGAAAACCGAAUGUAAUUUGAAGUCAGCUCAAUAAUUUGGACAUAAUGGAAAAGGUGAUAAAAGCACAAGUCAUCGUAGGAUUCAACGAUUGAAGGCUCAUGCAGAGGUUAAGGCUCUUGAGAGAGCUAGUAUUACUUUUAAGUCUGAAACCCCAUUUUUCCUGGUUGCCAUGUACCCAUGUCAUGAUAAAAGGUGUAGACUGGUAGGCAAUCAACUUAGUUCCCACUGGAUCCUAUGUAUGACAGAAAUGAGCAAAAUGUUUUAAGUAUUUUCUCUUCUAUUGCUUGCAAAGUUGAAGUUUGUUCUUUAAUUUUUUUAUUUCAGACCAUACCAACUGAAUUUGUCAGGGAACACUUGAUGAAAGAGCAUCGUUCUGUAACUCUUUGCAACUCUAGUGGGAAAACUUGGAUUGCUAACUUCAAGCAAAGUCAAAUAGGGAAAAACUAAUAUUCAUAUCUACAAACUGGUUGGGGUACUUUUGUACGGAAUAACAAUAUCCAAGUCAAUGAUGUUUGCGCCUUUGAGCUAAUAAAUAGCACUGAAAUAUCCUUCAAGGUAGUCAUUUACAAAGGCCAGCAUGCAAAUUGUCAUCAAAUAUUAGCUUCAGAGAUGCAAUAUCCAUACACCAGGGAUAACCAUAGUCAAUCAGACGAAAUUCUGGAGCAGAAUAUCAAGGAAUCUGAAGAUGAUGAUACUACAGAGAUCCUAGAGGUCAUCUCUCCAAGCAGGAAAAUAAGAGAGGAACUGUCGUCGCCAUGUCCUCGGUCUCAUAAGAUGAUGAUAAGUACUAACUCAGCUAUCAAAACCAAAACUGUGUGCAAUGGGAUGAAAGGUGAUAAAAGAACAAGUCAUCAUACAAUUCGACAGUUGAAAACACAAGAAAGUUUAAGGCUCUUGAGAGAGUUCGUAAUACUUUUAAAUCUGACCCUUUUUUCCUUCUGGUCAUUCAACCAUCAUAUGUUGCUCUUGGUCACACCACAAACUUUAAACUGGUAAGCAAUCAAUUGAAUUCCCACUAGAUCCCAUGUGUUUUCAUUUAUAUUGCUUGUAAAUUGAAGUUUGUUUUUCAAUGUUCUUUUGUGCAGGCCAUACCAUGCAACUUUGUCAAGGAACAUCUGAUGAAAGAGCAUUUUUCUGUAAUUCUUUGCAACUCAAGUGGGAAAACUUGGAUUGCUACGUUCAAGCAAAGAAAAAUAGGGAAAAAGCUAACUUCAUAUCUAGUAGCUGGUUGGGGUACUUUUGCAAGGGAAAAGAAUAACCAAGUAGGUGAUGUUUGUGCCUUUGAGCUGAUUAAUAAUAGCAUCGAUAUAUCCUUUAAAGUAGUCAUUUACCAAGGUCAGCAUGCAAACGGUCAUCAGUCAUUAGCUGCAACUGAUGUGUUUCAUCUGGUGAAACUGAAGGCUCCAACAUGUGCAAGUCGAAGCUCCUCAGAACCACCUGUGAAACACAAGGCUCCAUCAUAUGCAAGUCAGGGCUGCCCAGAACCAUUGACUGCUCUCGAAAAAGCUAAAGCUUUUCAAAUGGCUGGUGCUUUCAAAUCCGAAAACCCAUUCUUUGUUGUUGUCCUACAGCCAUCGUAUGUUCAUGGAAAUAAAUUGGUGAGUUUUUCAUUUGAAGCCUGCUAGCCAUCCCAUGUUCUUUUAACUCAUGCAGAUGACACAAUGCAACUUGAAAAGGCUUAAAAUGUUGAAGUAAUUAUUUUAAAACAUUUUGUUUUGCUUCAUCUCCUUUGAAUAAAUGACUGAACUGACGUGUUUGUAUGAACAGAGUGUACAAAUGAAUUUUGCUAGGAAAUAUCUCACAAUGAUGCACAAAAAAGUCAUACAUCUCCUUUCAGAUGGAAACUCAUGGCCAGUAAUAUAUGACCCGCGUUUUGAAUGGUCCUAUGUAUUCCUCUGUAAUGGAUGGCAUAGGUUUGCUGUGGAUAAUAAUUUAGAAGUUGGUGAUGCUUGUGUCUUUGAACUGACUGGGGGCAUUGAAACCUCAAUGAAGGUAAACAUUUAUAAGAAGCAGGCUAUUGAAGAUGAAAAUUUGGGCUCAUCCUUGGGUAAGUGGUAUCCAUUCCAGUACUAUAUACAGUCAUUGUCCAUGUGAUUUGUUUAUAUAUAUAUAUCUCAUCUUUGUAUUCUUAUUUUCAAAUGUUUUCCUUAGAAGUGUUUAUUUCAGGGGGUCAUCAUCUGUUAUAUACCAGAUGAUUUUUAUUAUCACCUACAAUUUACCUUGAAAGUUUUGUGUCUGAUGGGUUGAAAUUUUUUUCCAAUGUUUAUGUUUCUCAGGUAUUAUGCAACACUGACUCAUUUUUGCCAUUCCUGAGACACAAAACAUAAAAAAUACCGAUUGAUGAUGGGACCUGGCUUGUCAUUAAUGGGACCUAAUUGGUAAUAAAUUAGACCUACUGGAUAAAAGCUGGUGAAUGUGCAAGCAAGUUAAAACCCAAGGCUCUGCAUGAAACAUGAAGCUGAAGGAUGAGUCUCUUUUACUCUUUGACCAGCAAUGAAAUGCUAAAAAGCAGCAUUGGAAAAAGGAAAAAAGAAGACAGUUUUGCUCCUUUUUAGAAAUGGCUAUGGCAAUUGACAAAGCACAUCAUGCCUUAAACUUUUGUAAUUUAUCUCACACUCUUUUGUUUACUAGUUGUUGAAGAUGGCCAUGAUAGGUUGUCUGAUUGUGUUUUACCAGUCUCUCUUGUAAGGUAAGAGAAAAAAUGGUGUGACCAUGUAACUCCAGUAACCUCAUUUUGUAAAUGAUGUAAUCUUUCAGUUGAUACUGGAAAGUCCUUUAAGAAAGCUUCGUAUUAGUGCUUGACAGAUAUGUUAUCUGCUUUUAGUUGGAGAUCCUAGCCUUGUUUUCAAUGACUGAAAGAGGAAGAAGACAAAACAAAACAUAAGCUGUGAAAGCAAAUACAAACGUUGGUCAUUAAUGAACCUGCUCUAUAGUUUCCCAAUAGCCUAGAAACACUGAAUAUAACAGCCUAUAGCUGAUAGUCAUCAGUAAAAUUGUAUUAAUUACUUCUGACAGAUUGACCAUUUUGUACUUUAAGUAGAUAUGAGAAAUAAUGGAGGAUAACUUACUCAAUUAUCUCCUUUAUGUUUUUAGACAAUUAUUUGCAGAAACUCUCAUAGUAUAGUAACCCAUUCAGCAGUCCCUGGAAACCAUCAACCCGUAUUUCGAGUUAUUACUUCCUUUUAUCCGUUCAAGCAUGGCAUCUUCUUCAUACCAGCAAGGCAAUGACCAUUUAAAGUUUAUAAGCAACUCACCUCACUUUUUCAAAAUAAUUCUCCAAGACACUAUCCAGAAUGGAAAACUUGUAAGUAUUUUUCCAAAACUAUUCUUCUUUUAUCUUAUAAUUUUUUAUUAUCUGUUAAGUAAUUAGUUCAUAGCAGAAAAACAUCAGUUUGUUGUAGGACAUUGUAUUUUACUGUAUAUAUAUUUGCAUACAUUGAUAAGAGUUCCUUUUCAGGGCAUUCCCAGAAAGUUUGUGAAAAAUCAUGGAAAUAGCAUGUCAAGCCCAGCAAUGCUGAGUGUCCCAUCUGGUGAAGUAUGGAAGGUGGAACUGACGAAAUGUAAUGGCAAAAUAUGGUUUGAAAAUGGCUGGCUAGAAUUUUCAAACCAUUACUCUCUGGAGUUUGGGCAUCUUUUGGUUUUUAGAUAUGAUGGGAAUAGCAAUUUCCAUGUAGUCAUCUUUGAUAGGACUGCUACAGAGAUCCUAUAUCCAUACACCAGAUAUAAUCAUAUUCAUAGACGAUCCAAUAUUGACAAAUCCAAAGAUGAUGACUCUACACAGAACCUAGAGGACAUCUCUACAAGCAGAAAAUUGAGAGAGAAAUCACAAAUGCCAUGCCCACAGCCUUGUAAGAUGAUGCACAGUACUAAUUCAGCUAUCAAAACCGAAACCGAGUGCAAUGGGAAGUCCGAAUUCCUAGCUCAACAAAUUAGGUAUGAAGGAUGUCCAGCUAGAAAUGAUGAUAAAAGCACUAGACAUCGUAUAAUUCAACAAUUGAAGCCUCAUGAAAAGGAUGAUGCUCUUGAGAGAGCUAGUAAAACUUUCAAAUCCGAGAACCCAUUUUUCCUGGUUGUCAUGCAACCAUCAUAUGUUGGUCUCAGUCACAGUAAAGGAUAUAGACUGGUAAGCAAUCAAUUAAGUUUCCGCUAGACCAUAUGCAUGCUGUUUCAACCCAUUACUUCACUAACAUUUAAGUUUUUUCCAUUUCUGUUGCUUGAAAAGUCGAAGCUUGUUUCACAAUUUUGUUUUGUGCAGGCCAUACCAGCUAACUUUGUGAGAAAACAUUUGAUGGAAGAGCUUUGUUCUAUAACUCUUUGUAACUCAAGUGGGAAAACUUGGAUUGUUACCUUCAAGAACAAUCAAAUAGGGAAAAAGCGAACUUCAUAUCUACUGACUGGUUGGGGUACUUUUGUACAUGAUAACAAUAUCCGAGUCGGUGAUGCUUGUGCCUUCGAGCUGAUAAAUAGCAUCGAAAAAUCCUUCAAUGUAGUCAUUUACCAAGGCCCGCAUACAAAGUGUUAUCAGUCAUUAUCUUCAACUGAUAUCAUUCGUCCCAUGAAACGGAAGGAUCAGUCAUAUGCAAGUCCAAGCGGCUCAGAAACAUUGACUGCUCUCGAAAAAGCUAAAGCUUUUCAAGUAGCUAGUGCCUUCAAAUCUGAAUAUCCAUUUUUUAUUAGUGUAUUACAGCCAUCAUAUUCACGUAGAAUGGUGAGUGUUUCAAUUGAAACCUGCUAGCCAUUUCAAAGUUCUUAUAACUCCACCAUGCGGAUGAUAUAAUGCCAUGUGUGUCUUUGUAUGAACAGAAUAUACCAGUGAUAUUUGCUAGGAAAUAUCUAGCAAAGAUGCACAAAGAGGCCAUACUUCUCCUUUCAAAUGGAAAAUCAUGGCCAGUAAUAUAUUGUCAGCACAAGAUUGAAAGUACAGGGGCAAAUGCAAUAUUCGGUAGUGGUUGGCGUAGGUUUUCUCAUGAUAAUAAGUUAGAAGUCGGUGAUAGUUGUGUCUUUGAACUGAUUAUGGCUGCUGAAACCUCAAUGAAAGUAACCAUUUAUAAGAAGCAGGCUGUCAAAGACUCAUCUUUGGGUAACUAGGAUCUGUUUCAGUACUAUAUAUAUAAUCUAUAUUCAUUGUUCAUGUGAUUUGUAUAUAUAUAUAUGUUUAAUGGUUGGGUUUUGUUCUUGAAAAACAGCUGAUAAUAGUAGAGAGAAACAAGUUGAACUCCAUGAAAGCUCGGUGAUUGGAACCAAAUCUGCUUUGAUGAAUGAGAAAGAAGAUAUGUUUAAUCUGCUUCUUGAUUAUAACUGUGAUGCCUCGGGAGAAACCUUGGAUGACAUUUUGAUGUCAAAUAUCAGUUCUCCAGGUAAGGCCUUAGAAGAGGCAAGUCAAAGCUAUCAAAGCUUUACAAGAGAAUGAAGCAAUCCAAGAUACCAACCAGUCAGAUCGAUGUGUUUGAUUCGCUGAAUAGUUAUGUUGGAAUGUUUUCCUUAGUCAUGACUGUAUAACAUGCUACUGAUGCUGUCUUGAUGAACAUUUCACCUCAAUAAGGUGCAAUUUUCCUGUAAAAUUAGUUUGCUAUCACUCUUGGUUCUCAUUUUCCAUUGUAGCAUUUCGUGAAUUAGGGACCAAUUUAUUCGUUGUCGGAGAGAGCACAGCUUUGGUUGCUACUGAAAUAAACACACCAAUACGGAUGUUUUCGGAUCUAGUAGCUGAUGCCUUCAUUUCGGAUCUAGUAGCUGAUGCCUUCAUUUUGUAGGCUUGAUUUUCUCUGUUGCACUUGUUUGCCACUGGUUGGAUUCAACCAUUGCCCCUAUCACCCUGAUGAUGACAGUCCUUUAUGGCUGCUUUUGCCUCUGGGACAGGUUUUAUCAUCCAGCUGAUGUUCUCUGCUCAUUGUAUUGGAGAUAUGCUAUAGCAUUUUAUUACCCUUCUUUGUACAUACAUGUGGAGAGCGUUUUAAAGCUUCCAACCAAAGGAGGAGUGCAAUAUGACUUACAAACACUAUGAGUUUACAUUAAAGAAAUUCUAAUAUAAAUGUACUAGCGAAAUUUAUUUUUUAAAGAUAUGAAAAAAUUUAAAAAUUAAAUUUGAAAUUCAAGUAAAUAAUUUAACUUGGUCAAAUGACACUAAUAAAAAGAUUAAUUCUUUCUAAAUUAGGAGCUGAAUUCUUUCCCAAAGCACCUUGAAUUGAAACGUUUCGUUUUAGUCCAAAAAUAAGUAUGCGGUUUAUAGUGUAACUACCUUUAUCCUUUAUCAACUCUGUUUCUUUCUUAAACCCUAAACCCUCCCCUAUUCCCAGCCAAUCCCCACCCCUUAAAAUACACUAAGAAUUGGUGGGAAAAUCGUUAGAAAGCCCUAAAUUUCAUUGUCCCCGAUUUCUCAUGCAAUCCACUAUUUAUUACAAACCUUCAACUUCUCAUAAUUUCCAACUCCCAUGGAAAUCCACAAAAAAACCCUGCUUUCAAAACCUCCAGAUUGUCCUCAAAAAUUCCAACUUUGACCAAUUCGCUAAGACCCCAAAUCACGUUCGACCUUGAAGGGGGUGCAAACGAUGGGUUUCGGCCAUCUAACCCGGUCAAGCUCCCGGUAGUGAUACAGAGGCACGGAAAAGUUUCGAGGUACUUUUGGGAUGGGAGUCGUGUUAGGUUGCUUAGUGUUGAUGGCGACGGCGUUGAAGGCAGAGGUUCUCGGGUGCCGUUUUGUUUCGAUUUGGAUAAGGUGGUUGAAGCUUCAAGCUUGGCUAUUAGGAACUUUUUUAUUCCUAAGCAAGUCAGUGAAAACUAUAUAGGCUAUGUGAAGUGGAAGUUUUUGCACAGGGUUUUUAGCUCUGCCCUUCAAGUUCUUGCUACUCAGGUAAAUGGAAUAUUUAUUUUUUUUUUUUGAAUGCAAAAUUUUAAGUGGAAUUUUUCGUCUUUUUUUUUUUGGAAUUUUGAUGUUAAUGUUAUACUGUAUGGUUAUAUUAUGCAUUGGAUUUUGACAGUUUAAGGAGAAAAAAAUUAUACAUUUGCAUCUUCUCGUUGUUAGACAUUGAUUGUAAUUUUCACAAAACUGUAUUUAACUUAUUUUUGACAGAAUGUGAUGAAAACAGGCAAUGUUUCGGGCUAUAGGAAUCGGGUAUUCUCGUUCACUUACGUCAGCUGCUGCACUUAACUGGGUAUUGAAGGAUGGACUUGGACGAUUAAGCAGGUGUAUUUAUACAGCUAGUUUGGCAUCUGCUUUCGAUACCAAUUUGAAGGUAAUUGGCUCGUGCUCAUGUUAUUAUGAUUCUUCUUAAUCACAGUUUUGCGGUUACCAGUUAUCUUACUAUUUGUAGUCUUAUCUCGUUUGAAGAGUAUCUUACUAUUUGUAGUCUUAUCUCGUUUGAAGAGAGUUAGGUUUACAACCUCGAUGCUGUUCACUUUUAGCAUUGGAGUUGAACUGCUCACUCCGGUAUUUCCUCACCAAUUCUUGCUUCUCGCGUCAUUGGCCAACAUUGCAAAACAAAUGAGUUUGGCAUGCUAUAUGGCAACCAGCGUAAGGAUUCGGUGUUCAUUUAAGUGUAGCAUCUUUUAACUUUCAUCAUCUCAGUCUUGGGAUUUUUUUCACGUUAUAUGCUUUGGUGUUUUAAUGUUUUCCACCAUGAAUGAGCAGCCUCCCAUUCAUCGAAGCUUUGCAAUAGCUGAUAACCUUGCUGAAGUUUCUGCAAAGUCACAGGUUACAGUUCGUCCUUCAAAUUCAUUGCAUGGUUGAUACUUUUUGUGUGGAAAAUGCUCUGAUCUUUGGAAUUGUUUUCAGAUUCAAUCAGUAUGUUUCGAUAACCUUGGACUCAUGCUUGCUGCUAUCUUGAAUAUGUUGCUCAAGAACAAUCAAAGGUUUAUACUCUUUAAUAUCUCUACUGUUUCAAUGAUGUUGCUCAAGAAACAAUGAAUGGUUUAUACCGGUUUCACUGUUUGCUAUUUUGGACAUGCUCAUUUGUAACGGCAAUUCAGUACCAUUGAUUAGGCUCAUGCUUGUCUAAAGCCUUAUAUUAGAUGAAUUUGUUUCUACUAGUGCAUAAUUAUGCUUGAUCGUUCAACUCAUUCUAUUUGGAAAUUAAUUCCGGUUUUCUUGAUUGUCCCAAUUACGCUAGGCUGCAAACUGGACUACCUUUCAUUCUAUACCCUAUUUUCUCAGCAAUUGACCUGUUUGGAAUAUAUCAAGGUCUGAAGCAUGUCCAUCUGCAGACCUUAACUAAGGUAGAAUGUUUAUUUUGAGUACAUUUUCAGCUUUCUCAUAUUUAAGUUGUUACUCUGAAGAAAUAAAAGAAUCCACACGUAUUUGCUCUGAUACCAUUAAAAUGUGGCACCUCACACUUGACCCCUAUGGGGGAUCCAAAUGUAGGAUGUCACAUUCUGUUCCCAGAGCAACUCAGACUAUUAUCAUUCUUUUUCCUUGAGUUAAAUGGACAAGCAUGGCAUAAUCCAUAAGUUAUACAUUAUGCACGUAUAUAAGGUCAAAUGGACCCACGUAAAGUGGCCCAGGGUCUUACGAGGUCAAAACACAGAGUCAAGAUACAAAUCCAGUUAUCCAAACUCAAUCUAUCAAGAUGGAGGGUUGUCUCGAGACAGUGAAGCCAUGUCUCGAUAUAUGCCUCCCUGUUUCAAACUUGUUAUGGGGUUCUUGUCUAGAGACAAUGACCCUUAUGUCUCAAGACACCUUAUUCGAUGUUCAUUCCUUAGAGCAUGCGGACAGUUGAAAAGAGAGUUUCUGUUUUCCUGUCUUAGUCUCUGGGUUUCUUAAUUGGUUCUCUCUUUUUCUUUACCAACAUUCAGGAUAGAUUGGAAAUUAUAAUUGAUUCAUGGAUUUCAUCCGGAUAUGUACCUUCACCUGAAGAAGUGAGUAAAGAUGAAGAAAUCAAUUUUAUGUGGAGCAAAGGUAAAGGUUUUUUCAUGGUUAUGGUUUACCUUUUAUUCACCAUUUACCUGAGCUGGUAACCAUGGAUGAAACAUUUGGAUUAGGCAAAGAGCCAUUGCGCAUCAGAAUAGGGUGCUUGAAUCCCAAGGCCCAAUUAUCCAAGUUAUCGGUGAUGACAAUGCAGUCUGUAAGUAACGAGGAUCAUUAUUUCAUAUGCACGGAAAUCUUCUACCGAGGAUUAGCAAAAACUAGAGAGGCGCAUAUGCAAUGCAAUCUUUACUAGCUGUGUUUCACUAUGGUGCUUACAUGAAAAGAUCUCAUUUGUGCCUUUUGUUCCUUUUCAUUUCGUUCUUGUACGAAACUCUAGCAAGGGAUCCUUCUUUGCAUACGUGAAGGAGCUCGCAUGGCUGAUGUUAUAAUGGGAUUAUUGCAGGUGAAAGGAAUUAAGUUUCACAUGUACUCACAAGCUUAUGUUUAUUGCUGGUGGCUAAAUGUUGUGUUGUUGCAGGCUUGCAAUGUUCGCAAGGCACUCCGUUCAAGCAUGUGGGAAAGCACAACAAAGGCUAGUGAUUCCUCGGACUUAAUUCUCAAAGAAUGGUUUAAACUGAUUGAUGAUAGCAAGCGGUACGUACAGAAACAGUUCGGGCCGUUGAAUGAACAAAUGAUGGUACGAGGUUGGGCACUUAAAAAACAUUUUAUUGAACACAGAAGAGCAGACACGGUACAGUUACAUGGAUGACUGAAAAAUAAACAUUCCCUUGAAUCAAGUUGCUCUUCACAAAUCAUCGAAGAGUAUUUGGGUUCGCAUUGGUUCAAUUCUUUUUCAUUCAAGAAAAGCCAACAAUACAACCAUUUUUCACAAAAUGCUUUGUUGUAAUAUUGGACAUUUGUUCUCAUUUAAUUGUAAAUAGAAAAGGUGACCCUUAGCAGUCAUAAUAAGGUACUCUUAAGUGAUUGCUGCAAUUAGCGCAUCUUUAACAUACUUGAAGAGCCAUUAGCAAAUCACUGAACCAUGCAUUUCCAUCAUAUAUUACAAAUGAAUGUAAUGAAUUGUGUACAGAGGAAGAAACUAGACAAAGCAUUUUACAAAAAUACAUCUGGUCUCACUGUAUAAGAAAUGGAGAUUCACUAUAUAUUCCAUUAUAAUUUGUAUUCUAAUACCCUAAUAAAGCACCAUAGCAUGAGUCAUG
rnacentral:lncRNA from 1 species